GGGCACUCUCUGUAUAGAUAUGGUCCCAAGCAGCGAGCCUCUUUCCUAUAGAUUGCAGCUCCCUUCUCUCUCUCUCUGUAAGUCUCCUGCCUUGUCUACCCUAAUGGUUGCGCGAUCUCCAGAUAUAUUGCGGUAGGAAAACGUGCAUGAGUUUUCUUCUGUGUCAUCAGUAAACGAGUAGGUCAUUUUCACUUUUAUGUAUUUACAGUCAUUACCAUAUGCAUUUAUGUUCAUAUUUAUAUAUAUUAUAGUCAUUACCAUAUGCAUUUACUAGAAAAACUGUAUUAACUUAUUUUUUUAGGAAUUGUUUUAAUAUUUCAGUCUUUUUUCUAAUUUAAAAUAAUGUUUUUUAUAUCUUAGUAUUGACAUAUAUUUUGCACUAUCAUAUACAAAAAAAUAAUAAUUCUUAUAUGAAGUUAAGUCUUUUUAAUUUGAAUAUGGAUGUAUUCAAUCAAAUAACGUGUAGACUUCUAUCAUCCCCUAACCAGUCUAUGGAAAUGACGGGUCCCUCUCUGAAAGUUGAAGUAUUUUGUUGGAAAAAAUCAACAGCAGAGCAGUGUUGGGUCUUUUCUCUGUUCCUAUUGGGAUCAAAGAUUCUAAUUAACAACAGUUAGCAGUGGUUAAUAGGGAUUAACUUUGCAAUCGCAAGGUUCAAAUUUUGUUGUCGGUGUUGAUAGGGAUUAAUUUUUAAAAUCAUCUUUGGACUUUCCACAUUUGUAGUUUUCUACUGGAAACGCGUUUUCUCUCUACACUUUUAUGAAAAGCAUUUUCCACGGGGCAAGUCACUACCAGAAAUUCGCUAAAUACCAAUGAAAUCCCCGACAGAAUAUUUUUGUCGGUAUAUUUCGGUUGAAAUUACCGACCAAAUUACAGACAGAAAGUUCAGAAUUAAUGAAAAAAGGGCGAGUACCUGAGGCUGGGGUUUGGCGGGUGAUUUUUCUGACAGAAUCACCGACAGAUUCAAACCCUGGGACCCGCACCGUCAAAAAUACCGACGGAAUCACUGACGGAUUUGAAUGCCAGAUCCGUACAUGCGACGUGACAGGUGCACAAUAAAAAAAUACCGACGGAAUCACCGAGGGAUUUGAAAAAAGCAGUCCGUGUGGUGACGUGUCGAUUCCCUGUGACAUUUAGCGACGGAUUCACCGACAGUGUUAGUCCGUCGGAAAAAGUGAAUAUAUGAAUCCCUUUCCGACAUUCUCCUCCCCCAUUUCUCCUUCUUCUUCCUAAUCCUAAGUCUCCCCAUCUGCAAAUAACCAGCCCCCCCUCGCCCCCAAACAAAAAUCUUUCUCAUCUUAGCAGUUGUAUUUCUUGAAGUUUUGUGGUCACAGCAUCCGUGUUUUGAUUUACCGACGGAUUUUAUCAAUUUUUGUAAGUAAUUCUAUCUUUUUUAAAUUUUAACAUUUAAAUGUUAAUUUUAUUGUUUUUUUAGUAUAAGUAUUGUUAUUAGUAGAUGUACAUGUUUUAUUGUUAUUUCUCAAACAAACUUGUAGUUUAUUAAUGUAUAAUUUUAUACCUGUUAUGGUUUGUUUUAGAUUUUGUAAGAUUGUAUUUGUUUGUAAAUUGUUAAAACUUUGUGGAAUUACAUGUUAUGUUUUGAAAUAAUUAAUAGCUUGCUUAAUAGGUCCUUUUUAAGUUUUAUCGAUGGUAUUGCAGAGUGGUAAUUUCUGUUAAUUUAUAUAUAUAUAUAUAUAUAUAUAUAUUAAUUUGUAUGGACGUUGAUAAAUGAUAAUGAAUAUUUAAUAUUUAUGAGAAGUUGUGAUUGGUUUGUUGGAUAAUCUCGAGGUAAAGUAAUAUAUUUACAAGUUUAUUUACCUAACUUAGUUAAUUAAUAUAUACAUGAUGUCAUCAUAAUUUUAUAGAGGUUCGAUAGAAGUCAUGGAUGAUCGUUCAUGGAUGUAUCUAGAUUCACCCCAAGGAUUGCGGAGGAUGGAUUAUUGUAACGGGGUUCAGGGUUUUAUUAAUUUCGCAACAUCUAUUCCCAGAAAUUUUACUGGAGGCGGUAUUAGGUGUCCAUGCAGGAAGUGUCAAAAUAAAAAGUAUCUGCAUCCAGAUGUUGUAAUGAUGCAUCUUCUACACAAAGGGUUUGUGGAGGAUUACCAGUGUUGGUAUGCACAUGGAGAGGUAUUUGUUAGUAAUAGGAGAAUGAGAGAAACGGUGGUUGGGUCAACUUCUAGUGCUAGCAACGUGCAUGAAGCGGCAAAUGACAACACUAAUCCUUACAGAAACAUGGUUAUGGAUGCAAUGAGAAUGAAUCAAGGUAAUGUCAGUCAAUGUCCAAUCGUAGAAGAAGAACCUAAUGCAGAGGCAGCUAGGUUUUUUGAUUUGUUGAAAGAUUCUGACGAACCAUUAUGGGAUGGCUGCACAAACCACAGUAAAUUAUCGGCCGUGGCACAGGUGUUCACCAUCAAGUCAGAUCACGGGCUGAGUGAGGCCGGGUAUGACAAAAUUAUUGAUUGGGCAAGAAGCAUUUUACCUGAAGGGAACAGGCUCAAAGAGAACUUCUAUGUCCAUGAUGAAACCCCUCGGUUUAGGAUACCAGAAAAUUGACAUGUGCCCUAACUUCUGCAUGUUAUACUACCUUGAAAAUGCUGAGAUGACCGAGUGCAUGACAUGCGGGCAUUCGCGUUACAAACCCAGAACUGGCAGGGGAAAGACUCUAGUGGCGUAUAAAAAACUUAGAUAUUUCCCGAUCACACCUAGACUGCAGAGGUUAUUCAUGUCACGAAGGACUGCUGAGCACAUGACAUGGCACCAAACACAUGAUGCGGUUGAUGGUGUGAUGGUGCAUCCUUCUGACGGCGAAGCGUGGAAACGCUUUAACAGUGUGCAUCCUGACUUUUCAGCUGAAUCAAGGAAUGUGCGUCUUGGGUUGUGUGCAGACGGAUUCAACCCAUUUGGGUCAUUUGCUGCUCCCUAUUCUUGUUGGCCGGUCAUACUCACAGUUUAUAACUUGCCACCGGGAAUGUGUAUGAGGCUGGAGUUCAUGUUUUUAUCUACUGUCAUACCCGGUCUAAGCAGCCCGGGGCAGAAUAUAGAUGUUUGUCUUCGACCGUUAAUUGAUGAGCUGGCGCAGUUGUAGUCCUCCGGAGCUCUGACUUAUGAUAUAUCGAGGAAACAAAAUUUCCUUAUGAGGGCGGCUUUGAUGUGGACUAUCAAUUAUUUUCCAGCUUAUGGAACGCUUUCUGGUUGGAGCACAUAUGGGAAGCUCGCAUGUCCAUACUGCAUGGAAAACAACAAGGCAUUCACGCUAGCAAACGGAGGUAAAGCUUCUUUUUUUGACUGUCACUGUCGCUUCUUGCCACUUAAUCACAGGUUCAGAAAGAACAGAAAAGAUUUCUUUGUUGGCAGAGUUAAAAAAGAUGUUGCAUCCCCGCGUCUUUCUGGUGAAGAAUUGCAUCAUGUUGUAUCAGAGUACGGUGACAUUGUGUUUGGCCUUCAAUCAGGUAAGCAAAAGUUUACUGGUUUUGGUUUGACCCAUAAUUGGGUAAAGCGAAGUAUCUUUUGGGAGCUUCCUUAUUGGAAGACCAAUCUUCUCCGCCAUAACCUUGACGUCAUGCACAUCGAAAAGAACGUGUUUGAGAAUAUUUUCAACACCGUCAUGGAUGUGAAGGGGAAGACAAAGGACAACAUCAAGGCUAGAUUGGAUAUAGCUUUAUACUGUAAUCGUAAAAAUAUGGAGUUGGUUUAUGAGGAGUCACGGUUCGCAAAACCAAGGACAAGCUUCGUGUUAGAGAAAAACGCACAAUUGCUGGAGGACCGGUCCGGUAUAGAUGGAUGUACCCAUUUGAACGGUAAGAUAUUACAGUUGCAAUGGAAUUCAUAUCUAAAAGUUUUUUCUAUGUUUUUCUUAAUUGGAAAUACUUGAAUUGUAAUUCAAUGCAGGUACUUGUUUAAUUUCAAGAAAAAGGUUAAGAACAAGGCGCAUGUUGAAGGUUCGAUAUGUGAGGCCUAUAUUGUUGAAGAGAUAUCAACAUUUAUCUCGUACUAUUUCGAACCUCAUAUGAGAACAAGAAUCAAUCGCGUUCCACGGCAUGACGAUGGUGGUGAAGUGUCUUCCAGUGGGAACUUGUCAAUAUUCUCCAAAACUGGACGACCCACACCUAAAAAUGCCGUACGAGGAAGAUUUUUGUCGGAAAUAGAAUUCAAACAAGCACACAACUAUGUUCUAUUUAACUGUGAUGAGUUGAGACCAUUUAUUCAGUAAGUUUAUAUAUGUGUUUUGUCAGUAAAAUAUUGGCAAUUAUAUAUUGUGAAAUCAUACACUCAUUAUCACUUGCAGGCAACAUCGACAAUAUUUGCUCUCCAAUAACUCGCAGCUGACCGACUCUCAGAUCUUUCAAUUACAAGAUGAACAAUUUGCCACAUGGUUCAGAACACAUGUAAGCACUAUCACAAACUCAUUCUAACUUACAAAAUUACUGUACGUAUGUGUCGCACCCCAAAAAAAAUCAGCGCGCGGCAUCGGCUGGCGAUUUAAGUCUCGUUGCGUAAUGUUUGAAUUUGGUUCGUUGGAGUCGCCACCUAGUAAUUUAUUGAAGGCUACUAGGAAACCGGAUAGACUGGUCUGGUCAGAGAUUCGCGGGUAAGGAACUGGUUGUGGUUAGGGAAGGUAUUAGCACCCCUAACGCACCCUACCUGAGUUAAGCUGCUUCGCGACUUUGAUGUGUUAAAGAAGUUUUAAUAAUUGUCUUUUCGUUGGAAAUUAGAAAUAUCACUUACGUAUAAGUUAAUAAUUCUUAACCGUGAUCCGAUCAAAAUAUUAAAUUCUUCUUUAAUAGAUUUGCAAUUUUAUCCUAAAAAAUAAAUAAAGAAAUAAAUAAAAUAACAAAUUCAUAAAACAAAUACAAACACACACAUACACUUUCACUAUUUUUAUUUCUUUUUCUUUUUUCUUUUCUUUUCUUUUACAUCUACUUAUACAAAUACAAAUAUAAAUACAAAUACAAAUUCAAAUUAAAUAAAUAAAAAUUACAUUAAUUAAUUUAAAAAUUACAAAAUAGUCCCUAAAAACUCCAGAAAUUGCAGGGAAGGACUUCUGGGGCUGCAUGAACAGUAGCGGCGCGUGGACCCCACGCACCGCCGUGACUGGCGGCGCGUGGGCUCACGCACCUCCCCGAAAAUCAGGCAGCGUGGGGGGGCUGUGAUGCUUCCUCCUCUCUUCGAUCUCUCCACCUGUAAAUCCAAAAAAAACACACAGCAAGGGCAGUCGAUUUUAAGUUUUUUUUUUUAGUUUUUUCAAAUCUGUUUUUUUGUUCUUUCUUUCUCCGCCGUCUUCGAUCUGCUCCUCUUUCUCUUCUCCUUCGUUGCAGAUCAGUCCGUGGGUUUCUUCUUCUUCUCCUCUGCUUCAGGUGGUGGGGCGGCGGCUGAUGGAGAAGUUGUUUCGGUGGCGCCGCUGUGUGAGGGCUGUGGCUGGAGGAAGACGGCGCUGCUGUACGGGGAGGGGGCGUUGUUGCUGGCAGAAGGAGCUGGGUUUGCCCAAAUGAUGGGCGGCUGAGACGAUGGAGAUCGUGGCCGAGAGAGAGGAGCAGGACGGCGCUGCUGGGGGAACGGCUGCUGAAACUAGGAGGCGAUGGCUGAGAGGAGAAGAAGACGCUGCUGAGGAAGGCUGAGAAAGAAAGAAAUAUGGCAGGGAGGGAGACGGAGGAAAUGGGGCUGAGAGAGGUAGAAAGGGUAGGAGAUUUGUCUUGAUGAGGGGGAGCGGGUGGCUGUGAUAUGGGGAGCCAAGUCUUGGCCGACGGCUGGAAUCAAAAAACCAGUCGGGGGGGGGGGGGGGGGCUCUUUGUUUUUUUUUUUAGGAAAGGGGGCGGUUGUGUAUGAGAGGGUUUAGGUUAGGGUUUUUUGUAUUUUUUUUUAGAUGUUGUCAAAAUUACCCCCCCUUAAAAUCAGUUUAGCAUGGUAUUUAUAGGAAAACUUUGCUAGGUCUUUCAACUUGGUCCCCCAACUUCUUUCUUUUUGUAAAUUUUGAUUUUUCUUAUUUUUUUGUAUUUUUUUGAAAACGAGCAAUAUCAACGUCAACUCAAAUGCGGAAAAUCAAUGAUUUAAAAAUGACGUUUGAAAAUCUUUUAACAAUUUAAAUUUCUUAUUUUUUUGUAUUUUUUUAAAAAUCAACGUCAACAUAUUUUUUGGGUUUUCUUUGUUUUUCUCAAUUUUUUUGGAUUUUUUGAAAAUAUAUCAAAACAUGGGUCAAAAAUUGGGUAGCAACAGUAUGCAUGCCAUUACGAGAUUCUCGUUCAUUUACCGUUUAUUGAUGUACAUUACAUGUAUACAAGGUUUAUCAAAUGGGAAGAAGUGCGUCUAAGUCAUUGUCUUCACUAAGCCUCGGGCCUGAAAGAAAAGUUAAGUGCUACAACGGGUAUUUUGUCAAUGGAUACGUUUUCUAUACUAAAGAAUACGGGCAAGGAAGAAAGACAUACAACUGCGGUGUUUGUGUUAAAGGAUCCAUAAGUAGUGAGUUAGAAGUUGACUACUAUGGUAGAUUAGAAGAGGUCGUCGAACUACAAUAUCAUAGCGAGCAGAAUACAGUAUUUUUAUUCAAAUGUUAUUGGUAUGACACGACGGACAGAGGAAUCAGAGUUGAUACGCACCAUGGUCUGGUCGAAAUCAACUCAAAAGCUAGACUCCGCAACAUAAACGAUGUCUUUGUUUUCGCAAAGCAAUGUCAACAAGUUUAUUACACAUACACCCCUUCAUUUAUAAAGGAUCGAUCAAGAGUUGAUUGGUUGUCCGUUUUGAAAACGAAACCACGGGGUCGUGUCGAGGUUGUUCAGGAUGAGAACGAAGAAACAAGUGUGCGGGAUGAAGUCUUUCAAGUUAGUGAGUUGGUUGAACCAUAUCGAGUUGCUCCUUCGAUUGAAUUGGAAGAAAAUUCAAAUUUUCGUGUUUCCGAUGAUAGUCUUGUUGAUGUUGACGUAGAGGAGUUGAACGUUGUUUUGAGCUCUAGCGGACAAGAAAAUGUCGAUGAAGAAGAUGAUAUUCAUAUUGAAGAUUGCGAAGAAGGUGAUGACUAUUCAAUUGAUGAAGAAGAAGAAGAUAAUUCUGACUAACUAUCAAAACGAAGCCUUGUGUAAAACCCUUUUCUUCAUGUAAUUUACAUUAUGGAUGAUAUAUUUUGUAACAUGAAAUAUAUAUUUAUUGUUUAAGCACUGUUGUUAUUGUUUUGUGCGAUGGACAGUUUAUUAUUGAAUUUUUUGCAGGAAGGUAAAUAGAAAAUACAAACACAACACCUUUGUACAUUGCAUCUCACAGAGAGUUCGAAAAUAAUUACACCGAAAUGCCACAAUCACCGACGACCAUACCGACGGACCUCAGUCCGUCGGCAUCUCACAGAGAGUUCAAAAAUAAUUACACCGAAAUGCCACAAUCACUGACGACCAUGUCCGUCAGCAUCUCACAGAGAGUUCGAAAAUAAUUACACCAAAAUGCCACAAUCACCGACGUCCAUACUGAUGAAUUUAUCGACGACUAUACCGACGGAAUUUAUCCGUCGGUAAGUUGUUGGUGGCAAAUUUUACCGACGGAAUGCGCGAAUUUCAAAGGGUGUGAAUUAAAUGCACCUCUGACCGUGUCAGAUUACCGACGGAAUCACCGACGGACCGCGAAAAAUUUGGAGCGCAAUUAAAAAAUUCAGAGCGAAAUUCAAAAAUUACCGACGUAUUGUUUGCCUUUUACCAACGGAUUUAAAAAAUUAAUAAUAUUUUUUAAUAUUCGUCGGUAAAUCCAUCGGUAAAUCUGCCAAAUGACCUAUAAGUUCCAAUGCCCGCCAAUUCCCCUCAUUUUUUCUUCUCCUCCGUUUUUCUUCGCCUCCGUUGCGCUGUGAUUUCCAAUUUUUUGCUCUCAAUCUUUCAAGGCUUGCACCUUGAAUCUCUUGCAAGAUUUGAAUAAAGGUAUGUGGUUGUUUUAUUUUAUUUUAUUUUAGUUGUAGUUGUUUUUAUUUUUGUUAUUUUGUUGUUUUGUUGUAUUUUUUUGUAAUGUAGAUAAAGUUUUGAAUUGGACAUAUUAUUAAGGUAUGUAUACUUCAUUCCUUUUCUUGAUGUAGGUUUUUUUUUUGAAUUUUUUUGAAUAUUUUUUAUUGUUGUGUUGUUAUAAUUGGUAUUAGUUAAUUUGUUGGAUAUUUGUUGUUAAAGUUGAAUCUAACUUAGAAUUAAUAAUUGACUAUGUUAGAAUAAUUAGUAAUUUUACUCUAUUAUUAUUGCAUGAUUUUUAUUUAAUUAUUUCCAUUGAUUUUAAUUGUUAUUCUAUAUAUAUUUUUUUAAUUUAUUGAAUAUAAUUUAUUGUUGUAUUGCCAUAUAUAAUUGUUGAUUAAUUUGUUGAAUUAAUAUUGUAAAUGUUGAAUUUACCUUAGAAUAAUUUAUUGUUGUAUUGUAAUUGUUAAUGUAGAAUUUACUUUAGGAUUAGUAAUUCAAUAUGUUGGAAUAAUUAGUAUAGAUUGGGUCAAUUGGUUGUGGAUAUUGUUAAUAUUUGCAGGUUUGUGGAUUUGGAUAGUAUCCAAGUAUAGGAGAGGUGAUGCCGAAUUUUUUUUAACAUUUCAAUUGAAUUAUAUAAUUAUUUAUAUAAAAUUGGUUAGAUGUAUAGAAUGUAAACCAGAGCUUCACGUACGGUCGCAUCUACUUCGUCUAGCAGCAACGAAGACAUUUCCUUAGGUGCCUCUCAAGAAGAGGCACCUACACCACUUGCUCCGUCAGCUGAUGCUGCCUUUUCCAGCGAUGCUUCACGUCACAAAAGCGGCAUGCCUUCGCAGCGGAAUCGAUGCAACCACAAGUACGAGGCACAAUGGAAGGAUGACCUUUCAAUGUAAGUUUGUUAAGGUUUUAAUUUAAAAAAAAAAAAAACAAAUUUGAGGUUCACAAACAAAUUUAUGAAGUCACUAUUUAAUUAAUUUCAAUUCUUUUUAGGUUCACAAACAUUGAGGCCGCCCGAGUAAUAUCAUCGGCGUUUAAAGGGUCGAUGGAGAUUCCAUUGUUUCAAUGGAGUCAGAUAUUCAGGAUGCCUCAAAUCAAUGCAUAGUUUUACAGAUUUGAGGUUCGUGUUAAUAUAUAAUUUUCAGCUUAUUUCUAAUAAAUUCUUAAUAUAAUUGUAAAUAAAUUAUUAACAUUUUUAAAAAUUAUUUUUUAUACACAGCAUCGAUUCUGCUGGGACGAGGAACAUAACAAUGUUGUGAGGAGGGUGUGGGAAAAUCACGCGGCAACUAGGUAACAUCAAAAACAAUACAACUUUUUUUUAGAAAAAAAUUUAUGUUUUGAAAUGUAAUUUUUGUUUGCGUUAAGUAGGUUGCAUGAUUUUUGGUACGAAGCCCAAAAAAAGGCAAAAAAAACUGCGAGGGAUAAGGGGUUCCAAGGCUGGAACGAUGUUGCGGUUUGGAGGGAUUUCAAACCCAUAUACAUCCCGGAUGAUAUAUGGCCGCAAUAUCUUGAGCACGUGACGUCUGAGCGGUUCACACGACGCUCACAGUCCGGUUCUGGCAACCGAAAUCAGGCAAUUCAUGGCUCGGUGACAACGCACACCGGCGGCUCUGUUCCGUUUGCAGCUCAUGCGAAACGAAUGGUAAGAUUAAUUUAAAUGAAAUAUAUCGUUCAAUUAAAUUUUUGUUAAUAGAUUUUUUUCAUUAUAGGCUACGUCUCUUGGACGUGAGCCGAGCACUAUGGAGCUAUUUAUGAAGACGCACGUGCGGAGUCAAGAUCGCCAAAAAGGGGUGCAACAGUUCGUUGACAGCCGCGCUCAACAUUUUGUGGUAUGUUUAUUCAUCCAUUUUAUUGUGUAAGUUAUUAUUAUGUUUAUUGAAUUGAAUAUGAUGAUUACUUGUUUUAUUUUUAGGAGACCUAUAAUAAUCGGUUGAGGGAGACAUACGGGGAUGACCCUUUGACCCAUCCGGAAUUUGAUCCGGAUUUGUGGAUGGAGGCUGGAUCGUCAAGUGGACCCGAUAAGAAUCGGGUUUACGGCCUCUCCAACACUAGGGCCGACACCUUGCGAACGACCCGUACUGCAUCAACCGUCGGGAGCUCCCAAUCAGUAUCGAGCUCCCAAUCUAAGGAGUUUGUGGCCUUGCAGCAAAGGUGCGACUAGAUAUCAGAGGCGUACACACAACUCAAGAAACAAUACACAGCAGAAUCUGCACAACAAAGAGCGGCCUAUGAAGAGCUUCGUCAAAUGGUCAUAAACAUGUCACAAGGUGGAAUAUGUGCACCCAAUCCAAGUUGGCCGCAUAACAGUCAGCCUCCUCCUCCUCUUGAUCCUCCUCAACCUCCUUUAUAUUAAUUUUUGAUAAAUAUUAUUUACAUUUAAAAUUUCAUUUAAUGUUUUUUUGAACAAUUUCAUUUUGUAAUGAAUAUUAUGUUUUAUCAUUUUUUGUUUUUGAUGUUUAAUAUAAUUUUUAUUUGCAUAAUUGGUUUUUAUUACCAUUAAUUUAUAUCAUUUUAUAUUAUGUAUUCUAAAUAGUUAUAUAAAAAAAUAAAAAUAAAAAAAUUACAAAGGGAUUUACCGACGGAAUAUAUCCGUCGACAUUAGAUAGUAGCCGCGACCUUCACCGACAAAUUUCCAGACGGAUUAAUUCGGUCGGUGUUUUCAUGACUCACCAACAGAUUUACCGACGAAUUGAUUCCGUCGGUAUUAUAAUUUACCGAUGAAUUUACAGACGGUAUAUUCUGUCGGUAUUUCAACAAUUCACCGACUAAUUUACAGACGGUAUAUUCUGUCGGUAUUUCAACAAUUCACCGACGGAAAUUAACCGUCGGUGAAUUGUGAUAUCACCGACGAAAUAAAAAUCCGUCGGUAUUAUUGAAGCGGGAAUUGUUUUUUUUUUUGGCGCGUAAAUUCCGUCUGUAAAGUCAUCGGUAAAUGGUUUUUUUGUUUUGCCGACCGAUAUAGCGACGGAAUGGGAAAUCACCGACGAAAGGUAAGCCGACAGACGUAUUCCGUCGGUAAGUUAGUCGGUAAAUAAUUUACCGACGGUUUUACAGUCACACACCGACGGAAUAAUUAUGUCGGUAAAACUGUGAAUUCUUGUGGUGAGUUUGGCACUCAAGUUUUUACAACCAGCCACUGCCCCUCUUCUACAAUAAUCUGGAAUGUUCACUGGCUCACUCGUAGACAUCUUUGAUGCUCUACGAAGACUACAGGAUACUUUGUCCUAUACAAAUUAUUUAAUUUUACUGUAUUCUUCUACAUGGUUGUGAUGGUAUAAUGUGAUUUUUCACUCAUUUUCAUUUUCGCUUAUUUAGAUGAGAAAUUAAUGUUCUUUAGUCUCUAAAUUAUCUUAUCUAGGGUUGAUUAUAAAAGCUAAAUAAUCAACAUACAAAUUAGGAUAUAAAAAUGAUAAGUAAUUAGAUUGAAUUUAAGUUAGAAAUAAACGGUAACCUUGUAAUGACAAUUUUAGGUAUUUUCAGUGUUUUUUUCAUCUCCAGCUCGUGUUUUCUUUUGCGAUCUGUUGUUUUCGCAUUAUAUAUUGACUACAUGCAUUUGUUCUUCGCCAGCUCAGAGAUAUAUUGGAAAACGAAUUUAACCUAUUAUUAUUAUAUAAAAAACCUUCGAGGAAUUGUUUUUUUCAAUGAUGAAGCUAGCUUUCACUAGCUGUUUUUGGUGUGCCUAUAUAUCAACAUAAGUAAGCAAAUAAAAUGUCAAGGACCAUGUGAAGCAUGAUUCACAUGUUUAUAAAUAGUAAGAGAACCUAUAAAAAAUCAAAUACAAAUAAUUGAAAGUCCUUUCAAGUAGAGGUUAAAGUCUAUCAAGAAAGGAUAGAAUCAAAGUCCUUAUCAAAUGAAAUCAAAACAAAUAAAAUAUCACCUGUUAAAACUUUCAAGCUAAUAUAAAAAUGUUAUAUCCCUCCAAAAUAAGUUCAAGAUCAAGCAUAGAAGGUUAUAAUAUUCAGAUAUGACUCUUAAUUAGAGAAUUUGUACACCUAAAACAUAUAUCAUGACUUUGAAUAUUAGUUAAAAUUCUUAAUAAUUAAAAUACUAGGUAUCGAAUUUAAAUCUUUUAAAUUAUAAAAAGGAUAAAAAUACUUUGUUAUUUCCAAACACCUAAAAACCCAAUCUAAAAGGAUGAUAACUAUACAAUAUAUGUGCGACACUGCCCCUUGCUCUCUUUUUCUAUGGAAGUUUAUAUUUAAUAAUACGGUAUAUAAUAUUUUUUAAUUGAAAAUGCAUUACAAUAAUAUAUAUUUUUUAGAUUUUUUAAAUAUUAAUAUAUUAAAAUCAUUAAAGAAACAUUAAAAAAUUAUUAAUUUAAUACUUUUGGAUAAAAAAUAAUUUUGAAAGCAGGUUUUUUCUUAAAAAAACUCCCGUUUGCCUUAUGUAACGAAAAAAAAAAAAUCUAUUGAGUGAGUGAGGGCUAAAAAGAAGAGAGGGUCAGAAGAUAACUUGGUCAAAAUAAUGUCGGCAAAACGUGCAUGUCAUGUAGUCAUUUUCGGUGAUGGGUCAUUUUCACCUAUAUAUUUUUGUAGUCAUUGCAUAUUUAUGUUGACAUUUAUAUUUAUAUAUUUAUAGUCACUGUCAUAUAUAUGCAGUUAUGUUCAUGACAGCUACAUAUAUAUUUAAAAAAAUGGAUUAACUUACUUUUUAAAAAUUAUAUUAACAUAUUAAUUAGUUUCUUUUGAAAUCAGAGAUACUUUAUAUAUAUAUAUAUAUAUAUAUAUCUUAGUAUUGACAUAUAUGUUAUAUUGCCAUAUAUAAAAAAAUAAUUUUUAUAAGAAAAUUAUUAUUAUUAUUAUAUAAAAAACAUGAAUAAUGUGUGGAAACAUUUUUUAUGAUAAAAAUAUCCUUAAGUUUUAUUAAUCAUUAAUGUAUUGAAAGGAUUUUAUCCCGUGUUUUCAAAAAAUUAAUUUUUAUUAUAAAAAAAUAAUUUUUUGUAUGUUUUAUAUUGUUUUGAUACGCUAAUCUCAAAAAUAAUUUUAAAAAAAUAAAAAAAUACAUUUUGAUGCAUUUUACAACUACAACGACACUCUCAAACAAAUUAUUUAAACCCCAACGCUUAUUUAGAUGAGAAAUUAUCAUUUAUAUCCAUUUCAGCACAAAAAAUAUUUUAAAAAACAACUAUAACCACUCUAAAAAAAAAUUAUUUAAACUAAUUUUUUUAUGAAAGAGUUUAUCUUUCAAGACUUUUUAUAGAGAGAAAAUUAGGCUUCAAAUCCAUUUUACUUUUAAAUUCAUGGUAUAUCUGGCGGAAUGGGCGUGAAAUAUUAUGAUCAAGGUUGUCAAUUCUGUUUUGGUAGGUGUUUCUUUUUUUCAAUUGGAAUGGAAUGUUUUAGUUUCGGAGUGUUUCGGCGUGCCGUUUCGAGGUUGUACUGUUUAUAUAUAUAUAUAUUCAACAAACAUAAUUCAAAUUCAAGAUAAAUUAAUUAUAAAUUAUGCAAUACAAACACAAUGCCAAACAAAUAUAAUUUUAAUAUUUAAAAUAUUUCUAAAUAGUCAAGAUUAAAUAGAUCUUUAACUUAAAGUAAUUCAACUUAAAUAAAAUAUCAAAAUAUUAUGAAAGUAAAAUAUUUUAACAAAAAAUAUUUUAAAUAUAAAGUUAGAUCAACGUUAUCAAGUGGCUAAUGGAAUCUAAAAUAUCCUUUUUUUUGCUCAAAUUCCUACAAAGUAUAAACAUGCAAAAACAAAAACAACAUGAAUAUAAACCAUAUAUAUUAGUGAUAAAUCUAAUUUUAAAAAAUUAAUAUAAUUGUUAAUGAAAAUAGUAAUAAUAAUUUUCAAUAUUAUUAUUAAUAUCAUUGAUAUUGAAAAUAGUAAUAAAAAAGAGCUUUUUAUAAUCGGGUGAUUUAAUUAAUGAAAUUGAGUAAGGUUUAAUUUGAUUCAAUGGCUUUUCAAGAACGGAAUGGAACAUGUGGAAUGAAACUGGAAUGUUUCGGGCGGAAUUUAGCUGAAAAAUCCGGAACGGACCGAGAUUUAAAAUGAGAUGAAAUUUGUUCUGUUUUGUUCCGGUUUUUGAAUUGGUAUAUAAUAUUUCGUUCAUUCCAGACAGAACGGAACAGAAUUGACACCUUGACUAUGAUUGAUUCCUCACUUUCCAUGACCCUGAGUUUUGGGCACAUGAAAGCCAACAUUUGAUUAAGAGGAUCGAUUACUCCACUUAAAAGUUCAUUAAAUAAUUUGGCUAUUUUGUGCUAUUUGCACAUAAAGUUAGUAGUGGAGGUAAUUAAGUCUAUUUAGCAGAUUAUAUAUAUAAAUUAGCAAAUAAAUUAUCUGUUACUACAAUCUAUGCUAAUAUCCCCAUUUUUUUUAGUAGUGAAGGUAAUUAAUUAAGAAUAGCAUGUGGAAAAAGAAAGUAUAUGACAGGCAAGUAGGGCAACCAUUAUCAUCUUAUUGAGUAUGUUUCCCAUCAAUGGUGGGUCUUAGCAUGAUGUUUCCCAUCAUACGGGUUAUAUUUCACUUUUCUCUUCUUUUCUUUUUGAAAGUAUAUUUCACUUUUUUAUUUUUGUUUUCGAGAACGCACGAGCUUAAUAAGAUCUACUCUCGUGAUCUGCUUUUCACAAUAAAAUAAAAUAAAAUAUCACAUCACAUAUGAUAUAGUAUUCUUAUGGCGUUGAGAAAAAGAAAUUUGAGACCUACAAUAUGCAUUUUGUAAGUUAGAUAGAUACAUUAAAAAGCAAUUUUAUAGUGAUUUUAAGUGAUUUUAAACAGUCACACUCUCCACAUAUGGGAUUAAGAGUUUUUUUUCCAACAAAAAAAAACCUUUUAAGUGUUGUCAAUGUUUUCUUCUAGUAUAUAUAAAAAAUAUUAAUUGGAUUAAAAACUUUAUGUUUGUAUUUAAUAAAAUAACUAAAUUAUAUAUAUUAAUAAAUAUUAAAUAAAUUAUUAUGCUAACUAAGAUUGAGUCCAAAUUAAGAGAUAAAUAUAUUAUUAAGAUAUUUAAUCUUGAUUGAGAAUAGCUCUUCAAAAUUAUUUUAUUUAAUUAUACAACAAUAAAAUUAUUUUUUAUAAGAAAAGUUAUAAUUUAAUUUUAUCAAAAAUAUUUUCUUGUAUAAUUCCAUCUAUUUUUUAUUAAUAUAUUUAAAACUUAUUAAGUCAACGCUUUUCUAAUUUGAACCAUUUUUCAUGUAAUUAAUGCUAUUAUUUAAACUAUAUAUUUUAAAAAAUCUUUACGCUUCAUAAUAUAAAAUAAAAAGUACAACAAGAUCUUUUACCGAUCAGGAACCGAUCUUUGAUUAAUUUUCCAUUUGAAUUCAGUAAAGGGACCUUAAAAAGAGAAUUAACCUAAAGGUAAGAAUUAAUUUAAGCCAACAACUAAUCUUUGAUUUUUGGAAAACAGCCAAAAAGAGCUGUCAUUGUAGACUAUUAUGAUCUCCAAUUAUUUGCUUCGUGAACAUUGAAUUAUCAAACUAUUAAAGGAUCUAUACUUAUAAUAUAAUAUUUAUUGGAAUAAUUUUUUUAAUUUUUUAAUUUUUAUUUUUAAUUUCACUCUUUAACAACACCAUAUGUUUUUUUAUUUCUUCAUCCAAUAUUAAUUGUUUUAAAAAAAAUUAUGCUUCGUACUUUUUUUAUUAGGUUAUAUAUUGAUCCCAUGAAUUUAAUUUUUUUUCUCGAUUUUAACAUUUAAUAUUAGAUUUGUUAAAGAUGGGGUUUCAUAUAUUUUUUUAUAUGUUUGCUAUGAACUUAUCAUUAUCUCAUUACUCGUGUCUUUAAUUUAACAAGUUAAUGUAGUUUAACUUGAAUAAUUUUUUGUGCACACUUUUUCUAAUUAAUUAUUUUUCUUGAUUUUAUUUUUUAAAAUUUAAUUAAUUGAAAAUAGAGUAUCAUAAUAUAUAUAUUUUUUUUUCUGUAAGGUUAUCUCGAUCUCUUACAUAACCAAUGCCAUGAGAUUGGGAAGUUGACUCAUGUUCAAGAAUCAAGGAUUUAAAGGAAAUUAAAGUAAAUCAUUUUUGAUAGAUUUUGCAUUUAAAAUUAUUUUUGACAUAAAUAUAUCAAAAUAAUUUUAAAAUAUCAAAAAAAUAUUAAUUUAAAAUAAAAAAAAUUAAAUGAUGUUUUUUUAAACACAAAAAUAAACAGGAUCUAAGAGUGUGGCGCUGGCAUGACUGGAGCAUUACCGAACUUAAAAGUAUAAUGAUUUACAUGCUGGAAAAUAAAGCUUGUGGAGUAAUUUCUCAUACAAUGAUUUAUCCUUCUCCUUCACAUGCAGGAACAGUUCGUCUUUUUGGACCACGUACACCUAGAAUAAUGAUAAAUACAAGCCUAUAUGCGAAUUGCACGUUUUAUUCCAUUCAAUGAAUACUUCAAUGUAUUGGGUCAGUAAACAAAGUUUCUUGUCCUUAUUGUAUUGCAUUAUUGCACGUUUUUCUUCCAGUAUGAUAGAUUUUUCUACCAUUAUCAAGAAAAUAUAUUGAAAUAGAAAAUUUCACAGCUAAUAUAUACAAAUUAUAUGGAGUACUAUAUUUCUAAAGCCUAUAUUCCCACCUUUGAAGAAAUCUUUCUUCUUUCGAAAACACCUUGGAAAACACUCUCACUUCCCUUACGAGUCAAGGUUUCAUAUGGAAUUUUUUCCAUUCAUCAUUUUAUCAAAUUGACAAAAGACACACUCAAACGCCUUGUAAAAUUCUCUUAUUACCAUAAUAAUCUAAGUUUUUCUUAUCGUUUUUAAUAUCAAAUUAAUCCAAAUUGUGUUACAUCUAUCACUAUAUUUAACACUCUUGCAAGUCUCUUUAUAUCAAUAAUAUAUGUACCACUCAAGUUUUAUCAUCUAGUAACACGUAAGAAAUCUUUUUUCCUGGCGAUAAAUCUUAGAAAAACUCACACGUACUAUAUGCGAACAGGGAAUAUAUUCCAUUCAGUGAACUAUUCAAUAUAUGAUAAAUUUUGUUUGCAACCACGUAAGAAAUCCUUCUUUAUUUCUUACGACAAGUCUUAGACAAUACUUAAUUGUCAUAUGCUGUAGUGGUCCGUGACAUCUAAAUUUUUGGAUUGCAUUAUGAAAGUUUUUACCGCACGUUUUUCGUACAAUAACAGAUGUAAUGUAAUUUUUUUAUCAAUAUCAAAAAAGUUUCUUGUCUUUAUCGGAUUGCAAUUUUUUGCACGUUUUUCUUCCAGUAUGAUAAGUAACUUUUUCUUCUCAUUGUUUGGAUAUUUGAAAUAAACAAGGGAAAGAAAAUGGAAGGUAAAAUACUUAAUUUUUUUUUUGUUUUUUGAGGGAGUGAUAAUGUUUUGCACUAGUUGAAUUUAUGUUAGUUUAGGAUUUAACUCCCUUAUUAAGAACAUUUUGACAAAUAAUUAAAAGCAUACUUAUAAAAUAAGAAGGUUUUCCUCCAAAACCCUCUUACAUUGGAGUAACUUAAUGAAAAGAAGGGUUUUGAAGGAUUAUAAAUAAUAAGGUUUUCCUUCAAAUCCCUAUAACAAAUAGAAGUUGAGGAGAGGCCACCCAGAUAUCUUGAUCAAAGUCAAGGUAGAAAUUGAAAAGUAGUGGAAUGCUGGCUUUCUAGAAGUAAUUAAAUAUCCAUAAUUGGUAUCCAACAUUGUUGUCGUGCUAAAAAAAGAGAGGAAGAUUAGAGUUUGUGGUGAUUUCAAGGACAAUCUAAUUAGACGAGCUAAGACAAAUCCAUUGAGAUAAACACUGAGCAUACAAUCAGUAGCCUUUUACUGCAAGUUAUGAGAUGCAUGUUUGGACGACUUGAAGUUUCCAUGAAGGUUAAUGAUGACAUAUACUUGAAGGAUAUGUUUCAAUUGGAGGCAAGUUCGUGGCUGAUUGACAAUCCAGGACGAGGUUGACACUAUAAAAACUUGAUGAGUGUUGUCAUGAUGCACACAACCAAUCAGAGAACAAUUCUUGAGAAAAUCCAAAAGAUGAAUGAUUUGUUAAGCUCCUUCAUAAUAAAUCAAACACCACCACACUUGGAGGUAUUGUCAAGCUUGAUAAACAGCGAGAACAAUAAUAGUCGCAGGCAACCCACGAUGGGCACUACACUUACAUUUGAGUGGAGGGUUAGCACGCAAAUGAGCCAGUGAAUCAGAAGAACAAAGAAGGCUUUGGAUAACAAACAAAGGCACCCUAUGACGAUAAAGCAUCAAAGAGUAGGUAAGGAUGCUUACAUGUCAUCCAACCUCAAAGCAUUGCAAAUAUUUUUGAAUUGUUAUAGAAAAAAUCCUUAAAAAUCCAGCAAGAUUGUAAUGAAUCCAAGUGGACAAAGAAAGAAUCGUUGAUUUGAUAAUAGCAAAAAAUCAUAGUUUUAACUCUGAAACGAGAAGAAGAUGAGAUAAACCCUAUGAUUAGAAAAAUUUCAAAGAAAUGAGAAGAUUAACCAUGUCAGUAGGAGGAAUCUUUAGGUCAACCUUGCAAUCAGGAAACACCAAAUUUUCAAACCCCUCAAUCGAAAAUUACCAAGUCAACUCUGCAAUCAGGAAACACCAAGUUCUCAACCCUGCCAUCAAGAAUCCUAAUUUUAAACCUUGCAAUGAAGAAGACAAUCAACAAGAAAAGUGAGAAGAACCUUACUAUUAGAAAAUUCUUAAAGAAAAAAAAAAGUUCAAACCCUAUCAUUAGGAAGAAUAAGAAAAGCCUUCCAUAAAAAUGGAUGAGAUAAACCCUACCAUUAGAAAUUUCUUAAAGAAAUGAAAAGAUCAACGCUGCAAUCAGGAGGAGUCUUUAGGUCAACCCUACAAUCAAGAAGCACCGAGUUUUCAAACCAUGUGAUUAACAAUGAUCAGGUCAACUUUACAAUCAAGAAGCACCAAGUUUUCAACCAUAUAAUCAAGGAAUCUAGUUAAAUUCCAUCAUCAUGAAGGAUAAAUAUCAACCCUGCAAUCAGAAAGGACAAAUGUCAAUCUUGUUGUUGUUACUCAUUUUUGCAAGAUCAAAAGGAAAAAAAUGCAGCAAGCAUGCAUGGCAAAUGACAGUAAGCAAGCAUAAUCCUUUUGUUCAAACCAGAAUAAAACUGAACAUCUAGCCAACCAUUAAACAGGUUUGUUUUUUGGAAAAGAAUCACACAACAAAUGCCAAGCUUAAAUAAUAGCAAGAAACGGAAGACUAGGAACUAUACCUGCUGAUGCUAUUAUUUCAGAUGCCGAAAAUGAGGUGUAGGCAAGUGAAAACCUUUGCUUUUCUGCCUCUGAAAUUAAAGGAAGCCUCCCUCUUUUGCCGUUAAGAGUUUUUGGAAAACCCGUAGGUGUGGUGAACUCUUUUUCAAAAAAUGCAGGAUAGACUGUAUCUGAUUUUUCCUCUCAAUCUCUUUGUUUUUCUCUCGUGCUCCCUCCUCUCCUUUUUUUUUUUUUUCUUUUUUCUGGUUUUUCACAGCUUGCUUAUAUAGCCAAGCAAACUGGGGAACAGCCCCCCACCCUCUCUCAUCCUAGCCGUCUGUAUUAGGGGUAAACGUUCAACCCUUAGAUGGCGUGAGGCUCCUCUCCAUGUCCUCAUUCGCAGCUGGCACGGAGGAGGCGCAAAAACAUUUCCCUUGGACUAGAGCUCCUGCAUUGCAGCUGCACAUUUGGCGUGCAAAGGGGUUGUCCUGUGCACCAGGUUGCAGGAUACAAGGACGAAAGAUUUCACAAAAACAGCAGCAGCAGGUUGCAGAGAAGGGAAAGGUUGCAGGCGUGGGUACAGUACCAUGCUUAUUAAUUCAAAAUGGGGCUGCAUGUUCUCAUACGGCACCGUAUAGCUAAAGAAGAGGAUUAAUGCAGCAAAGAAAAACGGGGUCGUUUGUUGUUAGCAAAUGGGCAUAAUCGUGACCUGUCAUUUAUUGGUCCCUUCCUUGUUUUUUCUAUUUUCUUAAAAACCCAGCCAAGUCUCUUCUAAUUUAUUUCGGCAACUAACUCCCUUAAUUCAGUUUUUUUUUUAUUUAGUCCUGCAAACUUGGGGGGCAGAAAAUGCUUCCUGCGGUAUAAAAGUUUUGCGGCAGAAUUUUGUGGCAGAAUUGUUUGCGGCAGAAUUUCGCUUCCUUAUUAGAUAUUCAACAUGAAUAUCUUGAGCUUUUGCCAUUGAAAUCAAGCGAUUCAAAAAAACCCAAAUUCAUCUACACAUGUAGAACUACAACUUUCAUGAAGGAUUCAAGGUGAUAUAAAAUCAUUUUAUAGAACAGAAUUGGGCCGCAAUCUGGUUGGUAAAAAAAAUGGUCUCCUGAUCUGAUUCGAAAACUGAUGAAUGCUGGGUAUCCCGAUAUGACUGAGAGUCUGCCAUAAAAAUAGCGAGCCACAUGACCCAGUAAAAGUGUAGGUCAAUUUUCAACAUGUUAUGAGUGACAAAAUAUAACUGGGAUGAUCAGAUAUUGCAUGGAACUAGAUCAGAAUCAAAGCCUAAGUUGGAACAAAAAAUUGCAACAACGGCAGAGCCAAUUUUUUAGUGCAGCUUCUAAGGGAUUUAUCCAACCUUAGAAACCAGAUAGAAAAGGAACAAAUAUAUAACUUGUAAUGAUAAAAAAAAAAUCAUCAAGUGAAGAACUUGAUCAAAUCUUAUUAUCAAGAAAAGAAGUGAGAAGAACCCUACCAUUAAGAAAUUCUCAAAAGAAAGAAGAAAGUUCAAACCUUACCAUCAGAAAAAACAAACUUCGAUUCUAGUUAAAGGGGAUCGCUAGAUGGGAUCUUGAGUUAACCCAACCACAAAGAGAUUUUGUCUUUGGUUAAAGGGAAUUGCUAGAUGGGAUUUCAGGUUAACCAAGCUACAUAUAGACUUUGGCUUUGGUUAAAAGGGAUUGCUACAUAGGAUCUCGGGUUAACCUAACCACAUACAUAUUUUAGUUUUGGUUAAAGAGAAUCACCAUAUGAAAUUUUAGGUUGAUCGAGCUACACAUACAUUUUAGUUCUAGUUAAAAGUGAUCGUCAGAUGCAAUCUUAGAUUGCUCGAGCCUCACAUAGAUUUUAGCUUUGGUUAAAGAGAAUCGCCAAAUGGAAUUUCAAGUUGACUAAACUACACACAGACUUUGGUUCUAGUUAAAGGGAAUCGCUAGAUGAGAUCUUAGGUUGACCGAACCACACAUAAAUUUUAGCUUUGGUUAAAGGGAAUUGCCAAAUGGAAGUUUAGGUUAACUGAGCUACACAUAGACUUUGAUUCUGUUUAAAAGAGAUCGCCAAAUGGGAUCUUAGGUUGACCAAGCCGCAAACAUAUUUUUUUAGGUUUUGGUUAAAAGGAAACACUAGAUGGGAUUUCAGGUUAACCCAACCAAGUAAAAAAUUUAGGGGAUCGUUAGAUUGGGAUCUUAGAAUAACCAAGUUGUAUAUAGUUUUGAUAAUUAGUUUCUAGUUGAAGGGGAUUGCUGCAAAGACAAAGUUUUAGAACAACCGAGUUAAAAGUUUUGAGAAGAUCAGUUUCGAAAGAGUAUUUUGUUUGUCUUACAAACUUUCUACGCAAAGCACUUAACCAAUCUUUUCUCCAUAAGUAUUGUAAAGAGAGGGCAUUUGUUGUUAUCCAUUUUCAGGUUCUACAUAAAAAAAAAGAUACAAAAGAAUCAAAAAAUUAUUAUCAGAAGAAAAAAACCAAGAAAAAAUAGUAGUGGGAAGAGGAUGUUAGAGCACCCAUAAAAUGGCUAAAAAACAGUUAAGAAAUUUUAAAAAUACAAAGAUUGAAAUUUGAUAGUAUAUGUUUUUACUAAUGAAGGCCCUAUAGACAAAAAAAUCAAUUUUAAGAAGAGUCCAAACUGAGAUAUUUAAGGACUCAAUUAUAUUUUUUUGAAAGGCUAAUUGAGUUUAUGAAGGGUUUGAUUGCAAGAAAUGUUGAUUUUUAAGUCAAUUUAGGCUUUAAUUGAAAGAAAUUAAAGUUUGGGGCAAUUAGGGACUCAAUUGCAUAAAAAUUGAAGUUUGAUAGGCAAUUAGGGACUUGAUUGAAGAAAAGGCGCUUAAAUAUAGAGCCUGGAAUUGAUUGAAUCAAGGGCUAAAUUGAAAAAAUUAGAAGUUGAUUAAUUGUGGGCCAAAAUGCACAAAUUCAAAACCAAGGAUCAAAGUGAAAAAGGCGGUCAACUUCAGGGUUGACAUUUGAAUUGAUUCUUAAAGUCCAAAUCUUAAUUGAGGGCUUGGUUUAACAAAUUGAAAAUUAAUGACUGAUUUUGAAACAAAAACUUUUUGGUGCCAUUUUCAAAAAUUAAUUGAGGGCAUGUUUUGUUCAAAACAACAUCGUUUCAUUCAAUGUUCACAUAAAAAAAAGAAGGAAAACGAUGUUGUUUUGAACGACAUUAGAUAUCUUUUAUUUCGCUUAAACGCGCUACAGGUAGGGGAAGAAGAAGAUUGUUCCCCUGAUUCUCCUGUAGCGCCUUUCUCCCUCUCUCUCACAAAUACCCAAAACCCGACAUAACCCACACCCAUGGCCUACCACCAAACUGAAAAAAUUGGGGGGAAAGGCCCUGCGAGUGGCCGCCCCGCCACCCUACCCAUUCAACAGGAUUAGACUGGGUAGGUUGGCUCUCGCCUUCUUUCUCUCUUAUAAAUACCAGAGGUUGAGACAAGAGAGGGGGGAGGAGAGAAGGACGAGCAGGAAAAAAAAAACAAAGAAAAAAGGGAUUGAAGAGAGCAAAAAAAAACAUAAAAGAAUAAAAUAAAAAGGGGGCGACGAGGAAAGAGACAAAUAGAAAAAUAGAAAAAAGAGAGGAAAGAGAUUGAAACAGAAAUGAAAAAGAAAGAAAGAAAACAAGGGAGAAUAAAGGAAGGGAAGAGAAGAAGAAAAACGAUAGAGAGGUCGAGGAUAGACUAAUAGGAAAGAAGAAAGGGAACAAAGGAGAAGAUAAAAAGCAAAAAAAAAAAAAGGAAGAAUCACCAACCAGCAAAGUAGCUCCCAGUAUACGGCCACCUUGUUAAGAAGAAUAACCAUAAGCGCUACCAUCAACACCUGCCAGGUUAACUUCCCCUUCCUUUCUUCCUCCUCUUUUUUUUCCUUCUUUGGCAUCGUAUCCAUUGUUUUGCUAGUGAAGAGUGGAAAGUGAAUUAUAAUUUACUCUUCAAUGUUCAUGGGCCAGACCAGGGCCGACCCAAACCAAAAUGUGUUAGGUCGGGUCUGUCCCAGUAUCCUUUGAAAUAGUUUAGUUGAGUCGACUUUGGCCCAACCCUUAUUUUUGGGCAAACUUCGGCCCAAUUUUUUUUUUUGGGCCUAACUCGAACCAAUUCCUUUUGGGCCGGUCUCAACCUAGCCAACAUAAUUAGGCCCAACCCAACCCUAUAUAUUAUUAUAAUAUAAUAAUGAUAUAUAAUGAAAUAUAUAUAUAUAUAUAUAACAAACAAAGUUUCAAAAAUCCUUUCAAAAACAUUUGUGAUUUUUUUGUUAUUUUUCUACCAAUUUUGAUUAAUAUUGGUUUGUAUUUUUAUAUUGUAAAGAUAUAAUUAUAGUAUUAAAAUACCUGGUUUUCUUCAAAAUAUUGCAAAAACAAUUAUAUAGAAAAAACAACAAAAAAUGCCUUGUUUUAAUGCAUACAACCAAGUCUCUUAAGCUUAUAAGAAAUUUUCAUAUCAUAUUUUUAUACAACAAAAAUGUUUUUUUAAAAAUAUAUAUUAGCAUAUAUUUUAAGUUUUAAUAAUCAGCUUAUUAAAGCCAUGAGAACUAGGCUAAUAUUUCAAAAAUACCAAAAAAAUUAUUUUGUUUUCUUUAAUAUAUAGGAUUACGAACUUGUACCUAAGAUGUCUUCCUAAUAUUAAAUAAGAGAUAGUUCUUUUUUUUUUUUGAUGAUAGAACAAUUAGGUUUUACCUUGAUAAUAUAAUGAUUUCUUUAUUGAGGAGUAUUUUUCUUAAACAUUAGACAGACCAACAAUUAUAAAACACACCAAUACAUUAGUUUAUAUUAGACAAUUAAACAAUGCAGCUUAAGAUAAGGCGUAUUAGGGGUGUUAAUACAUUUUCUUUACACAAACAGUAACCAUGCCCAAUCUUUGAGACCAGUUACGGUUUCUAAUAACUAAAAGCUAGGUGGCGACUCCAAUUUUCUCUUUCCUCUUAUAAAAGACAAGAAAUCAUUAUCUUUCUCUUUUCCCAAUUUUCAAAUACCAAAAGUGGAUGUUCGUCGUGACGUCGUACAUGUGCGACGCUAGAUGCGCUGGUGAUGUCUGGCUUGGGCUAGAAUAUUGUAUGUCUAAUAUUGAAACACUACGAAUUGCAUUUUAAUCUUGCAAAUAAACUCAAUUCUAGGUUAGGUGGGGAGUAACGGUUUGACUCAUGACUUUCAGUCGAUGUUCAGAUUCUUAAACACAUCCAACUAUAAGUUAAGAUCUUUCUUCGUGCCGAGUCGUGAGCUAAGUAUUUACUCGAUAGUAGUGGUCAUACUAUGCCCCAAUCAUUCCUUAUAGAAGGUGGGUUGAUAUUUUUUUCUAAAAUAGUCUUGCCCCAUCUACCUUUUUUUCCUAACUACCACUUUCCAUGCCACCUUGCAAAUAUUACUAGAUUUAAUAGUUUUAUCAUUAGUGUUUAUGUUUAUAUUUAUCAAUGUUCUAAUAGUAAAAUUUGUUUUAUGCUUUGGAUGAUGUAAUAACUCGAGGAACUCUCUUAGCCAUAAAAAAAUACCAUUAAGGCUAUGGUAUAGAUAUUAUCAAGAAUACCCUUUAAAGAACGGAAAUAUUUCAUUCAUACAAGUGAGUUUGAUACAUUUUCUAAUAAGGUCUUGUCCCCUCUAUCUUUUUUCCAACCUACCACCUACAAUGUCAUCUUGCAAAUAUUACUAGAUUUAAUAGUUUUAUUAUUGGUAUUUCUAUUUAUAUUUAUUGAUUUUCUAAUAACUUGAGCUACUCCCUUGGGCAUUAGAAAGAAUGUCAUUAAGGCUAUCUAUAGUUUAUCUAUAGUCAAGUUUAUCUAUAGUUUCUUUGUUUAAUUUUGAGCUUUUUUUCACCUUUUUAUACGACAAAAAACAAGCUCAAAAUAAUUGAACUUCCUCAUCAAGGGUGGAUUGAUUUCCAAAGCAAAGUACACUUAGAACUUCAUUUCGAAAUAGAGAUAGUUCUGGAUUGCAUUACAAAGCAUUGUACACUUGGAACUUUUAUUUCCAACUAGAGAUAGUUCUGUUGACCCGGAACUUUAAUUCCAAAUAGAAACAGUUCAGUGUAGAGAGUCACGGUCUUAGUACAUAGUUGGGAUUAGGGUGGAGAGAUGAGACUAGUUGUGAAAGGGCGUGGAGUACAAAUAGCCUCCAAAGGCUUAGCCUUUUGUACAGAGAUAAGAGCUUUUACUAUGCUCAUAUCUAUCAGUUCCUGUCCGACUCUUUCCCAUUCAAAGCACUGAAUAAGUGCAGCCAAUGCCAGCAUCACUCUGCGCAUGGCCAUGUGAUUUCCAGGGCAAGCCCUUCUCCCAAUACCGAAAGGGAUGAAUCCUUAUUUUUCCCCUUCAUUAUUAAGACCUUCAAAUCUCUCCGGCUUGAAGCUCUCAGGAUCUUCCCACAACUUGGGAUCCCUAUGUAUGGCCCAUGCAUUCACCAUCACAAUCGUGCCUCGUGGUAUCUCGUAUCCACCUAUCAUGCAGUCUUCAGAUGGAGCGUGAGGCAGCAAAAGUGGGGCUGGAGGAUACAAACGAAGGGUCUCAUUAACGACACAACGGAGAUAUCUUAGCUUGGGAAGAUCAGACUCUUGUACCAAGCGCUCAUGUCCGACUUCCCUGUCAAUCUCUGCUUUCACCCUCUCUAAUCUCUCUGGAUGGUUCAGCAGAAAUGUCAUUGCCCAUUCUGUAGUGAAAUCUACUGUAUCUACUCCCGCCAAAUAGAGUGUCUGUGGUAGAUGAAAAAUUCAUGCUCAGACAAAGACAAUUACUUAUAUUAAUAUUGCUUAAUUUUAACUAGGGAUAAAUCCAGACUUUGGAAAGUGGGGUGACCAAACCGUACAAUUUUUGUUUUUAAAAAAUUUAAGAGAUCUUUAGAAAACAAGUAAAACUUCGAAGGGCCAAUAAGUUCGGUAUUCUAAGUUGCUUACCGCCAUGGUACCCUUGACAACUUCAUCCGUAUACAAUUCAGGGUCUGAUUUUUGGAGGGCCAAUAGACUUCCAAUAACAGUUGUCUGAUCCUUCACUCCUUCAGCAGGAUUACUUGUAACUGAACUUGUUUCCUUUCGUUUCACCUCUUCUAUCAAUCCCUGCAAGAAUUCAUCCCUCUCUUUAAACACCUUUAUCACACUCUCCUCCUCCACCUUGUAGCCAACCCAUUUCAAAAUGGUCCCUGUAUUUGAAGGGAAUAUCUUUUGGACAUCCUUAAGACACUGCUUUCCUGAAUCGAUACAGGUAGCCUUCUCCUCUUCCACCCACUUCUUUCCAGCAAUCAUCUUCAUAAUUACAUUGAGAGAGGUGAUUGUGAAGAAAUAAUUCAAGUCCACCUUCUUGGCUCCAUCAUCAGAGACUUUGGACAGAAUCAGGCGGAGAAGGGUGCGAACUUCUUCAGUAAUGGCAGUAGACCUAUCGAGGCAGCUUCGAGAAAACAGUUCAGUGACCGAGAAACGUCUCAGAGUCCGCCAGAGAUGGCCAUACGGAGCAAAUAAAAAGGCAGCGUAGUUGUAGCUCCAAUAAUGGAAAAAUAUGCUCUGAGGCCUGUUGGCAAAAACUAUAUCAUUCUUGAGGAAACAUUCUUCAGCAGCUGAUGAAGAACAAACAGCAACAAUGUUCUUGCUGCCUAAUUUAAGAGUAAAAAUUGGACCGCAUUUAUUUGAAAGAAUUGCUAGCACUUUAUGCAUUGGUGGCUUCGUGAUUCGUGACAAGGUGGAGAUGGCCUAUGAUCGGAAAACCGAAAGGACUUGGUGGUAAGUUGCGGGAACGUUGGAAUACAAGUUUGAAUACAAGAAAGCUGGAGAGGAAGAAAGCAAGGCAGUAGUACAUGUAGUCCAUGGUGAAGUGCAAAUUAUUUGUAAGCAUUGUGGGUUGCUGUGGAUGGAGAACAAGGUUUAAAUAGAUAGAUAUGAGAUAAGGGAAGAGAUUUUUAUUUUUUAAAAGCAGUUACUUCGAUUACAAACAUAUCUAAAUAAUAUUUUUUAAAAUUUUAUUUUUAAUACAAAUAAAUAAAAUAAAAAUUGGAUUGUCUGCAAGGUUCUUACGUUGGAUAAUGACAACGUACGUAAGGAGUAACAACUGCAAGAUUCCAAGUCAAAGACUGGCAGGUGGUCUCAAUUGUGAAAUCAAAUGAGAAUUGAUCAAGAAAAUAAACUGGAUAAAAUGAAAAUUUGAGUUUAAUAAAUUAACGAAUUCAUAAUGGCGAAGAUGAUUGAAAGGUUAUUUCACGUGCAAAGAAUUAAAAAUAAAAAAAUUGAUCGGUAUAUUGUUUCAUCAUUGAAAAAGGAACAAAUGUGUAAUAAUUCGUUAAUUAAUAGGCCAUGAUUUAAUGCAAUAAUUUUUAAAUGAUUAAUUAAUGACAAUUAAUGCCGGAAUUGUAAUGACAAUUACAUUUGAUAAGGUAUACUAAGUUAAUAAAUUGUAAGAAACUUAUAGUGAAACAUUUAUGUAGAAAACAAGGAUUCUCCGAACACCAAAGCAAUAUAUAGUUAAAUAAGUAAUUACAAUAGAUUAGAAGAACAAAUUAAAUUCUAAUGAAAAAGUAAUCAAACUCCUUCUUUAGCCACUAGAGUUCAGAGUACUUCAAGCGAGGGGAAAAAUACCUUAAUUAAUUGAAAAAUAAAUCUUGAUAAUUAACUCGUGUUAGAAAAUAAAUUAUCAAAUAGACAUAGUUUAUGGUUGAUCAAAGUGAUAAUUAUAUGAGUUUAACAAUUAAGGACUGAUUAGUAUUAUAUCAUUUAGUGAUAGAUAUAUGAUUGCUUAAUGUCCCAUCCAUCCGACAAUUUAAAUUAUAAGAAACUGUUAAGCCACGAUAGAACCUAAGAGUCCACGUCAUUCUAAGAAUGCCAUAAACCAGAUCCCAAAUAUUUAGGAUGAGUUGGAUGUGAGUGAAUGCAUGCAUAACAGAAGAAGCCAUUAAAUAUGGGUCAUGGCUAUUAAGGAGAAAUGGCAGGAGAGGUUACGACGAGUUAUAACACCAUUUAUGGCCAUCAGUUAUAUUUUAAUUAAUUCCAAAUUAUUAGUGAUUUUAAAAUUUUCUUUGUAUUUUAGUUUUAUGAUUCCCUUUGUAUUUCAGUUUUAUCUGUACUUAACUUUGAUUAUUUAAGCAGCCAAAUCUUGAAUAAAAGAAAAUAUAUAUUUUUUAGUAAAAAAGCGUGGUACAGUUUUCACCCGACAAUUUAGUACAGAUAAAACUGAAACCAAUUGUUUAACAAUUAAGGACCGAUUAGUAUCAUAUCAUUUAGUGAUAAAUAUAUGAUUGCUUAAUGUCCUAUCCAUCCGGCAAUUUAAAUUAUAAGAAACCAGGUGCAAAAAAAAAUUGAAUCCUCGAUUUCUAGUAAUAACAAAUAACACAGGAUUUAGUUUUUAAAGAUCAUAAAUUCGAGUCUCACAAAUCUUAGAAUUACUGUAGGUUUAUAUGAUCGUUAACUUCAAAACUUAUGGAAUUAAUUGAGAUACACACAAGUUAACCUAGACACCCAUAUUAAUAUAAAAAAAUAAUAAUAAUAACCCCAACAAGCUUUGUUCCAUCUCUAAUAUCAACCACUCCAACCCAGCAGUCAAUAUAUCCAUCUGUCCAGCCUACAAAGUUUAUGUCAUGGGAAAAUAACCCCACUCAAUUCUAAAAAAACAUUUAUGUCCCACCCCGAAAACAAAAGCAAAAGAGAAAAUGAUCAAAGAUAAUUAUACGGAUUGCAAUGUUUAUUUGUAUAUUUAUUUAUCACCAUGAGUUUUAACUUUCUUGUUAGUUUAUCGAGGAGGGGCAAGAUUGGAGGAUUGAGCACCCAGGUGCAAAGACAGGAAAAUUAAGUGGCACUAUCAAAUUUGAUGUGAAAAUUAAGUUAACUUUGCUCUUUCUAUUUUUUAAUUGAUAUAUUUAUAGUCCCUUUGAUUUAUAAAAAAUCACCUUUAAUCCAAAAUUUCUUUUUCUUUUCUUUUGAGCCCAUCGGUUUUGAGAGAUGAAAGAGGUUGAAGAGAGAAAAAUUCGUUGUUGGCACUAAUAAAACUGCGAAUAGUCAUGCUUUACUUCUUCACAUUUCAUGAAUUCAUCGCACCAACAAGAGAAAAGAUACACUCCUACACCUUAAGUGUUGUUUCUAUUUAUUACGGUAUUCAAAAUCAUUUACAUUAUGGUUUCAACACCAACAUGAGCACUGUUCCAUCUAUAUCAACCACUCCAACCCAUAGUUAUAAAACCCGGACCGGCUCGGCGGGUUGACCUGGGGGCUGGACCGGUCCGGGUUUGUCAAAAACCGGCCGGUGCAAUGACCCGACCAAACCCGUUCGACCUGGCGGGUCAACCCGUGACCCGGGCAACCCGGGCGAGACCUUUUUUUUUUUAAAAUGUGGGAUUUAAAACCCAUUAGUAUAUAUACCCUAUGUUCCCAUGAAAAAAAGUUAUGUUUUUUCAAUGUGAGAUAAAAAACUUUUUGAUUUAAAUAUUUCAAUUUAAAAGGAUAACAUUAAUAUAUAUACUUUAUGUUCCCAAGAAAAAAGUUAUCUUUUUUUAAUGUGGAAUUUGAAACCUAUUAGUAUAUAUACUCUAUGUUCACAAGAAAAAAACUAUGUUUUUUCAAUGUGGGAUUUGAAACCCAUUAGUAUUGCGUGAAAACAUUAAAUUCAUGAUUGGAGAUGGAUCCUCCAUUCUCUUUUGGUCUAACGUGUGGAUAAGAUCAAAUGUUUUGGAUAGCAUUUUCCCUAGGCUUUACUAAAUUUCUACUAUUCAGAAUGGUUUGGUUAAUGAGAUGGGUCAAUGGGUGAAUGAUCAUUGGCGAUGGAAUUUAGUUUGGCGCAGGAACCUCUUAUCUUAUAAAGAACAACAAUAUCAUCAUUUGCUCUUAAUGCUGGAGCCAAUGAUAAUUCAGCAAGCAAAAAAUGACAAACUCAUAUGGCCAUGUAAUUCUAAUGGAAGCUUCUCAGUUAAGUCCUGUUGCACCCUAAUUGAUAAUACAUCAUCUGUGAAUGAUAGAGUUUUUGAAGCUAAUGUUUGGAUUAAAGGGGCCCCUCUAAAAGUUCAGGUGUUUCUCUGGUUGGCAGUCCAGGACAAAGUACAAGAGCUUUUCUCCAUCACCGAAAUGUUUUGCCUGCCAUACAAGCUUCAUGUGUCUUUUGCAGCUCAGAUUUGGAAACCUUAGAACACCUUUUUAUACACUAUAACUUUUCUAAGAGUGUUUGGAUGAAAGUUUUGGAUUGGUGAUGUAUCUAAUGUUAUUUACCUAGCACACUUGACUCGUUGCUUCUGCAGAGGCCCGAAAUGGUGCAAGGCAAAUUCCAAAGAUCAGUUUGGAGACUAAUUUCCAGUAGUAAUACUUGGGGUAUUUGGUUUAAACUUCGUUAUUUACAAUAUGUAUAGCCUAUAUUUAUAUGGAUUUUUUCUUAAUUUUUUCAUAUAAAAUAUUAAAACUUUAAUAUAAAAUAUAUAUUUUUAAUAUUAAAACUACAUUAACUUAUUUUUUAGAAAUUGUAUUAAUAUUUUAGUCUCUUUUCAAAUGAGAGAUAAUUUUGAGUCAAAUUUCUUGUCGAAUCAAAUUAUGUUAAAUAGAAAUCUCACAUGAUAAAGCUUUCAAGCUUAUAUGAAAAUCUUGAUUGAUACAACUGUUAAUUAGAGGAUUUGUAAAUCUAAAAAGCAUAUAAGAGAGAUUUUAUCAUUUUUAUAUCCAAAUUUUUAUUCUUGUAAUUUGAUUCAUCAUUUUUAAUGUAUUUUUAAUACAUAAAAUCUAUGUAUAGUGAUGCAGAACAGUCUGUCAAUGCCACAACACAGCUCAAGGAUGCAGAGGAUGCAUAAGAAGAGGUUGCCUUGAAUUGAAUUGCAAGACUACUACAAUUACUACCAUGCACGAAGUACCAGCAACACUUUCCUUAUUAAAUUCAUAUUCUUAGUUUUCCCUAUUUAAUUUAUAUUCUUAGAUUGGCCUUAAUGCCUCCUUUAUUUCUGCAUUGUCUAGGACGUGGACUAAGAGUCCUCUUUGAUAGGGGAUUUUCCUGUUGCCCCUUUUAGAUUUCCUAUUUAAUUACGUAAGUUGUAUUUGAGAAGGAUUAAGGAUGAUGGCAAGCUUAUAAAUACAAGCUGCCACCACCCUCCAGGGGACACUUUGAUUUUUGAAAUAAUAAUUCUUCUUCAGAAAUAACUUGUUACUCGUGGAUUCGGGUAUCGAUUAUCGUUCGUGGACUCGAACACAUUACAAUAAAAGACGUUGUUCUUUUAUACGUUUUCGCUACGUCAGUUGGUAUCAGAGCAGGUUAAUCGUUGUUCAGAUGUCAAACCUACUGAACGAACGAGAAGCCAUGGACGAAGGAAGUCGUGAAAACAAUGAAAUCACACAGGCAGAAUUUAGAGCUUUCCAGCACGAAACACAGCAAGCCUUGCAAGCCAUACAAGCAACUCUUGCUAGAUUAACCACUGGAAAUAAUCUGCAGCGUGAGGAUGAGAGGGUACGCGAGAAUCACCGAGAACGCAUUGCCCCUGCACGUGAACACAAUCCAAUUCUACGUAGGCAGCCAGCCUACGAAGAGGAAAUAAGUGACGAUGAAGAGUAUGUUGAACGCAUACUAAGACCCAAUCGACAGGGUUAUCACAACAUGGGAGAACGAGGGCCUCAACAGUUUCGAAUGAAGAUGGACCUCCCUACCUUUAAUGGCCAGCUGCAGAUUGAGGGAUUUCUUGACUGGUUGGCAGUGGUGGAGAGGUUCUUUGAUUACAUGGAGAUCCCUGAAGACAAGAAAGUUAAGCUGGUCGCUUACAGAUUAAUGGGAGGAGCCUCCGCUUGGUGGGAACAACUACAACUCACACGAAUGAGGUAGAGAAAAGGAAUGGUUCAGACGUGGUCGAAGAUGAGGCGAUUGCUACGAUACAGGUAUUUGCCACCAGAUUAUGAGCAGAUACUCUUUCAGCAGUACCAAGAUUGCAGACAAGGAGCCCGAACAAUUCAAGCAUAUGUUGAAGAAUUCCAUAGGCUGUCUUCUCGUAAUAAUUUACUAGAAACAGACGCACAACAGGUCGCCAGGUUUGUUGGGGGACUACGUCUAAAUAUUCAAGAUCGAGUCUCAAUGCACACCAUCUACUCCUUAACAGAAGCCAUUAAUUUGGCCACAAAAGCAGAAGCACAAUUGGAUAGGACAAGAUCAACAGGCAUACCAAGGAGCCCCAUUGAAUCAAUACAGACGACAGCACCCAAGGGAAGGUUUCCAUUGAAUCCUCCACCUCCCAUGUCCAACUUUGCGAGAGGACCAAGCAGCAGCAGAACACAAGUGACAGCCACAGGGGUCGUGCCUCCAGAAACACCAAGGAACCCCUAUUCCAGACCAGCUUCAGACAAAUGCUACAGGUGUGGUCAACAAGGACACCGCUCUAAUCAGUGUCCAAAACGAGGGGCAGUGCAUCUGAUUGAACCAGGAGAAGAAACAGACUUGUUGACAGGAGGAGCAGGAGAUGAGCCUGAGUACACCUACGAAGAGGAAGAAAUUACAAGGGGGGAUGAUGGAGAACUACUCUCACGUUCUCUUGUCGUUAGGAGGCUGCUACUAGCACCAAAACUGAAGGAGUCGUCCCAACGACAUAAUAUAUUCAGGACCCGGUGUACUGUGAACAGAAAAGUGUGUGAUGUUAUUAUUGACAGUGGCAGUAGCGAAAACAUCAUCUCCAGAACCAUGGUAAAGAAGCUAGACUUACAGACGGAGAAACAUCCCUCACCUUAUAAGAUCGGUUGGAUCAAAAGGGGUGCUGAAACCAGAAUAACAGAAACUUGCCGCAUUCAAUUCUCCAUUGGCCGGCAUUAUAUGGAUGAGAUUAUUUGUGAUGUUGUCGAAAUGGAUGCCUGUCACAUGAUCCUAGGCAGGCCAUGGCAGUAUGAUAUGGAUGUUACUUACAAAGGGAGAGAUAAUGUGUAUGUGUUUAUGAGAGGAGGCUAGAAGAUUCUAUUGGGUCCUCUAAAACAAGACUUCUCGACAGUAACACCCAAGGUGCAGGAAAGGUCUGUAUUACUAGUUGAUGGAAGGACAUUCUUGAGUGAAACUCAUGGGGCCAGUGAAGUUUUUGCCAUUGUAGUCGGUGGGGGAAUUGGAACUGACCCGCCCAUCGUCCCAAAAACACUAGCCUCUACUAACAGAAUUCCAAGACAUAAUACCAGCAGACUUGCCAGAGGGGUUACCUUCCAUAUCGACUUAAUUCCUGGAGCUAGCCUACCAAACCGACCACACUAUCGGAUGAGUCCGAAAAAAGGUCUUAUCCUACAGGAGCAAGUGGAAGAACUGAUCAAAAAGGGGCUGGUUCAGGAGAGUAUGAGCCCUUGUGCAGUACCGACCUUAUUAGUUCCAAAAAAAGAUGGUAGCUGGCGCAUGUGCAUCGACAGCCGAGCUAUCAACAAAAUCACCAUUAAAUAUCGAUUUCCCAUUCCUCGGCUAGAGGAUAUGCUAGACAUGCUAGCAGGUUCGAAAAUAUUUUCAAAAAUUGACUUAAGGAGUGGGUACCAUCAGAUUCGAAUCAGGCCCGGAGACGAAUGGAAAACCGCUUUCAAAACGAAAGAUGGUUUAUACGAAUGGUUAGUAAUGCCAUUUGGAUUAUCCAAUGCCCCAAGCACUUUCAUGCGAUUAAUGAAUCAGGUACUCAAACCAUUCACUGGCAGCUUCGUGGUAGUAUAUUUCGAUGACAUAUUGAUUUACAGCCGGAAUGAAUAUGAUCACCUUGAGCACUUACGGAAAGUACUCACAGUUUUGCAGCAGAACAAAUUAUAUGUUAAUCUGACGAAGUGCAAAUUUCUGACCAGCAGUUUAUUAUUUUUGGGAUUUAUUGUGAGUGCUGACGGGAUUAAAGUCGAUGAAGAAAAGAUUCGAGCUAUUCGGGAAUGGCCUACCCCGAAAAAUGUCAGCGAAGUUCGUAGCUUUCAUGGUUUAGCCACAUUUUACCGACGAUUCGUCAGGGAUUUUAGCCGAAUCGUCGCACCCAUUACUGAAUGCAUGAAGAGAGGGAAAUUCCUUUGGGGAACUGAAGCAGAAUACAGUUUUGCAUUAAUUAAGGAGAAAUUAUCUUCUGCCCCGGUCUUGGCACUGCCAGAUUUUGAGAAGUUAUUUGAGGUGGACUGUGAUGCUUCAAUCAUUGGCAUAGGGGUUGUCCUAUCCCAAGAAGGAAGACCCGUUGCAUUUUACAGCGAAAAACUUAGUGAGGCUAGACAGAAAUGGUCCACCUAUGAGCUUGAGUUGUACGCUGUAUUUCGAGCAUUGAAAGUGUGGGAACAUUAUUUAGUACAAAGGGAAUUCAUCCUCUUCAGCGAUCACCAAGCACUGAAGUUCAUCAACAGUCAAAAUAAUGUAAACAGAAUGCAUGCUCGAUGGGUUUCGUUCAUCCAACGAUUCACGUUCAACCUAAAGCAUAAAUCCGGCUAGCUGAACAAAGUGGCUGAUGCCCUCAGCCGUAAAGUAUCUCUACUCAUCACCAUGCGGGCUGAAGUUAUAGGCUUUGAAUGUCUUAAUGAAUUAUAUGCAGAUGACGAAGACUUCAAAACCACCUGGAGCAGGCACCGGCAGGGACUAUCUCUUAAAGGGAUGCAUGUCCACGAAGGAUACCUGUUUCGGGGCAACUAGUUAUGCAUUCCAAGGAGUUCAUUGAGGGAGCAGAUCAUACACGAACUUCAUGGAGGUGGUUUAGGGGGACACCUAGGCCGAGACAAAACCGUGGCUCUUGCAGAAGAACGCUACUACUGGCCACAACUGAAGCGCGAUAUUGGUAGCCAUGUCAGACGAUGCCCAACCUGUCAAGCCGCCAAGGGUCAAACACAAAACACAGGGUUAUACCUACCUUUGCCCAUACCAGCGGCACCUUGGGAAGACCUUUCUAUGGAUUUCAUCUUAGCACUCCCACGAACUCAGCGAGGCGCAGGUUCAGUCUUCGUAGUGGUGGAUAGGUAUUCCAAAAUGGCCCAUUUUAUUGCAUGUAAAAAGACUUCUGAUGCUGUGCAUAUUGCCAAUUUAUUCUUCAAAGAAGUGGUGCGUCUACACGGAGUCCCCAAUUCAAUCACCUCAGACCGUGACACAAAAUUCUUGAGCCACUUUUGGAGAACCUUGUGGCGGCGUUUUAAUACCACAUUGAACUUCAACAACACCAGCCACCCCCAAACCGAUGGGCAAACCUCAUCUGUUGCCUUUCUGGAGAGAAGCCUAAGCAAUGGGACUUGACGUUAGCUCAAGCUGAGUUCGCCUACAACAGUAUGCUCAACAGAUCAACAGGGAAAACACCAUUCCAGGUAGUAUACUGCAAGCCUCCAAGCCACGCCUUAGAUUUAGUGCCUUUACCAAGACUUCUAGGACUGAACAUUGCAGCAGAGCAUAUGGCUGAUCGGAUCAAAGCCAUUUAGGAUGAGGUACGUCAGAAUCUAGAAGCAUCGAAUGCCAAAUACAAAACAGCAGCAGACCGAAAACGACGACCUAAACUAUUUAAAGUCGGGGAUCUGGUGAUGGUCUAUCUACGAAAAGGGCGGUUUCCAGUGGGAACAUUUAACAAAUUAAGUGACAAGAAGUAUGGUCCCUGUUGUAACCCAUUUUUGGGUCCCCAUAAAUGAAAUAAAAUAAAUAGCCAAAGGAGGUUAGAAAAAUAACAGGAGGCAGAAGCGCUCAGCAAAUGGUCAGAAAAAUCGGUCAAGGAGGUUAAAAAUACAAAGAUGGAUUUUUUGACAAUAUUUUCUUGAAUGAUGAGAGCCCUAUUGAGAAGGAAAAUUUGAAUUUUGGGGAGAAAAGCCCAAAUUUGGAUGUUUAUGGACUUGAUUGGAUUUUUAUUUGAAUUUAUAGGAGUUUUGAUUGCAAGAAAAAUUGUUUUUUAAGUCAAUUUGGGCUUUAAUUGGAAGAAAUUUAAGUUCUGGGGCCAAAUUAUAAUUUUUAGGAUUUUAUUAAGUCAAAUCAGGGGCAUAAUUGCAUAAAUAUUGAAGUUUAAUGGCCAAUUAGGGACUUAAUUGAGAAAAUCCGAAACUAGGGACCAAUUUGGAAAAGGUGCCUUAAAUUACUGUUCACUUUCUUCCUCAAAAAGCUGCCUGAGUGGCUGCUUUCCAGGCGCGUUUUCCGGCUCGUGUGGCCUCCAAAUCCGACACAACAUACACCAACAUGUCCACAUGCAACCCCUUUAUCCCGGAGAAUGAUCAGGUCGGGUCGAAAAAGUCAUAAACGACUCCGGUGAGUCAUAAACAUGUCCACAUGUUUCAAAACCAGGUACGAAUGCAUGCAUUGCAUCUAAUCAUAAAUCAUUGCAUAUAUGUUAUUUGGAUCGUUACAGGAGGAAAUCUUAGCGCAUUCCAACAAGAUUAUAGACGAAGAAAGAAUCAUUGAGUUGAUUCUAGAACAACAAGAAGAGAAGAUAAUGGUUUUCAAACACUCACCUUCGAUCUUAUUGCAAUAAGAUGGCUGAGGUGAUUCAUGACGAUAAGUUACUGAUCUACUUUUUCCAAGACAGUCUAUCGGGGUCGGCGUUAAGUUGGUACAUGAGGCUGGAUAAUGCCAAAAUCAAGAAAUGGAAGGAUUUAGUUGAGGCUUUCCUUAAGCAAUACAAGUUCAAUUUGGAAAUUGCUCCAGAUCGAACGAGCCUUAUGUCAAUGGAAAAGAGAAGCCAAGAAUCAGUAAGGGCUUAUGCGCAAAGAUGGAGGGACGAGGCCAUGCAUGUGCAACCCCCUUUGAUAGAAACGGAGAUGGUGAAUUUGUUCGCCAAUACAUUCAAGGCACCCUACUAUGAGCAUUUAAUGGGUAGCUCAUCUCAACAUUUCUAUGAUGUUGUACGCAUAGCGGAAAGAAUCGAGCAAGGGAUUAAAGCUGGACGCAUAAUUGAGCCAUUGGAGACAAAGGGUUUUUUCGGAAGAAAAAUGAAAGGUCCCGUUAACAACUUCGAAGGUGGGUCCAAUGACAAGAUAACAGAUUCAUAUAACCCACAAAUACCUACCUCUCAUGUGGCCCACAUAAACUUUAACAAACCUUUUUCCCCUAAUCGAGCAAAUGGCCAGUCAAACACCCAAAACAACCAAAGACCAAACACAAGAUACAUUUCAGAACAACUACCGCCAUUACCCAUGCCUCUGAAGGACAUAUAUGGCAAACUACUGAGCAUUGGACAAAUAGCUCCUAUCCCUACAUUACCACUACAGCCACCAUUCCCCAUCUGGUAUAAGCCCGAGUUGACUUGCGAGUACCAUGCUGGUAUUCCCGGGCAUUGUCUUGAAACGUGCUACGGUUUCAAGAACAAGUUGUUGAAGCUCAUCAAGAUAGGAUGGGUGUCAUUUGAAGACACACCCAAUAUCAGUUCAAAUCCAUUGCCUGGUCAUGACAAAAGUGAUAGGGGAUAAAGGUUGGAAAACCUUGGUCAAGAAUCGUCAAUAAUGAAGAAGGCGAGAUCGAAGGAGAAGACAAGGAAACAAGUGGGGAAGGAAGAUGAAGCAUUGCCUCGGUUGACUUUCCACACACUAGAAGAAGUUUCAGAACGGGUUGACCCAAGAACUUCUCGUAGUUUUCAAAAUGUAAAACAACUUUAUUUGCCUUAGCAUGUUUUUGUCAUUGCUUUUAUUUUCUCUAGUGGGCAUCAGAGCUCAUGAUGUCAGCCAGAUUUGUGUUUGUCUUUGAGCUUACCUUUUCUUUAAAUAAAUGAUGAGUUUAUGCAUUUUUUAACAAGUUUGAGUGGUUACAAAUAAAGUAUCAUAAAAUGGUUUAAUAUGAAAUUUAAGAAAAGCUAACCCUAAAGUACAACCCUACUCUGAUAGCAUAGGCAUGGAUAAAUGUUUAAGUGGUCAUUUGUAAUUGUCUUUUAAAGAAUAGAGUUUAUCAACCAUAACAAUGUGCAUUUUAAAAAAAAAAAAAAUAUCAUUAUCUCACUCACUAAAAAAGUUUAUCACUGGCUGAAUGAAUUGCUUCUCUAUAUAAAAACCCAGACUAAUAUCGCACCCCUAUACUGGGGGCAAGACGAUGUUUUAUGAAAAGUUUUACGAUUUGAAAACCAAGCUAAAGCAUUUGACAAAAGCAUGACAAAGAGGCAAAUACAAGUCAUACAUUUUGAGAAAAGGACUACUUGAAGAAAGUCAAAGACUUUUCUCCAAGAAUAUGAUAGGCAACACGAGAGAUGAAUCCAGCAUACGACUUCAAAAGCAAGUUCAUGUUAAGAGGGAGUCCAUGAACUAGAAGAAGAGGAUGGGGCCUAUGUUUCAAAACCAGGUACGAAUGCAUGCAUUGCAUCUAAUCAUAAAUCAUUGCAUAUAUGUUUUUUUGGAUCGUUACAGGAGGAGAUCUUAGCGCAUUCCAACAAGAUUAUGGACGAAGAAAGAAUCAUUGAGUUGAUUCUAGAACAACAAGAAGAGAAGAUAAUGGUUUUCAAACCCUGCCAGCAGGAAGAACGACAUCGAUAGCAUUCGGUAAAAAGGAAUCGCCAGAUGGAUUCCAAGUUGUUGAGAUCGCCAGAAGGGAUCUCGUAUUUCGAUGGAGGUCGCCAGAAGGGACCUCAUAUUUCAGUUUUGAAUAAAAGGAAUCACCAAGAUGGGAUUCCAAGUUUUGAGAUCGCCAGAAGGGGUCUCGUUUUCGAUAUUCACAAUGAAGGUCGCCAGAAGGGACCUCAAAUUUCAGCUUUGGUAUAAAAGGAAUCGCCAGAUGGGAUUCCAAGUUGUUUGGCUAAAGGAGAUCGCCAGAAGGGAUCUCAUAUUUCGAUGAAGGUCGCCAGAAGGGACCUAAUAUUUCAGCUUUGAAUAAAAGGAAUCGCCAGAUGGGAUUCCAAGUUAUUUGAGAUCGCCAGAAGGGAUCUCGUACUUCGACAUUCAUCAAGGAAGGUCGCCAGAAGGGACCUUAUAUUGAAACCAUUUCUUAGAAAAGCAUGGAGUUUACUAAGAAUUAUUCCCCUUGGGUUAGUCACCCAUACAAUGAGACCAUCAUUUUUCUUGGGUAGGUCACCCAUACAAUGAGACCAUCAUUUUUCUGGGUAGGUCACCCAUACAAUGAGACCAUUAUUUUCUGGGUAGGUCACCCAUACAAUGAGACCAUCAUUUUUCCUGGGUAGGUCACCCAUACAAUGAGACCAUCAUUUUUCCUGGGUAGGUCACCCAUACAAUGAGACCAUCAUUUUUCUUGGGUAGGUCACCCAUACAAUGAGACCAUUAUUUUUCUGGGUAGGUCACCCAUACAAUGAGACCAUUAUCUUGGGUAGGUCACCCAUACAAUGAGACCAUUAUUUUUCUUGGGUAGGUCACCCAUACAAUGAGACCAUUAUUUUUCUGGGUAGGUCACCCAUACAAUGAGACCAUUCUUCAUCUUUUUUUACCUGGGUAGGUCACCCAUAAUAAUGAGACCACUCUUUCCCUUUUCCACCCGGGCAGGUCACCCAUCAUAAUGAGACCACACACGCAUUUUUGUAUUUGGUUAUGGGUAAAGGAAUCGCCAGAUGAGAUUCCAAGUUGAUUGAGAUCGCCAGAAGGAAUCUCGCAUUUUGAUAUUGGUCAAAGGAGGUCGCCAGAAGGGACUUCAUAUUUUAGCCUUGGUUAAGAAGAAUCGCCAGAUGGGAUUCCAAGUUUUUGGGGUUAAAGGAGAUCACUGGAUAAGGAUCUCGAGAUGACUAAGUUUUGAUCAUAGUUUUUGGGCUAAGGAGGAUUGUUGUAAAAGACAAAGUUUCAGAUCAAUUAAGCUUCGACCAGAUCAGUUUUGGGAGUUCCGUUUUGGAUUUAUCUUUAUAACACUUACUGCGCAAAACCCAUGCUCCGUAAGUAUUAUAAAGAGGGGGCAUCUGUUGUAACCCAUUUUUGGGUCCCCAUAAAUGAAAUAAAAUAAAUAGCCAAAGGAGGUUAGAAAAAUAACAGGAGGCAGAAGCGCUCAGCAAAUGGUCAGAAAAAUCGGUCAAGGAGAUUAAAAAUACAAAGAUGGAUUUUUUGACAAUAUUUUCUUGAAUGAUGAGAGCCCUAUUGAGAAGGAAAAUUUGAAUUUUGGGGAGAAAAGCCCAAAUUUGGAUGUUUAUGGACUUGAUUGGAUUUUUAUUUGAAUUUAUAGGAGUUUUGAUUGCAAGAAAAAUUGUUUUUUAAGUCAAUUUGGGCUUUAAUUGGAAGAAAUUUAAGUUCUGGGGCCAAAUUAUAAUUUUUAGGAAUUUAUUAAGUCAAAUCAGGGGCAUAAUUGCAUAAAUAUUGAAGUUUAAUGGCCAAUUAGGGACUUAAUUGAGAAAAUCCGAAACUAGGGACCAAUUUGGAAAAGGUGCCUUAAAUUACUGUUCACUUUCUUCCUCAAAAAGCUGCCUGAGUGGCUGCUUUCCAGGCGCGUUUUCCGGCUCGUGUGGCCUCCAAAUCCGACACAACAUACACCAACAUGUCCACAUGCAACCCCUUUAUCCUGGAGAAUGAUCAUGUCGGGUCGAAAAAGUCAUAAACGGCUCCGGUGAGUGGCUCAAAGUGGCCACCUCGGGCAGUUCACAGCCUGGAGCUGCCAAAUUUGGCAGCUCGAGGUGCACACUUUGAGCCAACGGUUGAGAUGCUUCCCAACUGAAUCAAGGGCUGAAAUUUUUCCCCAACGUACACAAGAUUGCCCUAUUUCACAGCCUAUAAAUAGAGUCGGAUUUUAUGAUCUGAGGGUUGGAAAAUUCAGGUCCAAAGUCAGCCAAAAACCAGCAUUUUCGCCCAAUUUCUGCAGAUUUUUCUUCUUCUUCUUUCUUCCUCUGCAACAGGAAACCGACGCCGUCUUCCUCCAACUCCACCGACUGAACCACCACAUCGCAGCAGCCACAACCUCUUCGGCCAAGUGAGCCCCUCUUCCUUUCCUCCUCCUUCCUUUUCCUUUCCUCCUCUUCUUCUUCUUCUUCCUCCUUUUCUUCUUCUUCUUCUUCCUUACCUACUGUUCACUGCAUGAACAGUAGGCGUGAAAUAUAAUUCACGUCCUACUGUUCACGCAGGACGUGAAUUAUAUAUAUAUGUGUGUGUGUGUGUGUGUGGGUGUGUGUGUAUUAUAAUUUUAUAGAAUAAAAAAAUAAAAAAAAAUCUUUGCAUAUUAUAUGUAUAAAAAUAAGAAACAAUAUUUUGAAAAAUAUUGUUUAUUUUCUGCAUAUUUUUGGUCAAAGUGGUUUAAUGUUGGUUUGUAUUUUUUAUACCGUAAAGAUACAAAACCAGUGUUAAAAAUACCCGGUUUUCAUCAAAAUAUCAAAUAUUUUCAGAAUAAAAAAUGUUUUUGCUUUCAAAAAAAUUUCUAAAAAGUCCCUAAAAAUGUUGUUGAUUUUUCUGCAUAUUUUUAUCAAAGUGGAUUAAUAUUGGGUUGUAUUUUUAUACCGUAAGGAUACAAGCUCAGUAUUAAAAUACCUGAUUUUCGUCAAAAGCAUAAAAAAUAAUAGUUUUCAAAAAAAAUUGUUUUUGUUUUAAAAUACGGCCUAGUCUCUCCAAUAUAUAUAUAUAAAUAUUAUAACAUCAUAUUUUCACACAACAAAGAAAAUUUUCAAAACAAUAUAUGUAUUAACAUGCAUUUUGGCUUUAAUAACCAGUUUAUUCAAGCCAUGAGAACUAGGCCAAUAUUUCAAAAAUUCAAAAAAUCUUUUUUGUUUUCUUUUAGUAUUUGGGAUUACGAAUUUAUACGUAAAACGUAUUCCUAAAUAUUAUUAAUGAAAUUUUGGUAUGGACGUUAGAACGGUUAGGAUUUUACCCGAUAAGAUAAAGUCUUUCUUACCGAGGAGGAUUUUUCUUGAACCAUAGACAGACCAACAACUAGGAAAACAUGAAAAUAUCUUAGAUUUUAUCAGACAAUAAAACAAUGCAGCUUACCUUAGGUAGGGCGUAUUUGGGGUGCUAAUACCUUCCCUUUACGCAACCAGUCCCCGUACCCAAUCUCUGAGACCAGUUAGGGUUCCUAGUGACUAAAAUACUAGGUGGCGACUCCCAUUCCAUUUUCUACCAAUAAAAGACAAUAUUUUUGUUGUAUCCCCAUAGAUAUAGAUAGAUUUACAUUGUAGAUUAAGAAAAUGGAAAAACGUGCGACAGUCCCUAUCAGAUUCUAUGGAAAAUUAAUGAAAAUGCAUAUCGGGUAGACCUCCCUGCAGAAAUGGCAAUCUCUCCUACAUUCAAUGUUGCUGACAUAUUCGAAUAUCAUCCACCCGACGAGUCACCCUCCAAUCUAACCCACUCGAGGACGAGUUCUUUUCAAGCAGAGGAAACUGAUGCAAAACAGCCUGUCAAUGCCACAACACAGCUCAAGGAUGCAGAGGAUGCAUAAGAAGAGGUUGCCUUGAAUUGAAUUGCAAGACUACUACAAUUACUACCAUGCACGAAGUACCAGCAGCACUUUCCUUAUUAAAUUCAUAUUCUUAGUUUUCCCUAUUUAAUUUAUAUUCUUAGAUUGGCCUUAAUGCCUCCUUUAUUUCUGCAUUGUCUAGGACGUGGACUAAGAGUCCUCUUUGAUAGGGGAUUCUCCUGUUGCCCCUUCUAGCUUUCCUAUUUAAUUACGUAAGUUGUAUUUGAGAAGGAUUAAGGGUGAUGGCAAGCUUAUAAAUACAAGCUGCCAUCACCCUCCAGGGGACACUUUUGAUUUUGAAAUAAUAAUUCUUUUUCAGGAAUAACUUGUUACUCGUGGAUUCGGGUAUCGAUUAUCGUUCGUGGACUCAAACACAUUACAAUAAAAGACGUUGCUCUUUUAUUACGUUUUCGCUACGUCAUAUAGUGUUAACUAGCUAGUGAAUACUAAUCUCUUCUUAAUCUAAACCGAUGACAGAAUCGUAUUCCUUCGACACAUUCAUUUUAUAUCGAAUAAUAUCAUAGUCAUUGUCAUAUGCGUUUAUGUUCAUCGCCAGCUCUUGUGUUUUCUUUUGUGAUCUGUCACUCUCACAUUAAUUAUAUAUGGACGACAUGCAUUUUAUGUCUCAUUCAUUUAAUGUUAUAGUCAAUGCCACGUGCUUCGAUGUACCUUGCCAGCACAGACAUAUAUUGGGAAACAAAUUUAACCUAUUUUUUAGAAAUUGUAUUAAUAUUUUAGUUUUUGUUAAUAAAGAUAGUUUUUUUUUUUACAUCUUAGUAUUAGCAUAUAUUUUAUAUAUUCAUAUAUAUAUAUAUAUAAAAUAUUUUCCUUAUGCAAAGUUAAGUCCAUUUAAACUUGGUACCUAGAAGUUUUUAAAAUAAGAAAAUAUGUUUAAAUAUCGAUUUUAAUAUUUAAUUUGCAUCUGUGUUCAUAUUUAUGUAGAUGACAUUUUUUUUCACCCACCUGACUAGUGGUAGGAAAACGUAAAUCUCAUCAGUACAUCGCCAGCUCAUAUGUCAUUCUCACAUUUAUAUAUUUAUCGUCAUUGUCAUUUGCAUUUAUGUUCAUGAUAUCUACGGAUAUACGUACUAGAAAAACUUGAUUAACUUAUUUUUUAAGAACUACAUAAAUAUUAUAUUCUUUUUUAAUUACAGAUAUUUUUUUUAGAUAUUAGUAUUGACAUAUAUUUUAUAUAUUCAUAUUUUAAAAAAAUAUUUUUCUUAUGGAAAGUUAAGUCUUUUUACACUAGUUACCUAGAAGUUUUUAAAAUAAGACAAUAUUUUUAAUAAUUACUAAUAAGCUCCUUUCAAUAUAUUUAAUUGUUUGUUAAAUUUAUGGGUAUUUUUUUCAAAUCAAAUAUUUCAAACAAUAGUUUAUGCUUUUAUAUAUAAUUGCAAGUAAAUGAACAAUUUUGUUUAUAAAAAAACCUUUGUAACUUCUUUUUUUAAAUUGAUGCAAUAUGUUUUUCCUAUUGGUAAUGACAAUAUAUAAAUAUAUAUGCAAUUGACUGUGUAAUUGAUACUGACACGACCAAAAGCUUGAUGUCUUUUCCCAAGUGCAGGAGUGUCGAAGUAAUAAAUAGCCCGGCAAGACCGGGGUCGAACCACAGAGAGGUUAAUUGUAUAAAUUAUAGACAACAAGACAACAACAACAACAACAACAACAACAACAACAAUAAUAACAAUAAUAAUUAUUAUUAUACUCAGUACGUGGCGUUGUUAUACCUCAGAAUGAUCUAAAGAUCGGGUCACAGGUUUCCAGCCUAUAUACUGAGUUUAUGAAAAGAUCAAAUAUAUAUAUUAUAUAAUAUAAACAGAAUGUAAAUAAUAAUAAUAAUAAUAAUAAUGAAAGAAGAAGAUGAAGAAAUUAAUGAGAACUUUGAGAUGAAAGAUUAACGUAAGGAUUAAACAAUGAUAAAAACAAAUGUCAAGGUUAGAGGAUCCACUAAUGGUACUUCAAACAAGUAUAAUAUAAACUCUUAUUACUCAAUUGGAAACCACACAUAAAGGAGGUUCCAAUCAGAUUAUAAAUUAUUAACAUGAUUACAUUAAUUAUCUUAUUCGAAUAAAGCUAAUACUUGUAAAUGUUGGCAGGCAUUCAUGAUUAUAACUUAUGUUAACAACAAAUCAAGUUCCUUUCAUAGCUCAGGUGUCGGUUAAACCAUACAGUAUGGGCUAUGAAAGUGCCAAGUAUUUGUUGUACCAAGUGUUAUACAACAUAAAUCUAGAUUAACCAUUUAACAAGCAAAGUAUUAAAGUGAACAAGAUAACAAAUAUAAAACAUGUUAGUAUCCAACGUUAAGGUCCAUGUUAAGUUUAUAUUAUACUUGUUCUUACACCAUUAGUGUACCCUUUUCACCUUGACAUAAUUAACUUAGCUGACAUAAUAAAAGAAAGAAACAUAAAUGAGCAAGACAAGAACAUAAAUGAGAAAGAAGUUAACUAGACAAAGGAAAGGAAAUGAAGUGCAUAAACUUGAUAUUAAUGAAAGCAAGACAUAAGCAAUACAAAGAGAGAAAGCAAGAGCAUGAUCUUGAUCUGAACACCAAGAUGCCUCAAUACAUGGUAAGUGCCUCCUUUUAUAGGCCAAAAUUUGGAACUAUUGAUUUGUUGACUAAUUGAUGAGUGGGUGGCCACAUCUUGACUAGAUAACAAUCCUUAUCUUCUUGUCUGAUCAAGACGUCAUUGCUAACAUCAUAAUUUGCCCAGAAUCCUCAAGAAUGUUCUAGGAAAUUGUCUCAGCUUUCCAACAAAAAAAAGAUGAGGUCAUUUGGACUUCUAGAACUCAAGAUAUGGGCUGAACACUAAAUAGUGUUUGGGCUGCAGGACAGCUUCGGACUUCUUCGUUGUUCCUUCAAUUUGGACUUCAAAACGACCUUUUCAAAUCUUGGGCUCCUCAUGAAAGUUGUAGGCCUUUGUCUUACCUUUCCAUCCAUAUAAAGUGGACCUAAAUCCGAAAUCUAGAGCUCCAGAUAUGAUCCAAUUACCGAGCACUGUUCCGGUUUAGACUGCACCGACAUCUCUUUUCUAAGUUUGGCCAUCUCUUUGUCCUUUAACUUUCAAUGCUUAAACUCAUCAAUCAAUCCUUUUAUUUAUGUGAUAGUCCUGCAUUUAAAAUGAGCAUUUACCAUAAAUUAAGGUAUUUUAUAAUAUCAAACUUGUUAUAUAAAACAUGAUUUAGUUAAGGAGUUAUUGAUACUUCAAGUGCAAAAUGAUGAUAUAAAACCUUGAUAAACAUGCACUUUUAAGUACUAAUCAGAUACAAUUUAAUAAACUUUAAUCCCAUUGUUAAUUUUGUAUUUAUACGAUGUUUUCAAGUUUAAUAUGUAAUAAGUUGCUGACUUUCUUUCAUCUACUUGACUAUCACGCUUUUUCUCUUCAAAGAAAAUGGGAUCCACUUGACUGGUGAUAGGAAAACGUGUUUUCCAGUCUGUCCUCUCUAUUUUUUUAGUUCCCCUGUUACCACCUGUGAGGGGGUAUUUGCAGUGGUAGAGAGAGUGGGAGCUACCUAUCUCUGUCCAGUCAUGUGGUUAGGGCAGCUUUUAUGCAGCUCCUCAUAGGGCCGUGAUUUUUAUUUUCCUUUAACAUUUAAUUACACUAAUAAUUUUAUUUUAUUUUGUUAAAUUGAGUAUCAAUUAAAUGCCCUGAUUUUUUCUUGACAUUUCAAAAGCCUUAUAUUUAGACAAUCAAAAUAAAUUAUCAAUUCAAAUUCAAGAAAAAAUCAAUUUAAAAAAAAUAAAAAAAUCAUCUAUUGACUGUGUAAAUCAAUUUAUGAUAUUAUCAAAUAAAAGCGACUGUAUACUUGUUUAAUCUUCAAUUUCAAUUCUAAAAUCUGUAAGUUUUUUAAAUCAAUAAAAUUUAAUUUAAUUUUAUCAAAAUAAGCAUUAAUUGAGUGACGAAAUAUUCCACCGACACCACAAGGUCCCCAUAUACAUUUAUAAAAAUAAAUUAUAAAGACCAAUCCUAAAAUAAUACAAUGUUAAAGGGUCAGCUAAAAAAAAAAUUGAGCAACCAAAAUGAAAAAAAAAACUUAGGGAUUUAAAAAAAAAGGAGCUUUUUAUUAUGCAAAUUCACAUUCAAAUCUCUCCCAUACCACAAUAAAUGAAUAAAUAAAUGAUAAAUCUUAGUGUUUUUUUUAAUAGUUAUUGUCAUAUGCAUUUAUGUUCAUAUUUUUACACUUAUAAUCAUUGUCUUAUCAUUGUCUUAUGUAUGCAUUUAUGUUCACAACAGCUGGAGAUAUGUUAGAAAAACUGCAUUAACUUAUUUUUUAGAAAUUGUAUUAAUAUUUUAGUCUCUUUUCAAAUUAGAGAUAAUUUCGUGUCAAAUUUCUUGUCGAAUCAAAUUAUGUUAAAUAGAAAUCUCACGUGAUAAAGCUUUCAAGCUUAUAUGAAAAUCUUGAUUGAUACAACUGUUAAUUAGAGGAUUUGUAAAUCUAAAAAAAAACAUAUAAGAGAUAUUUUACCAUUUUAUAUCCAAAUUUAUUCUUGUAAUUUGAUUCAUCAUUUUUAACGUAUUUUUAAUACACAAAAUUUAUGUAUAGUGUUAAUUAACUAGCUAGUGAAUGCUAAUAUCAUAGUCAUUGUCAUAUGCAUUUAUGUUCAUUGCCAGCUCUUGUGUUUUCUUUUGUGAACUGUCACUCUCACAUUAAUUAUAUAUUGACGACAUGCAUUUUAUGUCUCCUUCAUUUAACGUUAUAGUCAAUGCCACGUGGUUCAAUGUACUUUGCCAGCACAGACAUAUAUUGGGAAACAAAUUUAACCUAUUUUUUAGAAAUUGUAUUAAUAUUUUUAGUUUUUGUUAAUAAAAUAAUUUUUUUUACAUAUUAGUAUUAACAUUUAUUUUAUAUAUAUAAUAUCUUCCUUAUGCAAAGUUAAGUCUAAUACCUAGAAGUUUUUAAAAUAAGAAAAUAUGUUUAUAUAUCGAUUUUAAUAUUUAAUUUGCAUCGACAUUUUUUCAUCCACCUGACUAGUGGUAGGAAAAUGUAUCGACAUAUAUAUAUUUUUAAUUAGAGAUAUUUUUUAAGAACUAUAUGAUUAUUAAUUAUUUGUUAGUAAAUGCAAAAAACUUGAUUAACUUAUUUUUUAAGAACUACAUAAAUAUAUAUUUUUUUAAUUAGAGAUAUUUUUUUAGAUAUUAGUAUUGACAUAUAUUUUAUAUAUUCAUAUUUAAAAAAAAAUAUUUUUCUUAUGGAAAGUUAAGUCUUUUUACACUAGGUACCUAGAAGUUUUUAAAAUAAGACAAUAUUUUUAAUAAUUACUAAUAAGCUCCUUCCAAUAUAUUUAAUUGUUUGUUAAAUUUAUGGGUAUUUUUAUCAAAUCAAAUAUUUCAAACAAUAGUUUAUGCUUUUAUAUAUAAUUACAAGUAAAUGAACAAUUUUGUUUAUAAAAAAACUUUCGUAACUUUUUUUCUUAAAUUGAUGCAAUAUGUUUUUCCUAGGGCUUGUCUCCUCUGCCUCUUUUAUCAUGGUGGUAGGUAGGCCAUGAGAGGGUGUGGGUUAUGUCAGAGUUUUUGAACAAGUGGGAGGAAGAGAAGAAAGGGAGAGACGUUGCAAAGAAAGGGAAGAAAAACUUUCUUUUCCUGUCGGUGCGCGUACGGGGAAAUAAAAGAUACAGGGUGUCGUUUUCAACGACACCAUUUUAAACUCUAGUUUUAAUGAACAGUGCAUUAAGUAGUAUUAAUUUAUACAAAACCCGGUGUUUCAUUUAAAGAAAAAUGGUGCCAAAAAAUUUAUUUUAAAAUCAGUUUUUAAGUUUUUAUUUGUUUAAUCAAGUCAUCAAUUGAUUCUAAAAAAUCAAUUCAAUUGCAUCAUUGUCAAAUACAAACAUCAACCUUGAAAUUGGUCAUCUUAUUCACUUUGAUCCUUGAUUCUGAAUUUGUGUAUUUUAAUCCUUAAUUGAUCAAUAAACUUUAAAUUUUUUCAAUUUAGUCCUUGAUUCAGUCAAUUUCAACCCCUAUAUUUAUGCACAUUUUCCAGUUUGGUCAUUGAUUUUUGAAUUUCUUUAAUCAAGUCUUUAAUUGGCCUUCAACUUCAAUAUUUAUGCAAUUAAGCCCCUUAUUUGACCAAAUUAAUUCUUGAAAAUUGUGAUUCAAUCCCCAAACUUUAAUUCCUUCCAGAUAAAGCCUAAAUUGACUUAAAACAUUAUUCAUCUUGCAAUCAAACCCUUCAUAAACUCAAUUAAUCUUUGAACAAAAUCUAAUUGAGUCUAUAAACAUUCAAUUUUGUAUUUUUUUUUUAUCAAAUUAAAUUUUCUUUGUCAAGAAAGCUCUAAUCAAUAAAAAAUAUACUGUUAAAUUUUAAUCUUUAUAUUUUUAAAUUUUCUUAAACAAUUUUUAAUUAUUUUUUGGGCAUUCUUGUGCUUUCAAACUUUAAUAUUUAUGUAAUUAAGUUUUUGGUUUGCUGAUUGAAAUGUUAAUGAUUGGUUUAAGUGUGUUCAAUUUGGAUAAUUAAACAGGUAAAUUUUAAAUUGAUAUAAUUGAAAAUGAAAUGGAUGAUCCAUGUUGGUGGGACCAAGAUUAGGUGUAAUAAAAAGAGAGAGGAAAUUAAUAAAUAAUGGUUUGAAAGGAAAGACAAACUUAUGUAGUUGGCUUUUUAUAAAGUAUAAUGUUGGUGGGCCUGAUGUUGGAAAAAACAGUAGGUUUUUUCUUUUAAUUAGUUUGCUAUUUGACUAAAUCUUAUUAAUAUUUCCCUUUAAUUACUAUAAAAAAAUAGUGUUGGAAAAGAAAUAACAGAAAGAAGAAAAUAAAUAAUCAUGUUCUAAAUAACUUGUGUCACUAUAAUCAUAUUAAAUAAUAAAAAACCAUGUUCUUUAUUCAUUGCCUAAAUAUAAUUUAUUAACUUCUAUUUUUCUUUCUUAUUUAUUAAUAUAAUUAAUAUUAAUAGAAAUUAGGUUGAUGACCCAAAUCCAUCGAUUCCUUCACCUGAAAAAGGAUCAGCUAGGGAUGGAUUUUUUAUUAUUAUUGUAUAUUCUAGUAUUUGUGUUUUUUCCGAUAUAUUGUAUUUGUUUUUGCUAAGUCCUGGUUAUUGUUUUUGCCUUUUCGAGGCUUUAACUCGGAAUUUGAAAAAUAUUAAAGUUACACCAUUUACAAUCUAGACUCUAGAGUUUUAAGUUUUUCCUUUAAUUUUACAGUCUACUGAUAACCUCUCGAUCCAACAUAUAACUCAACUUAAUUUGAGCUCCCUCUUUACCUAUCGAUCUCUUUCACUAUAACACAUUUUCUCCUUCUCUACUUGUCUUCUUCUGACUCGUUAACUAUAGAUUUUUUCCAGGCGAGUAAUUAUUUUGUCAGAAUUGUGUCGUCUGCUGCGCGUGGAGUGCUAAUUAUUUAAAUGUCACGGUUCUCAAUAAUAACAAUAACAUGUAAAAGUGUAUUAUUUCAUCAAAUUGUUUUACUGUAGUACUAAUUUGUUAUUUAUUUUAAUUAUGUGUAUUAAUUUCACAAUUUGUUGGUCAAAGCAAUUUAAAAAACAACAAGUCAACAAACGUAUAUCAUAUAGUCGGUGAUUUGGUUUUAUUAUUGUUGACAUUAAAAUAUUAAUGGUAUUAUUCAUUUAUUGCUAUUAAUAUUGUUAUUAUGGUUAUAAUAACAAUAUUAUUAUUAUUGAUAAAUAUAAAUAUAGCACAGCAUGGCAUGCAGCAUACAUCCAUUUAUGCCCAUCAAGCCAGGGACUACAAAAGCAUGACUAUACAGCGAUGAGAGCAGGAGUGAGCAACAUAUGUAGCACAGCAUGGCAUGCAGCAUCAACCAGAACACAUGGCUUAAGUCAGCCAUCAGAAACCACUAAAUCCAGCAGCAGGGACGACCAACCAGAGAUCAAUAUCAGCCAAGACUGGUAAGGAAAUGGUUCUGUUCAUGGAAAUGCAACACCAUGUAAAACACAACUUGGAAUUUGCGAAAUAGAACAUCAGCUAAAGUGCAAUUGUCUUCAAAAAUUCUUUUGUUUCUCAAAAGAAUUAACAACAAAGAAAUAAAAGAACAAACAAAUAAAUACAAAUUUGCUUACUUGGAACACUAGCAUAAACAGUCAGGUGGAAAUUCGUCAAUUUCCUUUCUUCGUUUUUUUGUUCUUUUUUUCCUUUUUUUUCCCUUCACUAUUUUUCUUUUCUCUUUCCUUUUUUUCCUGAUUUUCUUUUUAUCUUUUUAUAAUUUUUUAUAUAUAAUUUCAAUUUUUUUAAUUUCAAAACAAAAUAAAAAGGUUGGUGGCUGUUAGAGAAUAAUAUAAAUUAUAUCUUGAGGCCUCACUUAAGAGUUUAAGCUAUUGGGUUGAGAUGGUUCUUUGACAUGAUAUCAAAGUCUUGAUGAUCAAGCGGUUACGAGUUCGAAUCUCACCAUCUCCAUUUAUUUGAUAAAAAAAAUUAAACAUAAGGUAAUGUAAACUUGUGCAAGUUUCAAGCUUAAAGAGCUUUUACUUGAGGGGGUGUGUUUCAGAAUAAUAUAAAUCAUAUCCUUGAACCUCACCUAAUAGCUUAAGCUAUUGGGUUGAGAUGAUUCUUUAACAUGGUAUCAAAGCCUUAAUGACCAAGCGGUCACGAGUUUGAAUCUCACCAUCCCUAUUUAUUUGAUAAAAAUUAAGCAUAAGGUAACGUGGGUUUGUGCAAGUUUAAAGCCUAAAGGGCUUUCACUUGAGGGGUUAUGUUAGAGAAUAAUAUAAAUUAUAUCUUGAGGCCUCUCUUAAGAGUUUAAGUUAUUGGGUUGAGAUGGUUCUUUAAUAGUGGCACUUUUGUAAACAAACAAAAUAAAGUGGAUGGGUACAGCUAGUUGCGAGUCGAGGAGUGGACCCUUGGGUUAGGCUAUUUUUGCACGUCACCUGCGUGACGUCGUUUGGCGAUUUUCUGUUGUCUUGAUUGAUUGGUUAUUUGAGAGUCGUCACCUAAUAUUUGAUUAAGGGUUACUAGGAAACCCAAAUGUACUGGUCAUUGUCAGAGAUUCGAGGGUAAGGGACUAGUUGUGGCUAGGAAAGGUAUUAGCACCCUAGCGCACCCUACUUGAGGUAAGCUGCUUCGUGAUUUGGUGUGAUUUGAACAUAUUAGCCAAAUUCUAAGGCUUUAAUAAAUCAGUUAUUAAAUCCCAGAAUAUAUGUAGAAACAUGUUUUUACAUUUUCUUGGAAAAUACAACGUGAUUUUAUUUUUCCUUGAGAUAUUUAACCAUAUUCAAAUUAUACACUUAAUUCAUUUUUUCUUUUUAUAAUUCAAUAACUUACAUAAAAAAAAUACAAACACACACACAUUUCUUUUUAUUAUGUUUUUCUCAUUCACCCACAUUUACAUAUUACAAAAUAACAAAAAUUCAAAAUAAAUCAAAUAAAAGUAAUCUAAAAACACCUAUCAACAUUUGAAAAUUACAAAAGAAAGCCUCGGGAACAGUGCUUGAAGGUUUCUGGGCAUGGAACAGUGGCGGCGCGUCUUCUCCACACGCCACCGCAACUGCCGUCGCGUAGGUUCACAGGCCGUCGCGAAAUCUAGAGAGUGAGGGGGGGAUCUUCACCUUCUUGUUGGCUAUGAGCAACGCCGUUACUUGCAAAACACCAAAAAACACAAGAAGCAUGUCAUAACCAAUUCUGGGUUAUUCCCAAAAAAUCAUUUCUUUUUCAAAAUAAAAAUCAAAAGAUAAAAUAAAGGCUGGCAACGUGGAGAAAGCAGGCCUGGAAAUCAAGCUGCAAUUUUUGGAGAAAAUUCAAGGCCUAAUUGUACCGCAUUAUGCCAAAAAAAAAUGGAGAAAAAAUGCAAAUACAAGGUCAAAUUAAAUGAUUAUUGAAUGAAUUUUUAUAAAAAUUAAGUCCAAUGACAUAAUUAAAUUUUUAAUAGGCCAAUUUGAUUUAUCAUGGGCCAAAUUGAAUUUUAAUUAUAUUUAAGAAUUAAUUUAGGUCCAAAUUGAAGGAUUUAAUUAAGUGCAAGGACUUAAUUAUACUUUAAAUGGGUCAAAUUAAUUUUAUUUGGGGCUUAAUUGGUGAAAAAUUAAGUUUGGGAGCCUAAUUUGGGCUUAAUUGAGAAGAUUGAGAUUUUAAGAGACUAAAUUUAAUUUUUUCCAAAUUAAUUGAUUGAAAUUAGAGGCAAAAUUGCAAGAAAACUGAAGUUUUUGGGUCAUUUAGGGGUUAAAUUGACAAACUUCGCAGCCAAAGCCCAAUCUGCAAAAGGCGCCAAACUUUAGGGGUGAAAUUGACAAAAACCAGGGGUGAAAUUGAAAGUUUAAUGGUCAAUUAGGGGUUAAAUUAACAAAUUCUGAGACCAAGGACCAUAUAUUGUAAAAGGCGUGUAACUUCAGGGUUCCAAUUGAAGUUCAGAGGGGGCUUAAUUGCAUUAAAUCAAAAGUUCAGGGUCAAUUAGGGAUUCAAUUGAAAGCAAUUGAAAGAAAGAGGACUCAAUUGAAAUUCAAUAAAAAUCCCUCAUUUAGUCUAAAACGGCAUCGUUUUACUUAUAUAAAAAAAGAGAGGACCAGACAAUGCGUCGUCUGGUCACUGUUCAUUGUCUUUCCCAUUUUACCUGAAAGAAACAGCGUGGGAGUCUACUUUGCACGUGCAUUUAAUGCUUCAUUUCUUCAUCAAAUCAAACAAAACUUGAAGACCCCACAGACACCUUUCUUCUCCACCAACAUAAGGUGGCGCAACCUCCCUGCAAACCGAAAUCCACACCAGUGGAAGAACAACCACCGCGACCGUCGAUCCCUCUCCACUUGCAGAUUUGCUUCUUCUUUCAUCUCGCUCUAGCCAACUCAGGCAGCCAACUCCACCGCCGGUAUAACCACUGCACAACGUCUUCUAUUGUCAGAUCACCACUGCGCCCGGUAGCCUUCUCCUCUACUCGUUUGCAACUUCUACAACCAUUUGGUUGCAUGCAGAACAUGAAUAGUAGCUGUUCACGUUUCUGCAAAUAAUUAGCAUUGAAUUUGGGCCAUGCUAGUUACAGUCCAGCCCAAUUAGUUGGUCUAGCUCGGCCCCAAAAAAGAGAACAAAAUAUGUUGGGCCGUGAUCAACCCAAUCAUUUUGGGCCAAGAUCAGCCCAACCAUUUUCUGGUUUUAUGCCUGGCCUAGUUAUCUGGCCCAGCCUGGCCCACCUGUUUUAAUAAUAUUUAAUUAAUAUAUAAUAUUAUAUUAUAUAUUUCCUUUUUCUAUAAAAAAAAAUUCAAAAAAAUUCAAAAAUCCUUUGAAAAAAAAUUGUGAUUUUCUCAAAUACAAAUUUGGUAUUAAAAUACCUGUUUUUCUCCAAAAUAUUUCAAAAAAAAAAUUUAAAACAUUCUAAAAAAGAAAAAAUAUUUCAUUGUAUACGGCCAAAUCCUAAAAAUUUUCCAAUCAUAUUUUUCAUAAAAAAGAACAAAAAUUGCAUUUUUUUAUGUUUAAAAAAUAAAAAAUGGAUAUCGUAACCAGUUUAUGAUUAUCCAUUAGGGUUUGACCAAAAUAUCAAAAAUAUUUUUCUAAUUUUUUUUAGGGUUUAGAUGUAGACUUUUUCUAACCUUUUUUAGGGUCUAGAUGUAGACUUUAAUAUUUGAGGGGUGUAAAAUUACAUGAUAAAGCAUACCCUCAUGUAUUAAAGAUACAAGGUGUAAAUAAAUACGAUGCUAAAAUUUAGACUUUAGAAUGGUUAGGAUUUAAUCCGAUAAGGCAAAAACUCUCUCAUGAAGAGAUAUUUGCCUUGAACCUUAGAAAAGACCAACCCGACUUAGAAAAAAAACAAUCAAACAACAAAGCAGCUUACCUUAGGUAGGGUGCACUAGGGGUGAUGCGUCUUCCUCUUGCACAACCAGUCCCUUACUCAGACUCUCGCAGACCAUAGGUUCCUAGUGACCAUAAUACUAGGUGACAACUCCUAAACAUUAAUCAUAAUUUUAUGAUUAAAUAAAAAAAUCCUUCCCAACACACAACACCCCUCACACAGGAGGCACGAUAAAGAGCUUCUGCCGUCGCCAGACGACAUCGCACCCCCACGACAAAGCAAGUCUGUUUUAGUUUUGUUUUCAGAUCGGCUUCUCUUCCCCCUUUUCGAAUCUGCUUCUCUCUCUCUUUCUCUUUCUCUUCCUCUUCCUUCAAAUCUGCCAAAUCUGGAGCCGGGCGUUACACGCGCCUCUGACAGACCAGGUGUGUGGAUGGCUGCAUCGGCAACUUCCCUCCUCCUCUUCCUUCAUAUCUACACCGGCGGUGUCGUCCACUACUGCCAUGGUUGGGAGACUGGCACCCUUAAAGUCUCGGUUUUCUACCCCCUUCUACUGUCAUUCAGCCUCCCUUUUUAUUUCUUCAUCUUCUUCACAAUGAGCUGCUAUUAGCAGCGAAGAGGAAGGGAGGGUGAGGGGACUGCUGUUGGGAGAAGUGGGGAGAAGCUGCCGCUGUUGGAGGUUGAUGUGGGUGUGGCCUUGGCUGUUUUUUGGAGUUGGAGGCAAACCAGAGAAGGGAAGGGGUUUUGGCUUGUUGGGAAGAUGUGGCCAGGGAGCUGGCGGCUGGAGGAGGAGAGCUUUCUCUCUUUCUAGCUUGGGUCAAAAGGAAAGGGAAAUGAGGGAGGCCGAGAGAGGAGCUGUGAGGGGCUGUCUUGGUUAUGGGGAAGCAGUGAAAACCAGCUGUUGGGAGUAGGGGUCGUUUAUUGGUUUGUUCUAGGUAGAGGUAGGGGUCUUUUAUUGGUUUGUUCUAGGUAGAGGUAGGGGAACGUGAGAGGCUGUCGUGGAUGGAGAUCUGCAAAGAGGGUCGAAGGAAAAAUGGGGGGUCCCUCGUUUCAACCCUCUAGUGCUUUAAAACAAAAGGGUGGCGGCCCUCCUAGAGAAGAUGAAACAUUGGGUAUUUAGGGUUUUUUUUUGGGCUCCCUAUGGCUUUUCCCCUCUCAUAUAAAUUUUUCUCACUGUGAGUAAAUUUUUUUUUCCUCCCUGUUUUUCACUAUAAUAUGGUAUUUAUAGGAGAAGUGUGGCUUGGCCAAAAUCACAUUGGUUCCUCAUCUCUUUAUUUUUUUGUUAAUUUUGAUUUUCUCUUAUUUUUUGUAUUUUUAAGAGCGGGCAAUUUCAACAUCGACUCAAUAAGAAAAAUUAGUGAUCAUAAAAUUUACGCGUUAAAGGUUGAACGUGUUCAAAAUACCUUUGAAAAUUUAAAUUUUUUUGAGAUGUUGAAAAUGCUAAAAAUGAUGCAAAUAUAUCAAAAAUAUAUUUUUUGGGUUUUUUAUUGUUUUUUUUUUUUUUUCCCAUUUGUUUUCCUAAAAAUUUAUCAAAAAUAUGAGUAAAAAAUUGGGUAGCAACAGACGUGAGUCGAGCCCAAUGGAGCUUUUUGUGGAGACUCAUGUAUGGAGUGAAGACAACCAAAAGAGGUUACAAUAGUUCAUCGACAACCACGCUCAACACUUUGUGGUAUUUUUUUCAACUAUUUUCUUUUGUAAGUUGUUAUUUUCUUAAAUUGAAUUUGAUGCUUUUAGUUUUUAUUUCCAGGAGCAUAUAAUAGCUAGCAGAGAUACGGUGAUGAUCUUUCAACCCACCUAAAUUUUGAUUAGGAUUUAUGAAUGGAGGCAGGAUCGUUUGGUGGACCUAAUAGAAAUUGAGUGUACGGACUCUCCUACACUACGAUCGAGAACUUGUGAACGACCCAUGGUGUCUCCACUGUUGGGAGCUUACAAUUGGUAUCAAGCACCUAGUCUCAGGAGUUCGUGGCCUUGCAGCAAUAUACGACCCAUCUCACCAAAAAAAAAAAGAGCAACUCUAGACAGAUUAUGAACAACUCCACCAAAUGAUCAUGGACAUGAUAUCAUAGAUGGGUGGUAUGUGUGAACACCCUUUUUGGCUGUAUGGUCCUGAGAACGACCAGCCUCCUCCAACACCAUCAUUUUUAUAGUUUAAUUUUAUUUGAACAUAUAAAUUUGUAAUGAAUAUUUGGAUUUUAUAUAAUUUAAUUUUUUUAUAUAAUUUUUUUAACUAUUUUAUUUUUUUGUUCAAAAGAUCUUUUUAUAAAAAUAAUUUUUUUAAUCCAAUAGAUUAAUCUGUAGGUAUAUUUCAAAGAGUUUGAAACAAUUCACUUUUACCACAUCAAAAAUUUCCUUUUAGUUUGACUUGAUUUUUAAAAUCAUACUACAAAUUUAUUUUGUUUGUAAUAGUUAAUUAUAAUUAGAAUUAUCUUUUGGAAGUUCCUACAACAUAUGAAGUGCAAACUCAAUUUGAGUACAAUACAACAUUACAAUAUUAUUAGUUCAGAAUUACACAAACCCAAAUUUUAACAAUAAUAAUCCAAUUCAUCAUUACGUAGGAAUAAUAAAGCUAAACAAGAUAAAAUCCUAGAAUGCCGAUUUUACGGAAGCUAUAGUCUGUAUGAAAGUGAGGAUCAGCAGGAUAGCUGCUGCAACAGUUGCCGUACCUCUCCAAAUAUUGGGGAAAUAUAUAAGUUUCAAGGAUGCCUUCGUAUGGUUAAAGCGGUUCUCAUAGUGGCGAUUUUUAUUUCUAGAGAUAUAACCAAAACAAGUACAAUUGUCACCAAUAUUUUUGCAAAAAUGGUUCAUCAUAUUUGAAACUGCGGCAUCGUCGCCUAGCCCGUUGAGAAUGAUUCCCUUUCGGACUAGCAAACCCACGUCUUCUGCACUGUCGAUAAGAUUGUCCAUAAACUUAAUGUAACUGCAUACGUAAGCUUGAGACGGGUAGCAGCACUGCUCCAAGGCCAUGAUAUGUCGUACAAGACGUUCGAAGCAGUAACGGAUAUCCAAGAGUGGUAUUUUCAACACUCCUUUAUCAAAUUUUAUGUUGACCAAACAUUUGUCUUCUUUGAUGACCUGAAACUUCACUCCCGCCUUGCGAAGCAUGACGGCACUAUAUUUCAGCUUCAUAGGAUUCAACGUAUAACGUUUCUUAUCGGCUCCCUCCAACAAGAAAUUCCUUAGUAAAUCAGUGAAAUGCCUGCUUUCCACUGCAGUCGGGUUCCUGUUUUUUAACCCUUGUGAAGACGUGUAACGUGCAAAAUAAGCGGUAGCAAGAUUAAGAAAAGGAAUGCUUGGUGACUCUUGGCUAAGGAGAUUGACCUGGUCAUAUAUUUCCUGAAUAAUGAAGAAAGGUAGUUGGUUUUCGAGUAGUAUCAAGUCUUCUUCUAUGUCAAAUAUCAUCCAGGGCUCAAACUUGUUAGAAAGUGUCCGAUCAUUCGAAUCCUUCAUAAACUCAAUGACGAAGACAGCAUCCAGCAGUAUCAUCUGUAUGAAAUCAGAGCUCCUAAUUCUGGUUAAGUUCUCUGAAUAAGAGACUCGGAUAGCCAUUUCUUUCUUCUGAAUGCUGCACACAAGAUCACUAAUUUUCUCCUUAUCCAUCUUAUGCCGUUUAGUAAACUCUGUGAAAUACCUCACUUUCUGCUUUUCCAUGGCCUCUAGUCUUUUAUUGCUGCGGUGAAGAGGACCUAUUGAAAUCAGUCGUGGAGUGUAGAUUUUCGGUUUGAUGUUUCGAAGCGAAUUGAGCACCCUGUAGAUACAGCACACAGCCCUGUCCUGUUGAGAGGUCAACGAGUCCAUCUUAGUUUGCAGCUGUUCCAUAAUAUCUCUAUUCACAUAUUCAAUAAUGGAGGUACUUUCUAUAUCCUUUCCUUUGUUUGAAGCAUUUAAGGUGUCAUCCCUUUCCAUAUUUGAGGUACUUGGUUGUUAAUAUCCUUAUCAACUUCUGAAGCACUUCCUACAUCAAUACGGUUUCCCUUGUUUAGAGGACUUGCCUUAUCCUCUUCCAUAUUUGAUACACUUGCCUUUUCAACACCAUUAUUCGUGUUUGAAGCACUUGCAGAAAAAUUUAUCCUUUUCCAGUCUGCAUGUUCGGUGAAACAAACCGAGAAUGAAUGGAUGGUUUAUAUAGUUCAAUUUUGGGGGUUUUUUCCCCUCAGAAUAAGGUACUUUUUGAGAUAUAUUUUACCAAACUAAUACAAUGAGUGAACGAACGAGGUAGAGAAAACAAUGUGUAAAAAAUAAAUUACACAUAAUAUGAAAAAAAUGAGCAGGCCACAUGAGCAGAGGCUAGUAUGAAAAGAAUACAUCGAGCAUAUGAGCUGGAGCUAUUGAUUUAAAAAAUAAUUAUAUAAAUGUUAUGGCUUCUAGCGAGAAAAAUUAUAUAUUAUGAUGUCCGCAUUAAUGGCAGGGAUUAAUACAUGAAAGUAAACUAGUCAUAAUGGCAAGGGCCAAAGAAUGUUCUAAUGCACAAGUUAUAAGUAAUGAAAUGCGUUAAUGAAUAUAGAUAAUGUAGAACAUGAACUACAAUUACCGUAAUGAACCGAUGAGUACAAGUUAUACAGUACAUGCUAUAAGUAUUAAGAUAUAUUAAGGAGUGUCUUGUUGAUGUAAAGUAUAAGUCUCAAAUAUUGAAACGUACCAUUAAACGUGGUUGAUGUAAAUUACAAGCUAUAGUUAUUGAAAUACAUAGGUGAAUCUAUAGUGAUGCAAGGAAUGAGAUGAUGAUCAUUAAAAUAAAUAAUGAAAAUGGUUGAUAAAAACCUCAAGCAAAGGUUAUUUAGAUUAAUCAAUAAAUAUAUUAAAGAAUAAUAUAAAUUAUAUUUUAUGACUUCAUCUAAUAACUUAAGUUUUGGGAUUGAGAUUGUUCUUUAACAUGAUAUUAAAGCUUUAAUAAUGAAGCGGUCACGAUUUUGAAUCUCAUCAUCCUUAUUUAUGUGAUAAAAAUUAAGCACAAGAUAAUAUAGGUUUAUGCAAGUUUCAAGCCCAAAGGUGUAAUAUCUCAUAUCAACGGGUGAGCACUUAGGGGAGUGUUUUAUAUGAGCAUGCUCACCUUGACUAGUAAGACGCAUUUUAAAGCCAUACAUGGCUGCCAAGAAAAAAUCCGUAAGGCUCGUGAGCCAAAGCAAACAAUAUCUUACUAGUGGGGUAGUGUGUUACUAUUUGGUAUCAAAACCCGACUCACUAGUUGUCCGGUGAUGUCGUCAGGCUCCUUAAAGGGGGUGAACUGUAAUAUCCCACAUCAACAGGUGAGAACUUGGGGGAGUGUCUUAUAUGAGCAUGCUCACCUUGACUAAUAAGACUUGUUUUAAGGUUAAACGUGGUUGUCAAUAACAAAUCUGUAAGGCCCGUGGGCCAAAGCAGACAAUAUAUUACUAGUGAGAGGUAGGGUGUUACAAAAAGUCUUUCACUUGAAGGGGUGUGUCAGAGAAUAAUAUAAAUCAUAUAUUGAAACUUCACGUAAUAGCUUAAGCUUUUGAGUUGAGAUGAUCAUUUGAUAAAAUGUAUUAAAUUUAAGGUAUAAAUAAAUGUAUUAAAUGGGUUGAUGGACCUAUAAUCAAUUUAAACCAUAAGUUUAGUGUGUUUAGGAACUUCUAAUCAAGAUAAGGUGUGACUAAAUGUAAAGAAUAAAGUUCACCAAACUAUAAUCAAAUUAAAGUAUAAGUAAUUGUAUUGAAUGGGUUAAUGAAACCAUAAUCAAAGUAAAGAAUGAGUUAAUGUAUUAAUGAAACCAAAGUAUGAAUUUAGUGUAUGGAAGGGGUCAAUGAACUUAUAAGGAGGUUAAAGUAUGAGCUGCAAGGAAUAUGAUUAAUAGAAAUCACGAGCUAGGGGUAUUGAAAUGAUUCAACGAAUACAAUUAGCUUAAAGUAAAGGUUUCGAUUAAUGGAAAUAGAAUAAUGAACAUAUAGUUGAUCAGAUCAUGGUGCAUUAUUGAGGGUGAUAGCCCAUGGCAUAUAAUAAAGGAAAAGGUAGUAUUGGUUAAUGGCAUGAAUGCAAUGAUUUAGAAAUCUAACAUAGAUCAAAUAUGCCUAUAAAAGAUCUAAUGAUGUUGUGAUUACUGCUAAAGAUGGUGAAUAUUAGUAAGAAAAUGACUAUAUAUUAUAUUUAGGGUUUAAACUUAGAAAUUUUAUGUGUUAUAUAGGUACUUUUCAUCUAGAAUCUCAAUCCUUAAUAACUAGUUUUCAAGCUACAUAGCAUGUCCCAUGCUAUAUACAUUAUGUAUAGAAAUUAUAAUGUCUGACUUAUAUUAUGUACAUGGUCUAUUAAAUGUAUUUAUGUUUGAUUUUUAUUGUAAGAAAAAGAUAGAGUUAUAAUUUUAGAUUAGUGGAUGAUUAAUAGUAUGUAAAGAAAGACUAUGACAUGGUUACAUAAUAUACUUGAUGUGUAUAAUUAUGCCCUUGAUUGGUUGGAUGGUUGGUGAGCCUAAGGCCACUCUUAUGUGAGUGCUGGUUUUAUAAAAUGAAUGCAGCUUGGAUUUUUAAGUAUUUAGAACUUUAUUUUGUAUGUAUAUAUAUAUAUAUAUGCUUGCAUUCAUCUCUUAAAACAAUAUUAUCUAUAUUAAUAGAAUAAACAUAUGGUAAAUAAAUAUAGUUGAUGAUCUGUGAGUAUGAAUGGCUUGAGUUGUUGUUUUGGGUUGUUGUUGGUAUUUACAUGUAUUUUAAAGGUGGAUAAAAUUUUAAAAAUAGUUUUCAUGUAAGGGAAAUUUUACUAAAAUUUGGUUAAAAUUUUAUAUUUCCUCACUUUAAUAAAAACAAAUCCCUUAUCAUAGUGGAUAGUGAUGUGAUUUAUAAUUUGUAUUAUGUGUGAUGACUGAGGGUGACUUUGUAUGAGAAAGACUUUGAAUAAUAAAAACAAUUACCCUAUUUACACUCGCAUGAUAAUUGGAAGAAGUGGAAAUUGCAUUUAAUAGUUCUGGCAUUACAUAAUUUGAGUAGAAUGGUUAUUUUGAAUGCUUUAAAUUAUCAAACUUGGAAUGGAAAAAUGAAAGACCUUUUAUUUGAGAAACAAUUUCAUCUACUGGUGUUUGCUAAUAAGAAGCCUAAAAAUAAAUCUAAUGAAGAAUGGACUUUAAAACAUCGAUAAAUGUGUAGAUACAUAAGGCAGUCGAUGGAUGAUAAUGUUGAAUAGUUAUAUGCUUAGAAAACUGGAAAUAAUAAAAUGUUUUUGAUAAAGCAUUUGAUGACUUGAGUUGCCAAGAUUGAUAUUGAUAGAUCACUUGAACACAUUCCUAUGGAAUAAACCUGGACAUUAUAUGCCUGGAAAAUUGGAAAUAAUAAAAUGUUUUUAAUAAAGCAUCUGAAGACGCAAAAGAAUAAUUAAUCUAGAACGGGCAUCAAGUUUGAUGAUAAGGUACAGGGGUUGUGUUUCCUUGGUACAAUGCUGGACUCCUGGGAGACAUUCAAAAUGUCAUUAUCUAACUCAGUUGUAAAUGGCGUAAUGAAUAAAUUAUUUAAAUCAGAAUCGAGAUAGUUUUUUGGUUUUAUGGAAGUUUCCCUUGAGUUCUUAGCUUGGCAGUUUGGUUUGUGUGGAGGCAAAGCUGCAUCCUGUGGUUGUUGCUCUGUUUUUGUGGUUUUCUUGGGUUUUUUUCCUUUUUUGUUAGUUUAAUUUGCUAAACCUGAGUGUUGUGCAGAUUUGUAUCUUGUCCUUCCCGUCUUCUUUUGGCGUUUUAAUGCAAUACUUUAGUUAUAAAAAAUAUAGAUCUAGAAAAGAGCAAUGUUUUGAAUGAAGAAAUGAGAAGAAAAUCAUAUUGUUUUGCUUCACAGCUAGAGGUUUUAGUUACAGAAAGGAGAAGGAUGAAUGUUGAUGGUUGCCUCAUUUGUUGCCGAAGAAGUGGUCUUCGAUGCUAAGAAGAUUAAGUCAAGAUUAUCUCCAAUAAGUUAGGAAGUUCUUUACAAAUAAAGCUGUUAUAGAAUAACUUUUUUUUUGUUAAAAUCUUGUCAUUACUUUUCUGAAUUUAUUAUCAGAACUCUUAUAUAAAAGAGUGAUUCAAUCAAUAAAAGAAUUAUCUUACGGUCACAAUAACAACUAUUCUAUAUUGCUGGUUUUACUUCGUUCUUCAGUUUCUUUAUAUCUAUACUAUCAAAAACUACAAAUUGGUAUCAAAGUAUAAUUGAUUUUAAGGGACCAACUUGAGUGAAGAUAUUAAGGGACCAACUUGAGUGAAGAGAGUAACCUGUGAGAAAUCCUUUUCCACCAAAAAUAAAAACACCUAAACCUCCUAUCAUUUUUAAUGACAUAAGACAUUUAUUCUCUUGCAUCACUACCAGUAUUUGUCGGUGAAAACUAUCAGAUGUGGGUUGUAAGAAUGAAAACAUACUUACAAGCCUGUAAUUUUAGAAUGUUGUAGAACAAGAACAUGAUCCACAACCACUUCCUGCAGAUCCUACUAUAGCUCAAAUAAGAAACCAUCAUGAGGGAAGAGCCAAGAAGUUCAAAGCUAAAACAUGUCUUUACUCUACUAUUUCUGAAGCAAUAUUUCCAAUAAUCAUUGCACUUGAUACAACCAAACAAAUAUGGAAUUAUCUGUUGUAACCCAUUUUUGGGUCCCCACAUAAAAAAUAAUAAAAAUUAAAAAAUUAAAAAAAUAUAUUAUAAAAAAAACGCAAAACCAUGCCGUUUGGAAACGGCACCAUCGUCUUCUUCCCCUGGACGCGCAGAGAACAGGGGAGAAGAAUCGUUUUUUUUCUUCUCUUUUUGCCUACUUUCUUUCCCGUUUAUUGCGCAAAAAGACGCCCACCAUGAACACCCACUUGUCUGGCGUUGUUAUCCGUUGAAGGUAGUGGAGGGGGCGGCCAACAGUAGCCGCCCCAACACGUUCGCUCUCCCUUGUUUUCCUAUAAAUACAGGGGAGGGCUGUUGAAAAAAAAAGAAGGGAAAAGACCAAGAGAGGGGGAAGAGAAUAGAAGGGAGAGACAGAGACAGAGAGAUAGAAUAAGAAGAAGAAGAAGCAGACAAAAGAGUAAAACAGAGGAGAGAGAGAGAGAGGAAAACAGCACUGCCGGCCACCGCGAACUGCCAGCGCCGCCGCUACCACCCCUUCCGCCUCAGCUGCUGCCAGCAUCAACACCGUUCCAGGUAACUUUCUCCCCUGUUGUUUUUUUUUUUGCUUCAGCUUCAUCUGCAUGCAGAACGUUUACGUUCUGCAGCAGAUGAAGAUUAAUUAGCUAGACUGGCUAAUUAAUUCACGGGGUUACUGUGUGCACAGUAACCCGGUUACUGUACACGCUACUUAAUUCUCUGGUUACUGUGCACACAGUAACCCGAUUACUAUGUCGUUGGGCCCAGCCCAUGCAUUUGGGCCUGACCCGGCCCAUUUCAAAGAAAAAAAUCAAAAAUAUUUGUUUCAGCAUUUUAUAAUUUUUCCGCGUAAUUUUUAUGUCAUUUUGAUUAAUAUUGGGUGGUAUUUUAUGUUGUUAAAAAUACAAAAAUCUGAUAUUAAAAUACCCGGUUUUCGUCAAAAAAUUCCAAAAGUACAAAAAAUUGAAAAAAAGAGAGAAAAAAAUGUUUUUGUGCAUACGGCCAAGUGUCUCAAAUCUAAAAAUCAUAUCGUAUUUUUCAUAUGUCAAAAAACAAUAUUUUAGCAUUCAUUUUGGCUUUAAUAACCAGUUUAUUAAAGUCAAGAGAACAUUGACCAAAAUCUCAAAAACAACAAAAAUAUUAUUUUGUUUGAUUUUAGUAUCAGGGAUUAUGAAUUUAUACGUAAAUCGUAUUCCUGAUAUUAAAAAGAUAUUUUCUUUUGACGACUUCGAAUAAUUAGUUUUUUACCCGAUAAAGAUAAGGAUCUCCUUACAGAGGAGGACUUUUCUUAAACCGUAAACGAACCAACAAUUAAAAAACCACAACAUGAUUUUAGAUUUUAUCAGACAUUAAAACAAUGCAGCCUACCUUAGGUAGGGCGUAGUUGGGGUGCUAAUACCUUCCCUUUACGCAACCAGUCUCCGUACCCGAUCUCUAAAGACCAGUUAAGGUUCCUAGUAACCAGAAUACUAGGUGGCGACUCCCAGUCCAUAUUUUCACAUAUAGAGACAAGAAUUCCUUGUCUCUUCCUAUUUUCAAGGAAUAAAUAAAUAUUUCGAUUUUUCCUUGAGGGUGGACGAUUGUCGCGCCGCCGCACAUGUGCGACAUUAUCUUAAAGUGGAUUUCCACAAAAAUAAGAAAACAAUUCAAAUACAAGUCUUGAAUUUGAGAAGUGAGUUUGAGAUGCAAAAAAUGAAGAAAUCAGAAACAAUCAGAGAAUUCUCUAACAGAUUACUUUCCAUAGUCAACAAAGUAAGAGUAUUGGGGGAAGACCUUCCUGAUAAAAGGGUUAUUGAAAAAAUUCUUGUGACUUUACCUGGAAGGUUUGAGUAAAAAAUAUCUUCAUUAGAAGAAUCUAAAGAUCUGUCAAAAAAUUCUUUGGCAGAAUUGCUCAAUGCUUUACAGGUAGAAGAACAAAGAAGAACAAAAAGGCAAGAGGAGUCCAUGGAAGGAGCUUUUCAAGCUAAAAUACAAGUCCAGGAAGUAGACAAAGGCAAAAAGAAGAACAAAAAAAAGUAUAAAAGAGCCAGUAGCAAUAAUAAAAGAAUUGGAAACUUUCCUCCUUAUCAACAUUGUAAGAAAACAAAUCACUUACAAAAAUAUUGUUGGUGGAGACUUGAUGUUAGAUGUAGAAAAUGUAAUCAAUUAGGACACAUGGAAAAGAUUUGCAAAAGCAAAACUAAUGAGCAAGAAGGUGAAGCUCAAGUUGUUGAUCAACAACAAGAGGAGCAGCUAUUUUUGGCCACUUGCUUUGCUAGCAAACAUGCAAGUGAUUGCUAGCUUAUAGAUAGUGGUUACACAAAUCACAUGAUGAAUAAUGAAAAUCUAUUCAAGCAACUUGACAAAUCAAGUGUCUCUAAAGUUAGAAUUGGCAAUGGUGAAUAUACAUUCAUGUCAAAGGGAAAUGAACAAUUGUUAUUGAAGGAAAUUCGUGUAUAAAACUCAUUUUAGAUGUUCUUUUUGUACCUGAAAUUGAUCAGAAUCUGUUGAGUGUUGGUCAGCUUCUUGAAAAAGGAUACUUAGUUGUGUCAAAGAUAAACAUUGCUUAAUUUCUAAUCCUGCUGAAAUAGAAAUAUUCACUAUAAAGAUGAAAGGAAAAGGCUUUUCACUGUACUGGAUGGAAGAGGAGUCAGUUGCCUUUUCAAGCACAGCAAAUCAGAUAGAAUUAUGGCAUAAGAGGCUGGGGCAUUUCAGUCAAGCAAUGUUGGUGCAUAUGCAGAAAAAGAAGAUGAUGCAAGGAAUGUCAAACUUGGAAGAAUAAAUCUUAGUUUGUACCUCUUAUCAAUAUGGUAAGCAAAACAGACUUCAAUUUUCUCUGAACAAGCCUUGGAGAGCAAUAGAAAAGCUUCAGCUUAUUCAUAUUGAUGUUGUUGGACCUUUGAAGACAAUAUCCUUGAAUGAAAGCAAUUAUUUUAUUGCUUUCAUUGAUAAUUAUACAAGAAUAUGCUGGGUCUAUUUCCUAAAGUUUAAGUCUGAGGUAGCAAAUGUUUUUCUAAAGUUCAAAGUCAAUUUGAUUUUCAAUCCAGUUUUUACAUUUUCUGAACAUCAAUAUAAUGUGCUCUUACACUCCUCAACAUAAUAGUGUGAGUGAAAGCAAAAAUAGAACAAUUAUGGAGAUGACAAGGUGUUUGUUAUCUAUUUGAGAAAGAUUUACCCAAGAAGUUUUGGGCAGAAGCGGUGAACAUUGCAAUCUUCUUAUUGAAUAGGCUACCAACAAGGGCAUUACAAAACAAGACUCCAUAUGAAGCUUGGCACGGUUAUAAACCCUCACUCUAAAAUUUAAAGAUUUUUUGGUUGCUUAUGUUUCACUUAUGUUCCUCGGGUAAAAAUAGAUAAGCUUGAUAGAAAGGCUGAAGCAGGCAUUUGUGUUGGCUAUAGCAAUGUUACAAAAGGCAACAGAGUGUUUCAACCUCUAACUGAAAAGGUGAUUGUUAGAAAAAACAUCCAGUUCAUUGAAACCGAAAGGCGAAACUUCAAAGAUGCAGAAAGAAGUCAAAGUAAAGAGAUUGUGCAAGAUCUUGGUUAUUAUGUUGAUGAAGCACCAGUCAGAGGAACUAGAUUGCUUGAUGACAUUUAUCAAAGUUGCAAUGUAGCUGUAUUGGAGCCUGCAGAAUUUGAAGAGGCUAACAACGAUCCAAAAUGGAUUGAUAUUGUAAUGAAAGAAGAGCUGAGGACGAUUGAGAAGAAUCAAACAUGGGAAUUGGUGGACAUGCCGAAACACAAAAAACCUAUUGGUGUAAAAAGGGUUUACAGAACAAAACUGAAUGUAGAUGGCACCAUUAACAAACACAAAGCUAGAUUGGUAGUUAAAGGUUAUGUAUAAAUUUUUGGUGUAGAUUUUUCAGAGACCUUUGCACUAGUAGCACGAUUAGACACUAUUAGAAUGCUACUAGCAAUUGGAGCUUAAAAAGGUUGGAAAAUAUUUCAACUUGAUAUGAAGUCUGCAUUUCUAAAUGGCUAUCUGUAGGAGGAGAUUUUCGUGGAACAACCUAAAGGAUUUGAUGUCAAAGGUGAAGAAGAAAAGGUUUACUUAUUGAAGAAAGCUUUGUAUGGAUUAAAACAGGCUCUAAGAGUCUGGUAUAGCAGGAUUGAUGAACAUUUACUCAAACAUGACUUUAAGAAAAGUUUGAGUGAAUCAACCUUGUACAUCAGAAAAUCAAAUUCUGAUUACAUUAUGGUUUCACUAUAUGUUGAUGAUCUAUUUGUUACAGAAAAAAAUCCAAGAAUGAUAGACCAAUUCAAAACAGAAAUGAUAAAGGUCUUUGAAAUGACAGACAUCAGUGAAAUGUCCUAUUUUCUUGGCAUGGAAGUGCAACAAAACCAGCUUGGGAUCUUUAUUGGCCAACAAAAAUAUGUCGAAGAGAUUAUAAGGAGAUUCAAAAUGGAAGAAUACAAAUCAAUGAAUACACCUAUGAAUUUGAAGGAAAAGUUAUGUAAAGAAGAUGGAGCUGACAAAGUAGAAGAAGGAGUUUACAGAAGUUUGAUUAGAAGUUUGAUGUACCUCACAACAACAAAACCUGAUAUCAUGCAUGUUGUAAGCUUAUUAUCAAGAUUCAUGCAUUGUGCAAGUGAAGUUCACUUCAAGGCUGCAAAAAAGAAUAAUAAGAUCUAUCAAAGGUACACUAAGUUAUGGCAUUCAAUUCGGUUGUAUUGAAAAUUAUAAGUUACAAAGAUAUGCAAACAAUGAUUGGGCUGACAGUUUUGAUGACAUGAAGAGCACCUCUGGAUAUUGAUUUAGUUUUAGAUCAGGAAUUUUCUCCUAGUGUUCCAAAAAGCAAGAAAUUAUUGCACGGACAACUGUAAAAGUGGAGUAUGUUGCAGCAACUGCAGCUACAAAUCAAGCCUUAUGGCUUAGGAAGAUCUUAGCAGAUUUAGACAUGGAGCAAAGGAAAACUACUAAGGUUUAUGUUGAUAAUCAGGCCACAAUUGCAAUAUCUAACAAUCCAAUUUUCCAUGGCAAAACAAAGCAUUUCAAGCUAAAGUACAAUUUUAUGAGAGAAGUUCAAAAAAAUGAAGAAUUACAUCUAAUUUAUUGCAAGAUAGAAUAUCAACUUGUUGAUAUUGUAGCCAAGCCCUUAUCUAAAACAAGGUUUCAAACUUUGAGGGAUAAAAUAGGGGACUGUAGUAAAAGAUGCAAGGAGGAGUGUUGAUGGUUGCCUCAUUUGCUGCUGAAGAAGUGGUCUUCAAUGCUGAGAAGAUUGAGUCAAGAUUAUCUCCGAUAAGUUAUGAAGUUAGUUGCAAAUAAAGCUGCUAUAGAACAACUCCUUUUUUGUUAAAAUCUUGUCAUUAUUUUUCUGAAAUUUGUUAUCAGAACUCUUGUAUAAAAGAGUAGUAAUUCAAUCAAUAAAAGAAUUAUCUUGCGGUCACAAUAACAAUUAUUGGUUUUACUUUGUUCUUCAGUGUCUCUAUACUAUCAAAAACAACAUAUGAAUAGAAGUAGAGGAUCGAAGAACAAAGAAAAAGGUAGAAGCAAGUCUAACAAUUUUGCUAUUGAAGAGAGAAAAUAAGGAGUACAAGAAUGAAAACAAGAAUGAUGAUGCAAAGGAUAAUGGUUGAGUUAUCACUACUACUACCGAAGACUACUCAAUUAUUUAUGAUAGCGAAGUUAUUAGCAUUGCAUAUCAUGAAACUAGUUGGGUUAUUGCUAAUGGCACCUCCAUUCAUGCUACACCUUGAAAUCAUUUUUCAUAAAAUAUACACCUAGUGACUUUGGGAUAGUAAAGAUGAAUAAGGGUGGUUUGGUUAAAAUCAUAUGUAUUGGAGAUGAGUGUUUGGAGAUGAAUAAUGGUGUUAUUAUAGAAUGUAUAGCAUGUAUCUAUCAGAAUAGAAAAUUAAUAUAGAAUUAUUUCAAUGUUGUAAUCCCUAUAGUUACUGUAGUGUUCUGCUGCAUAUAUAUAAAUAGGAAGGUUAGCUAAGGCACAACCUAACACAUUCUAUUAUUCUCAACUUGGUAUCAGAGCAGCAAAACCCUAAAAUAAUUAACCUACUUUUCUCACAGCCUCCCUUCUUAAAUGGAACAGCCGCCACAUACAUCUUCCUCUUCUGCAGCACCAGCAGUCCAACCUUCUUCUCCGGCAAUGCAGCCUUCUUCUCCUGCAGCGCCUCCUCUGCUCUCCUCUACUGCCUCACCACCUGGUUUCUCCUCUACCAUGGUUGGUGAACGCCUCACCUUGCAGCCCACGUCUGAUGCAACUGUUAUCUCUACUACCGCAAUCAUUAUCUUCCUUUCUCACACUCAUCAAGUCAUCUCCCUCAAAUUAACAAACACCAAUUAUUUAUAUUGGCAUAUGCAGAAGGAGUUUUUGGUUUUGUUGAUGGCUCCAACACAUGUCCCCUUCACAUGUUCUUGCCGGAGAUGGUAUCUCUCUUUAGGUAAAUCCGCUCUUUCUUCGCUGGAAACAACAGGACCAACUCAUUCUGAGUUCUCUUCUUUCCUCCCCAUCUAUGGAGGUUUUGCAUCUUGUUGUUGGCUGUCAAAGCUCUUGUUCAGCUUGGCGCACUCUUGAUCGAGCUCUUGCUUCCACCUCCAACUCUCAUAUUAUGCAACUUCACGGCUCUCUUUAGGAUCUUCGACAGGGUGAUGAAUCAGUAACUCAAUUUAUGCAAAAAGCUAAGGCCUCAUUUGAUGAAUUGGCCACUACUGGUCGGCUAGUUUCGCUUGAAGAUUUCAAUUUAUAUAUGUUUCGUGGUCUUCGAGGAGAGUUUAAAGACUUAGUUACAAGGACAAACCUUUAUCAUAUGCAGAUCUUUACAGUCAUCUCUUCACGCAUGAAUUUCUUCAUAAAUCUCCAGCUACCAUACAUGCUCCUCUGCUGCCUACACCCAACACUCCAUCAUCUGCCCUUGUUGCGCAGCGCCAGACCUUUAGCAAUUCUGGCCGCAGUAGGGGCCGCUUCAACGGUGGCUGGUGUCCCAACUAGUCCAGCAAUAGAGGCAACCGGUUUGCUGGCUCCAGACCUUCUCCUUCGGUGAUAGUCGGCAGGGCACAUGGCAGGGCUCUUGGCAGCACAAUAGGAGGCAGAAUCCACGCUGCCAACUGUGUCAAAAUUUCGACCAUACAGCUCCCCACUAUCCUCAAUUCCAGCAGCGAGGUUAUGGCAAAUAGCCUCAUGCCAAUCUGGUGCAGCGCAAUCUCUCCUCAACCGGUUCUAUUGAUUGGUUUCUAAAUAUCGGUGCCAAUCAACAUGUCACGCUUGAUCUUGCCACCUUGAUUGCUUCAGAACCGUAUCUUGGUAAUGAUAAUUUUCAUGUUGGUGAUGGUAAGGGCCUUCCUAUAUCUCAUUUUGUUCAUACAAAAAUAUAUACACCACAUCGUUCUUUCACCUUAUCACGAAACCUCUACUCUCUGUUCAUAAAUUUUAUCUUUAUAAUGAUGUUUAUUUUGAAUUCCACCCUCGUAUGUUUUAUGUCAAGGAUCUCAACACCCAUGAAGUCCUUCUCUCAUGUCAGAGUAAAGAUGGUCUCUAUGCCCUGACCAAGUAUUUCAUCACGUUAGUUCCUCAAGCCUAUUGGUCUCCCUGCACUUCUGCCUCUGCCGAUUUAUGGCAUCGCUGACUAGGUCAUCCGACUUCAUGUAUUUUCAAUUGUUAAUCUCAAAAAAUAACAUCAUUUGUAACAACAAACGCCUUAAUUUUCAAUGUCAAAGUUGUCCUUUAGGAAAAUCAUCGCUUUUAUCUUUAAGACCUAUGGGUCACAAAACUUAUACUCCGCUUGAAUUAAUUUUUAGUGAUGUAUAGGGCCCUGCUCCUCUCUUUUCUUCAGAUGACUAUUGUUAUUUUGUUAUCUUUGUUGAUGCUUAUACUAAAUAUGUAUGGUAUUAUCCUCUCGUUGCCAAGUCUGAUGUUUACUUUGUUUUUCAUCAAUUUCAGACUAUUGUUGAACAUCAAUUUUCAUUAAAAAUAAAAUUUGUUCAAAUUGAUUGGGGCGGUGAAUACCAGAAAUUAUCCACAUUUAGAUCGUUGGUAUUCAUCAUCGUCUGAUUUGUCCCCACACUCAUGAACAAAAUGGCAGAGUAGAGCGUCGUCAUAGGCAUAUUGUGGAAACAGGUCUUACUAUUUUAGGGCAAUGUAAAACACCUUUUUGAUUUUGGAAUUGUGCUUUUGAAACCUCUGUUUAUCUUAUAAAUCGCAUGCCUACUCUUGUUCUUGCCCAUCACUCUCUGUUUGAUUGUUUAUUUCAACGGUCUACUGAUUAUCAUUUUUUGCGUACUUUAGGGUGUCUCUGUUUUCCUUUUCUACGUCCAUAUAAUAAUCAUAAAUUGGAUUUUUGUUCCUCUUAAUGUAUGUUCUUUGGAUAUAGUUCCUUGCAUCUUAGUUAUCGAUGUCUUGACAUUGCAUCUCACCGUAUUUAUAUUUCCCAUCAUGUUCGCUUCCAUGAACAUGUCUUUUCAUUUGAUAAUUCUGAACAGAUUGCAAAGGUCUCCACCACAACCCCCACCCCACCCGCUACUGUCACCCUCCCAAAUUUACUAAACCACCCACCACCACCCACUUUCACCAGCCACCCAAACAGCCCACAACACUCAGUUCUACCACUCCAAACAGUCACCCAACCACAACCUCUACCUAUCCCUUGGCCAUCAUCCCAUACUUGUUUAUCUAACCAUUAUGAUGCAGGUUCAGAUCGUCAAUUGGUCUCAUCUCCUCAUGGUCUUAGGGCACUCUUUAGUCCCUCUGCUUCGCCUUCCCUGGCUAGCAUUCCUGUAGAUUCGGUCUCUGCUUACAGCCCCUCCUCUACUGACAGUCUUAUGCUUGAGGCUGCUUCUUCAUCAUCCUCUCCCACUGGUCUGCAACUUAUGGUUGAUUUGUCUUCUUAUCAGCUGCCACAGGUCUCCUCGCUACCACCAUCUUCCUCUGCAUCUCCACCAACACGUAGCAGACAUCCUAUGUCUCUCAGACCGCGGCAGCCAAAGACAACAAAUAUGGUUGCUUCUGCUGCCACCAUUUAUACCUCCACACGGGUAUUGUAUUCUCUCUCUUCUAAGCCUUUUGCAUUCUCUGAUGCUGACCAAUAUGCAGUUUGGCAUAAUGUUAUGUGUGAUGAGAUCGCCGCUUUACGCUCAAAUCGCACUUGGUCUUUGGUUCCAUCUCAUCAUUGGAUGAAUGUUGUUGGCAGUAGAUGAGUAUAUCGGAUAAAACGUCGUGUUGAUGGUAGUACUGAGCGAUAUAAAGCACGCCUUGUUGCUAGAGGUUUUACCCAGUAGGAAGGUAAACCUUCAAGCCAGUUAUUAAGCAGGCCAUUGUCCGAUUGGUUUUCUCUAUCGUGGUUUCGCGAAAUUGAAAGAUUCAUCAGCUUGAUAUUCAUAACGCUUUCCUCUCCAUCAGUUUCCAAGCUUCCAAGGUUGACACCUCCCUGUUUAUCUUAUCCGAUGGUACUAAUAUCUUUUAUCUCUUGGUGUAUAUUGAUGAUAUUUUGCUUACGGGUAGGAACUUUGCUAUGCUUCAUCACCUUAUACAGUUACUCAGCUUUGAGUUUAAGCUUCAUGACUUAGGUGUUGUUCACUACCUUCUAGGUAUUGAAGUUCAUUCUACCGGUAUGGGUUUAAUGUUGUGUCAACAUAAAUAUAUUCUUGACAUCCUCACCCGAGCUGGUAUGACUUCCUGCAAACCUGUUGAUACUCCAGUCUCCCCUUUGAAAGUCACUUCAUUACCGGAUCACUCAUUCUAUGAUCCUACACGAUUUCAUCAAAUCGUGGGUGCUCUUCAAUAUCUUACCUUCACCCGUCCAGAUAUAUGUUUUGCUGUUAACAAAGUCUACCAGUUUAUACAUGCUCCUACAGAUUCUCAUUAGGCCGUUGUCAAACGUAUUUUACGCUAUCUUAAAGGUACGGCAUCUUAUGGUUUUCAUAUCACUCGAGGCUCCUCUUUUGCUCUACAUGGCUUUACAGAUGCAGAUUGGGCUGGUAGUAUUGAUGAUCGCAAGUCUACGGGUGACUAUCUUGUCUUUUUUGGUCAGAUGUUGAUUUCUUAGAAAUCUGGCAAGCAACACACGGUUGCUCGCUCCUCUACUGAGGCUGGGUAUAAAGCCCUUGCUGAUGGUAUCGCUGAAGUCAUUUGGCUUCAAUACCUGUUAACAUAUUUGCAAGUUCCCUUAGUCUCUGCUCCUACCAUUUGGUGUGAUAAUCUUAGUGCUAUCUAUCUCUCAGCAAAUCCUAUCUUUCAUGCUCGUACUAAGCAUUUUGAAGUGGAUUAUCACUUUGUCUGUGACCACGUUACCAAGAAAGAGAUUCAGAUUCGUUUUGUUCCCUCUCGGGAUCAAUUUGCCGAUAUCUUCACUAAACCGCUUCCUGUUGCAUCCUUUACUGUUUUUUGGUUCAAGCUUCGGGUUGAUAUCCUACCCUCAGCUUGAGGGGGCAUAUUAUAGAAUGUAUAGCAUGUAUCUAUUAGAAUAGAAAAUUAAUAUAGGAUUAUUCCAAUGUUGUAAUCCCUACACUUACUGCUGCAUAUAUAUAAAUAGGAAGGUUGGCUAAGGCACAACCUAACACAUUCUUCGAGAUGUAAUCCUUAUGGAGUGAUACUUUGAGUUUAUUUGCGUAUGUACGUAAUCUUAGAUUGUGCUAGCCAUUGCAAUCUAUUCAGAACAUGAAGAAUGUGUUUUCUUAUGGGUAGUGAUAUCUAAACAAAUAUCAUGAACAUGUGUUUUCUUUUACAUGCACACCUGUUAGGAUCCUUAUGGGGUGAUACUUUGAGUUUAUUUUCGUAUGUACUUAAUCUUACAACAUGUAUUCCGCUUCAGUUUGAUGUAUAAGACGGAGUUUGGACUAGCAAAAAUGUUUUAUAUGAUCACUUAUGUGUAUUUACAUGUAAAGCGUUUAUGCAUAUUCCUAAAAAUGAAAGACUAAACUCAAUAUAUAUGUAGACUCGACGAUUCAUCCUUCUUGGUUAUGGUUUGAAUGAGUUUUGGUGCAUGUUAUAUGAUUAAAAUAAUAAGAAACUAGUGAGAAGUCAAGUCUUUAUAUUUAUUGAAUAUCAACCAUGCAAGAUGUUGAGAAGACAGAAAAGGUAGUGUUUUUGUACAGUGAUGAUGGUCUAAUUGACUUGUAUCCAGUUACUUUGAUAUAUAUAUUAAUUUGCGAGUACGGGUUGAACAUGAAGUUCAGUAUGGCCAACAAAGUCCAGAUGAUGUGUACGCUCAAUUAUAAGAUGAGAUAAAUGAUGAGAUUGUUGAUUCGUUGCCAACACUAGAGUUGCCAUCGGAUGUUCCACUUAGGAGGUCUAAUACCAUAGACCGACAUCCUUCAGCUCGGUACUCCACAAACGAAUAUAUAUUAAUUAUUGAUGAGGGAGAGCUCGAGUAUUAUGCAGAAUCAUGAAAGAUGAAUUUGUUUCUAAUAUGGAAGGAGAUGUGGAGAUGUGGAUAGUUAUUUAAUCACUUUCUCAGAAGGGGUUAUUGCUUUUUAUAGUCGAGGUUACAAAAAUGUUCGUACCUUCUAUUAUUUGUUAUGGAUAAAAAAAGUUGUUGAAAAAACUAGUAAUCUGAUAUUAUUAUUUUUUGUUUUACUUCUUUUGCAAUACUGCUGCUAAUUUUUUUUUGAGAUAUGCAGCUAGCUAGACGUUCUCCUAAAUAAAUUAGUAUGGAUAAAGUGAUUGCAAUGGGUAGUGAUAUCUAAAGUCGAACUUUUGAUUCCACAGCAGGUUCAAUGACAUUAACAACAAAAUUUAAGACAUCGCAUAUAAAAUAUACUCUGGAAAACUAAAAGAUAAUUAAGCAAAUCAACUUUAAAAAAUCUUCUUUAAAAAUUACAAUCCCAUAUAUAUAUAUAUAUAUAUAUAGAAAUCAGCUAGAUUUUGUUCUUGUAAAAUGUUCAUGUAUAUAAUGAAAUUUCAUGUUUUAAGAAAAAAAAUUGGUUCUUUCUGUUCAACUGCUUACAUUCUAUUAAAAAAAAAAACCGGAUCUAGUUUAGUUUUUUUUUAAAAAAAAAAAUUAAUAAAUAAAAAUGAAACUACAUACACCGUGCACCUUUAUAGGGAAAAGGUAAACCUUAUGGAUAGAAUUUCCAUAAGAAUGCUUUUAUAUGUAUUGAACCACCUAAAUGUCUGCAGAGCUUAUACCAAAUCCAAAACAUAACAUUUCAAAAACUAAACAUUUCAAAGAACAGAACAAGUUAGUGCUGACCUGAGUGCGAAGAUCAGAAGACAGUAUCUAUAUAUAGGGUCCCAAGCAGCGAGCCUCUUUCCUAUGUAUUGCAGCACCGCUCUCCCUCUCCCUCUCCCUCUCUAUGUCUCUUGCCUUGUCCACCCAAAUGCAUAUGACAAUGGCUAUAAAUAUAUAAAUGUGAACAUAAAUGCAUAUGGCAAUAUAUAAUUAGGGGACUUGAUUCUAUAUGCUGUCUAGAUUCUAGCUUGACAAGGGCGGAUCUAGGAAAGUCCCUUAACUUUAAAAUGAUUUCUAAGAGAUCAAGUAUAUUUGUACAUAAUAAUCCCUGUAAAAAUAUUAAAUCUUCAUUUUAGCCCUUUAAUGUUGAAUCCUGGGUCCAUCUUUUUUUACAUCUGCAGGUAGUCUUUAAAAAACAAAAAAAAAACUCACCGAUCAACCCACCAAAUAAUUUAGGCUCAUCAUCCCACUAAGCAUGAAAAGAUAAAUAUUUCAAAUGCAUGAAGGAAGACCCCAAAAUGAAAACAAUGUUUGAUGAUCUUAUAAUUAUAUUACCCCCUCGUACAGCAAACAAUUUUCUCUACAAAGAUAAAACAGCAUGUAGGACUGGAAAGCCACAAAUGGCCAGAUUCUAAGCUUUGGAGAGUGUAAGUGUAAUAAUUGGUGUAAUUGUAGAAAGUUUGGAUGACACUACUUGGAAAAUGUGCAGCCUUAGCAGCGUUCACACUCACCUGCCGACAAAGAAAAACGUGCAGUUCCAAUCGUCCUUUAAAGUUGAUGGAAAAAUUGAUGGUGAGAGGGAAAGAUGGUGCUUUUCUUUGUUGUCGUUUCUUCCUUUACAAGACAGAUGCAUUAUUAAAAAAUUGCUUUGAAUCAUUUCCAUCAAUUGUCAAGUAUUUCAUAACAGCAAUUCGAUUCACUUAAAAAACUGGUUUUUUCUAUUCAAUUGCUUAAGUUCUAUUAAAAAACCGGACCGGAUCUAAAAAACUGGUUUUUCCUAUUCAAUUUAGUGAUGCUGUAGAUUAAUUUUUUUUUGCAUUAAAUAUAAAAAAAUACUAAGAUCUAAAAGUAUUAGAUCUUUCUGCAAAGUUAUAUCAAAGAGUCUUGGGUCUCGCUGCAACGCCUGACCCAAGAAUAAUAUUUAUAAUAUUAAUAAUAAUAUUAAACUUUCAUGACUCAAAUUUAAGUGAGUCUGGCUGCAACACCAGACCCAAGAGCCUACGAUGUUGGUCUAGAUGCAAGGUCGUGUUAUAAAAAUAUGAUAAUUAAAUAGAUUAAUUAAAAAUAAAAAAAAUAAAAAAAGAAACCAACAGGAAGAAAAAUAAAUAAAAAUCUAAAUUAAUUGGGUUAACCCUUCAAAUCAGGUUAACCCGUCAAACUUGGAAUUCGCGUCAUGAAAGUUUGAUAGCUAAAUAGAAAAAAAAAAUUGACGACUUAACUUGUGAAAUUAACCCGUCAAACCCAAGAUAUAUGUCAUGAAAGUUUGAUAACUAAAUAGGAAAAAUUUAACAUUAACAAACUAAACUAAAUGAAAAAAAUUAAUUAAAAAAAAGCAAAAAAAAUAAAAUUGGGUUACCUCGUUAAACCAGGUUAACCUGUUAACCCGAAAUCCGUGUCAUAAAAGUUUUAUAACUAAAUAAACAAAUUUAACAUUAACAAACUAAAUUAAAUAAAAAAUUUUAUUUAAAGAAAAAAAAAAUGACGGGUCAACCUAGAAUUAACUAGGUUAACCCGUGAAACCAGGUUAACCUUAAACCUGAGAUAUGUGUCAUAAAAGUCUGAUAACUAAAUAGAAAAGAACAAAAUUAACAUUAACAAACUAAAGUUAACGAAAAAAUUAAUUAAAAAGAAAAAAAGAAAAAAAAAGUUCGGGUUAACUCGUCAAACCAAGUUAAUCUGUUAAACCCGAGAUUCGUGUCAUGAAAGUCUGAACACUAAAUAAAAAAAAUUAAUAUUAAAAAAAUAAAUUAAAAAAAUUAUUAAAAGAAAAUAAUAAAGAAAGAAGCAAAAAAAAAAAACAUUAACAAAAUAAAUCAAACAAAAAAAUUUAUAAAAAUAAAGAAACAAAAAAAAAAUUGAUUGGUCAACCCAGAAUUAACUAGGUUCACCCGUGAAACCAGGUUAGCCCGUGAAACUCAGAUAUGUAUCAUGAAAGUCUGAGAACUAAAUAGAAAGAAAUUAAACAUUAACAAACUAAACUAAAAGAAAAAAAUUAAUUAAAAAAAAAAAAUUGGGUUUACUUGUCAAACCAGGUUAACCCGUUAAAUCCAGAAAACGUGACAUGAAAGUUUGAUAAUUAAAUAAAAAAAAUUAAACAUUAAUAAACUAAAUUAAACAAAAAAACUUUGUUAAAAAAAACAAAGAAAAAAAAAAUCCUUAAAAGUAUAUGAAAAAAAAAGCUAUAAAAAAAACAACUUAAAAAGAAAAAUUAACUAAACAGUCCACGGUAAAAAACUAAUACCUUUUAAUAUAUGUUAUAAUAAUAUAAUAUAAUAAUAUAUAUAUUUCUCCAACUCUGGAUGAGUUUGGGCCUCCGGCGCCUCUUUUGAGGACGGGAGGAAAAAAACAUAUAUAUAUAUACACCUUGCACCAUAGUUAUUAAACCCGGCCCGGGGUUGACCCGGCCAAGGGACCGAGUCUCGGUUUCAUGGGUCAACCCGAAAAAAUUAAAAAAAAAUUAAAGUUUUAAUAUUUCAUAUAAAAAAAUCCAUGUAAAUAUAGAUUAUACAUAUUAUAAAUAAUGAAGUUUAAAAUAAUAUUUUUAAAAGUUUUUUAUCCCACAUUAAAAAGAUAUUAUGUUAAGCUUUUAAGUUGAAGUAUUUAAACUAAAAAAUGUUUUUUAUCCCACAUUAAAAAAACAUAACGUUUUUUUUUGGAACAUAGAAUAUAUAUACUAAUGGGUUUCAAAUCCCACAUUGAAAAAACAUAACUUUUUUCAUGGGAACAUAGAGUAUAUAUAUGAAAGGGCUUCAAAUCCCACAUUGAAAAGAUACUAUGUAAUCCUUUUAAGUUGAAGUAUUAAAACCAAAAGGUUUUUUUAUCCCACAUUGAAAAAACAUAACUUUUUUCAUGGGAACAUAGAGUAUAUAUAUGAAAGGGCUUCAAAUCCCACAUUGAAAAGAUAUUAUGUUAUUCCUUUAAGUUGAAGUAUUUAAACCAAAAGGUUUUUUUAUCCCACAUUGAAAAAACAUGAUUUUUUUCUUGAGAACAUAGAGUAUAUAUACUAAUGGGUUUCAAAUCCCACAUUGAAAAAAUAUAAUUUUUUUCAUGUGAACAUAGAGUAUAUAUAUGAAAGGGCUUCAAACCCCACAUUGAAAAGAUACUAUGUUAUCAUUUUAAGUUGAAAUAUUUAAACCAAAAUUUUUUUUAUCCCAUAUAAAAAAAAAUAAAAAAAACAAAAAAAAAACCCCGGGUCUCGUCCGGGUUUGCCCGGGCUGUUGCCACAGCCGGUCUUUUAUUAAACCCGGACCAGUCCAGCCACCGGAUCGACCGGGUCCUGGGUCGACUCGCCGGGCCGGGCUGGGUUUAAUAACAUUGCCCUGCACCCUUUUAGGAAAAGGUAAAUCCAACGUCAUAGAUAUUUUUUUAACCACUCAAAACUAGAAUCAAUGGAAGGUAUAUAGUUCAAUUUAGAGGUUUUUUUUUUUUUUUGAGAUAUAUUUUAACCUAACUAAUAUAGUGAUUUCUAUGUUAUUUCACAAAAUCAGAGCACAUUUUUCCAUACUACUUCAUGACUAUAUUUGUCCAUGUAAUUUUUCAGAGCAAUGCUAUAAGAAAAUCAUACGAAAAUUUCAGAUGAACUGUUGUAAUUACUCUUGAUCAAUCAUUUAAUAUUUUUCGAACGUAUGUACACUCCAUCGAUUCAGUCGUUAUCACUUAAACGUCAAUUUAUGUGAAAAUUUGAUAUAAUUUGUUUAUAUGCAUGGUGUUUAAUUUUUAGAUUUUUCAAAUUUGAAGCACUUAAGUUAUUGAAUUCCUUUGGAUUGAUGAUGCAUUAUACAAAGGUUAUUCUUGAAAAAUCAUCUCAACCCAAUAAUUUAAAAUACUAAGUAAGAUUUCUAAAUAUAAUUUAUAUUAUUUUAUAAUAUACUUUUUUAAAUAAAAAUCUUUUAAACUUGAGACUUGUAUAGGUCUGGAUUAUCAAAUGUUACUAUAUGUGUAUAUUAGCUUCCUAGAAAUAGUAUUUGGGUUACUAUAUGCGUAUAUUAGCUUCCUAGAAAUAGUAUUUGGGUGAUUUAUCCAGUUUUGAUCAAAUGCUACUAUAUGUAUCGUAUAUGGAUCAAUUUAGCUGAGAAUUUAUGAUACAAUUACGAUACGAGGAUCUAUAAUCUAAAUGGUGGAGAUCAGAUUUCGAACAGCCUAACUAAAUUUUUUUACCCAUAGUAAUCUAAAGUCGAACCCAGCAGGACUGUGUCUGUAUAUAGGAUUCCAAGCAACGAGCCUCUUUCCUAUAUAUUGCUGCACCUUUCUCUCUCUCUCUCUCUUUCUGUCAGAAAACUUUUCACUUAAAAAUAUAUAAUAAUUUGAAAACAUUAAAAAUAUAUAUUUUAAAUAAAAAAAAUUAAAAUUAAAAAAAACCCAAUUUAAAUGCAUAUGAAAAUGGCUAUAAAUAUAUAAAUGUGAACUUAAAAAUGAUUUCUAAGAGGUCAAGUAUAUUUGUACAUAAUAAUCCCUUUAAAAUUAUUAAAUCUUCAUUUUAGCCCUUUAAUGUUGAAUCCUGGAUCAUCUUUUUUUCUAUCUGCAGAUAGUCUUUUAUAUAUAUAUAUAUAUAUAAAAACCCACCGAUCAACCCAUUGAGCAUGUGAAGUUAAAAAUUUCAAAUGCAUGAAGGAAGACCCCAUAAUGAAAACGAUGUUUGUUUAUCUUAUAAUUAUAUUUGGAUGCAGCCUUAGCUGGUUCACACUCACCUGCAGACAAAAUUUCCAAGCGUCCUUUGAUGUUGAUGGAAAAAUUGAUAGUGAGGGGGAAAGAGGGUGCAUUUCUUCGUUGUCGUUUAUUCCUUUACAAGACAGAUGCAUUAUUAAAAAAUUGGAACUACAUUCACUCUGCACCCUUACAGGAAAAGGUAAACUUUACUGAUAGAAAGCUUAUCCUUAUAUUGAAUCAACUAAUGUCUGCCGAGCUUAAACCAAAUCCAAAACAUCGUCAGUAUGUUGUUUGUAAGCUAUAUUUUAGUUUAUACACAAGUAGUUUUAUAUAAUGGUAAUCUUGCAAUACACUAAAUCAUUUAACAGUUUUAUCGAUGGAAUUUUUCUGUUGGCGUGAGAUUAUCAUUCCAUCAAUAAAAAAUUUACCAACUAAUUCAUCGACAAAAUACAUCCGUUGAACUAAUGUUUGUUGGUAAUUCAUACAUUUUCGCUAAUUUUAUCGGUAAAAAAAUUAAAAACCAAUGGUUUUACAGACGGAAAAUACACGCCAAAAUAAAAAUCCCCGCUGAAAAUAUGCCAACGGAAUUUUUCCGUCGGUAUAUUUUCAUCGAUAAUAGUGGCAUAUGCAGUAAUGUUUUCCCAACUCUCUAGAAUAUACCAACGGAAUGAUAAUUUAAAAAUAUUUUAAAAAAUAAAAUUGUGUAGAAUAAAUAAUAUAAAAUUGUAUUGAAUAAUAGUGAAAAAAAAUAAUUAAGCAAAUAAAAUUGUAUAAAAUUGAAAGAUGUAAAAAUAAAAUAAAAUAAUAUAAAAUCCAAAUAGUCAUUACAAUUUUAAUUGUACAAAUAACAAUAAAAAUAGAAUAAUGGCGAUGCUGAAGGAGGAGAAGGAGGUUAGUCGUUCUUGGGAUCAUAGGACCAAAAAAGAGGCGCACAUGUAUCAAUCAUCUGUGAUCUCAUGUCCAAGACCAUUUGAAUAAGUUGUUCAUAAUCCGUCGAGAGUUGAUUAUAUUUCUCGGUGAGAUGAGUCGUGUGUUGUUUUAAGGCCAUGAACUCCUGAGACUAAGUGGUCGAUAUUGAUUGGAAGCUUCCAAUAGUUGAGACAUUAUGGGCCACCCGCAAGUUCUCGACUGUAGUGUUAAAGAGUCCGUACACCCAAUUUCUAUCGGAUCCAUCAAACGAUCAUGCCUCUAUCCAUAAAUUCAAAUCAAAAUCCAGGUGGGUCGAAGGAUUGUCCCCGUAUCUCUCCCUCAACCGGAUAGUAUAUGUUUCCUGAAAAUUAAAAAAGAAAUCAUCGAAUUCAAUUUAAAAAAAUAAUAACUUACAAAAGAAAAUGGUUGAAUGAACAUACCAUGAAGUGUUGAGUGCGGUUAUCGACAAACUAUUGCACCCCCUUUUGGCAGUCUUCACUCCACAAGUGCAUCUCCAUAAAAAGCUCCAUUGGGCUCGGCUCACGUCCAAAAGACGUAGCCUGUAAGAAAACAAAUGUUUGCAAGUUAAAUAUAUUUAUAAAUAAUAAAAAAUUAAUUAAAAAUACAUGUCAUUAAAAUUAAUCUUACCAUCCGCUUCGCAUGUGCAAUCUACCUGAAAAUUAAAAAAGAAAUCAUCAAAUUCAAUUUAAGAAAAUAAUAACUUACAAAAGAAAAUGGUUGAAUGAACAUACCACAAAGUGUUGAGUGCGAUUAUCGACGAACUAUUGCACCCCCUUUUGGCAGUCCUCACUCCACAAGUGCAUCUCUAUAAAAAGCUCCAUUGGGCUCGGCUCACAUCCAAGAGACGUAGCCUGUAAGAAAACAAAUGUUUGCAACUUAAAUAUAUUUAUAAAUAAUUACAAAUUAAUUAAAGAUAUAUGUCAUUAAAAUUAAUCUUACCAUCCGCUUCGCAUGUGCAAUGUACGAAAUGGAGCUGCCGGUGUGCGUGGUAAUCGAACCAUGAAUUUGCAUGUUCCAGUUAUUGGCACUAGAUUCUGAGUGUCAUGUGAACCACUCAGACAUCACAUGUUGGAUAUAUUGCAUCCAUAUAUCCUCCGGGAUGUAUGGCGGCUUGCAAUCCGUCCUUACUGCCAGAUCAUUUAAUCCUUAUAAACCAUUAUUUCUAAUGUAUUUUUUUUUCUUUUUUAUGUGCUUCAUACCAAAAGUCACGCAAUCUACAUCCAUGAACGAAUUUUAUGAGUCAAUGUCAAAUUAGAUUAUAACAUAUAGAAUUUUUAAAAAAUAUAUGGUAUCAUUUUCUAUGUUACCUAAUUGCCGUGUGAUUCUCCCACACCCUCUUCGCAACAUUAUCACUCACAUUGUCCCACUCGAAUUUGUUUUGAGUAUAAAUAAUUUAUUAAAAAUAAAUCAAUAAUUUCAAUAUAACAUAAAAAUAGUUAAAAUUUGACAUUAACACUAACCUCAAAUCUUCUAAACCAUGCAUCAAGAUGUCAUCAUAAGUCGCCGCAGGUGCCUUUGCUUCAUCAGCACCUAAUGACACAUCAUCAUCACUGCUAAAAGAACUAACUGCGACCAUGUGCUCAUGAUAUUCUGUUGAUUUUGUUAUACGCAUCUACACAAAUUUCAUGGAUAAUUACAUAAUCAAAUUCGAUUUUUUUUUUAAAUAAAGCGGUAGCACCUCCCCUAUAUUGGAGACUACCCAAAUUAUUCAAACCUACAAAUAUAUUCAAUUAAUAUGCCACAAACCAGUUGAUUUUAUUCUAUUUCUACUAGAAAUUUUGAAUUAUUCAAUUUCAUCUCAUUUACAACGUGAUAAUAUAAUGUUUCUAAUCAUAAAAUCUAGAAACAAAUCGUAUAUAUAAGCUAACAUAUAUACAAAUUUAACAAUAAAAUAGAGAAAAAAAAUUAAAAUUUAUUUAUAUAUAUUCAACUAACAUCUAUACAAAUCUAACAAUAACAAUUAAAAUUCAACCAAACAAUCAAACACUCUAUUAUGCAAUAUAGACAAUAAAAUUGAGAUAAGACAUAUAAAGUUAAUCCUAUAUAUUCAAUUAACAUUUAUAUGAAAAAUUCAAUAAUUAAAUUAAAAUUGAACAAAAUAAUCAAUUAUUUUUGCAAUAAAAAUAAUAAAAUAGGCAAGAAAUUAAUAUUAAAAAACUAUAGAAUUUAGGAAUGAAAAAUGUUUACCUUAAUAGUGUGUUUACUUUUAUACUUUAUCUAUGUUCAAUACAAAAAAACAAUGAAAAUAUAUUGUUAAUAAACUGAAAAAAAAAGAUGAAAAAUAGAAAAGCAUAACAAGCGAGGAGAAUCACAAUACAUACCUUUUAAACUUUGAAGAUGAAAAUUGAACUACAAAUUGAAGCCAAAUCAUUUAAAUUCAGAGUAAAAACUACAAAGAUUCAAGAAAUGAACGAAAGAAAAAAAUAAAUUGAGGGGGUGCUCGUUGGGUUUUAUACUGUGUUUUUACCGAUGGAAUAUUAAUCCACCGGUGAUUCCCUCUGUAACGUCACUUUGAAAUCUUAAAUUUUGCACUAAAUUUUUCAAAAAACCCUCCAGAAUUUUAAUGGUUCGUUAGUAUUUCCCUUGUUAAUUUAAAAUAGUACACACUAUCAGAAAUACAUUAAUUACCCACGCUUUGGAUUACAUGUUGUUGCCGAUGGAAUCACCAACAAAUUAUUAAAUAAUAUUUUUCCAUCAAUGAUUCCCUCGAUAACUUGCAACUAAGUCAGAGGAAUCACUCGCAUGGGAUGUGAACAAUUCUCUCCGCCUCUGGACUAUACCAAUAGACACGAACCAUCAGUGUUUCGAUCAGUGAUUGGUGAAUAAUAGUCUCUUCCGCCUCUAGAAUACACCGACAGACUGUGUUCGUCAGUGUUUCCAUCAGUGAUGGGGGAUGUGAACAGUUCCCUCGCCUCUGGAAUUCAACGACGAACUGUGUCCGUUAGUGUUUUCCAUCAGUGAUGUGCACAAUGAAUGACAGAUUGUGUCUAUAAUCCCUGUAUUUCCUCUCUGCAAACACUUAAAUUGAAAGUUGCAUGCAUAACACAAUAAUUGCAGUUCACAUAAUACUUAUAAAAUAAUUAUUUAUUUGUACAAAAUUUCAUCCAUAAAUAUUACAUGAUAAAAAAUUCCUUUACACUUUCGUGUUUUGAUAGUUAGUCGAAAUUAUCUUCUUCUUCUUCAAUUGAAUUGUCAUCAGCUCCAUCGCAAUCUUCAACAUUGAUAUCAUCAUCAUUUUCUUCAUCGAUUUGUGCUUGUCUGAUGAAGCUCAGAACAACAUUCAACUCCUUAGCGUCAACAUUAACAAGACUAUUAUCGAAGACGUGAGAAUUUAAAUUUUCUUGUAAGUCAAUUAAUGGAGCAACUCGAUAUGGUUUAACCAACUCAUUAACUUGAAAGACAUCAUCUUCUACACUUAUAUCUUCGUUCUCAUCCUGAACAACCUCGACAUGACCCCUGGGUUUCAUUUUUAAAAUGAAUAACCAGUUAACUCUUGAUUGAUCCUUCAUAAAGAAAGAGGUACAUGUGUAAUAAACUUGUUGGCAUUGCUUGGCGAAAACAAAUACAUUGUUUACAUUGCGAGGUCUAGCUUUCGAGUUAAUUUUGACCAGACCAUAGUAAGGAUCUACUAUGAUUUCUCUGUCAGUGGUGUCAUACCAAUAAUAUUUGAAUAAGAACACUCUAUUAUGCUCGUUAUGAUAUUGCAAUUCAACGAUCUCUUCUAAUUUACCAUAAUAGUCAACUUCAAACUCAUUGCAAGACAAUCCCUUAACAUAAACACCAUUGUUAUAUGUUUUUCUUCCAUGCCCGUAUUCUUCAGUAUGAAACACAUAUUCAUUGACAAAAUAUUCGUUGUAGCACUUCAAUUUUCUUUCAGGACCCGAGCUUAGUAAAGACAAUGAAACACUAGCAUUCCUUUAUAUUUGAUAAACCUUAUAUAUCAAGUACAACAAUGAACAAUAAAUGAGAAUUCUAUAAUAAAAUUAAAUAUCACAGUACAUAUUUAGUUUGUGAUAGUACUUAUAUGUGUUUUGAACCACGUAGCAAAUUGUUCAUCUUGCAAUCAAAAGAUUUGAGAUUCGAUCAGGUGUGAGUUGUUAGACAAUAAAUAUUAUCAAUGUUGCCUAUAAGGUUUCAAAAUUGUAUGAGUUUGUGAUAUUACAUAAGAUGAAUAGUCCAUUUAUAACAAAGAUUAAAUAUUAGAUAUACUUACUGAAUAAAAGGUCUCUGUUCAUCGUCGUUAAAUAGCAUAUAAUUAUGUGCCUAUUUGAACUUUAUUUCAGAAACAUAUCUUUCCCUUACAACAUUUUUAGGAGUGGGUUGUCCAACAUUGAAGAAUAUUGACAAGUUUCCACUUCAAGGCAAUUCAUCACCAUCAUCAUGUCGUAAAACACGGUACAUUCUUGUUCUUAAAUAAGGCUCGAAAUAGUACGAGAUAAAUAUUGAGAUCUCCUCAACAAUAUAGGCCUCACAUAUCGAAGCCUUAACAUGUGCCUUGUUCUUAACAUUUUUUCUUAAAAUUAAACAAACACCUAUAUGGAAUUAAACAAAUAUUUUUAAUUAAGAAAAACAAUAAAAACACAUUAAUAAUUUCAUUACAUCUGUAAUAUCUAACCUCUUGAAUGGAUAUAUCCAUCUAUACUGGACUAGGCCUCCAAAUUUUGCCUCAUACGGUAAAUGUAUCGGUAAAUUCUCCAUCAAGUUAAAAAAUAAUGAAGGGAAUAUCAUCUCAAGACUACAUAUUGUCUCGACAAUAUUUGUUUGAAGCCUCUCAAUGUGAUGUGUUUGUAACUUGUUAGAGCAUAUAUCUCUAAAGAAAUUACUAAUCCCCAUGAGUGCAUCUCAUAUCCCAUUUGACAAUAAAUCACGAUAAACUAAUGGAAUGAGUGUUUGUAUAAACACGUGACAGUCAUGACUCUUCAUUCCAUACAAUCUGCAUUCCUCCAAAUUAACUAACCUUGAUAUGUCCGAGGCAUGUUCAUUGGAAAAACAUAGACUUUUAAGCCAUUAGUAGACUAGUAGUUGUGCAUUCUUCUUUAAGGCGAAGCUUGCUUUGAGCUUUACGACCCGUGACCCAUCAAAAACCAACUUCAUAUUUUUACAGUUACAAAACAACACUAUAUCCAUUCUAGACUUAAUGUCAUCCUUUGUCUACCCCUUCAAGUUUAUGACCGUGUUGAAAAUAUUCUCAAACACUUUUUUUUUUAUGUGCAUGAUGUCAAGGUUAUGGCGGAAGAGAUUAGUCUUCCAAUAAGAAAGCUCCUAUAAAAUAUUUUGCUUUACCCAUUUGUAGGUCAAACCAAAACCAGGAAACUUCUACUUACUGGAUUGGAAACCAAACACAAUGUCAUCGUACUUUGAUACCAUGUUAUGCAAUUCUUCAUCAGAAAGACAUGGGGGUGCAACAUCCUUUUCAACUCUGCCAACAAAAAAAUCGUUUAUGUUCUUUCUGUACCUGUCAUUUUUUGCAAAAAACACAGAUGUCAGUAAAAAAAAGACGUUUUACCUCCAUUUAUUAGCGUGGAUGCCUUGUUGUUUUCCAUAUAGUAUGGAUAUGCUAGUUUUCAUGUGUGUUCUAACUAGAAACCAUUUCAUAAGUUGAAAAAUCAUUGAUAGUCCACAUCAAAGCUGCCUUCAUAAGAAAAUUAUGUUUUCUCGAUACAUCAUAAGUCAAAGCCCUGAAUGAACACAACUAUGUCAACUCAUCAAUCAACAGUUAAAGACUAACAUCUAUAUUCUAGCCUGAACUAUUAGGACCGGGUAUGACCAUAGAUAAAAAUAUGAACUCCAACCUCAUACACAUCCUCAGUAGCAAGUUGUAAAUCGUGAGUAUAACCAGCCAACAAGACUAAGGAGUACCAAAUGACCUGAAUGGGUUGAAUUUGUAUGUACAUAACCCAAGACACACGUUACUUGAUUCAAAUGAAAAGUGAAGAUGCUCACUGUUAAAGUGUUUCCAUGCUUCACUGUUGUCAUAACCUAAUUUUUGAAUAAAUAUUAAAAAAAUGAUAAUAGUUGAGAAUUGGGUCAAGACAACACAAAUUCAAAGUUCAAGGUUGAAAUUUUUAAAAUUUAAGAGUCAAUGGUCAGAAAUUGAAGAAUUAAUAAGAUUGAGAAUUUAAUUAAAAUUUGAAUUAGUUUAAUUAAUGAAAUCAUGAGCUUAAUUAAAGAAUUGAUGAGUUUGAGGACUUAAUUAAACUUUGAUUUAAUUAAUUAAAGGAAUCAGGUGUUCAAUUAAAGAAACACCAAAGUUUGGAGCUCAUACAAAGAAAAAUUAUUGGAAAAUUAAAGUCCAAGGACCAAAUUGAAUAGUCUAGAAACCCAGGACUGUUGUGUAAAUGGCACUAUAACUCAGGGUUCAAUUGAAAUAUAACUCAGGGUUCAAUUGAAAUUAAUCCAAGGGAAUAAUUAGAAAAUUAUUAUUACUGAUUGAGAUCCAAAUUGUUGAAUUUAAAAGGUUUAGGGACCAAAUUGAAAAUAGUUAAACAGUGCCGUUUGCAAAACUGUUCGUCAUCCCGUCCAUUUCGCCAGGGCAGCCGAUUCAACAAGAAAAUCACAGUGCAUCCGAUCCAAAUCGUGACCAUGUCUUCUGCCACGAUCCCGGUCGUGGAGGAGAUGGUUUUUAAAGAUCUUUGGCCUUAUAAAAGGCAGGGGGAAUCGAGAAUGGAAAGAGGGGAAAUCAGACAAAAAAGAGAGCAAAUAACAGAGAAAAAGCUAGUCGAAAAUCAGAGGGAGAUAAAACAGAACCGGGAAGGGGAUUUUGACAGAACUGAGAAAACGGAAAAAAACACAGAGAGAAGGGGAGAAAGGCCUCAACAAUAGAGGAGAAAACAAAAGCUAAACCCAGAGGGACAAAAGCCAGAGAAUAAAAACCCAGAACACAGGGGAAUGAGCAGGGGAACGAGGAGUGACAGACGAAAAUAGAGAAGGAGUGAACCAGCAGGAGAUAGAUCACAAAAUGAAUAAAAAAGAAAUAGAGGACCAGAAGGGGAUGAGAGCAAAAACAGAGUAGAAAUCCAGAGAAACAAAAAGGGCACAAAUUCACAGAAAAGAGGAGCGAAAAGCAAAGGAACAACCAUUGUCUUCGUUCCUGCAAAAAGAAAAAAACAACCCAGAAAUCAGUCAAAAUAAAUCCAACCAGCGUCUUCAUCAUCUUCUUAGUUUCUUCAUCAUCUCAAAAGCUAUUGGAACACGAAAGCAAUCGGUCAACACAGAAGCAAAGGAAAGCAGAAGGAGCAGAGGAGAAGAGAUAGUAUCGGCCAGUCAGAGCUUCGCCAUCGUUUCCAUUGCCUCUAAGAUCAAGUUAUCGAGUUCUUGCAUUGUUUCAGUGAAUUAUCAUUUACACUGUGCAAGCGAAUUUUAAUUCACUUGCACAGUGUAGCAACACGCGUGCGUUAGCGCACGCUUGUUGCUGAGCCCAGUCAGGCCACUGGCUUAGGCGAGUGGCCGAGUCGGGCUGGCUGAGCUUAGCCCAGCCCAUGUGGGUUGAGCUGGGCCCAGCCAAAAAUUAUGUUGCCCAAAAAAAAACAGAAAAAUAAAAAAGGUAGAAAAAAAAAUUAUGUAUGUAUGAAUAAAAAUAAUGUAAAUUUAUUGGUUUAUUCACUGACAUGAGAGUCAGGAACAAAAAUACCGGUUUUAAUUUAUAUUAUUUUUAUUCAUUUUAUUUUAUUUUAUUUAGCUAGAAAAAUAAAAAAAUAUGUGCAUGCAUAAAAAUAAAUUUAUUUUCAUUUAUUUAUUCACUGGCGCUAGAGUCGGGAAUAAAAAAUAUUAAUCUAAUUUAUUUUAUAGCUACGUGAUAUUUACCAACGCCGGAGUUGGAAGUAUCUGUAGUUGAAUAUUCAUUGGUGCCAGAGUCAGGAAUAUUAUAAGCAAAUUAUCAUAGCGUAAACUAAUAAACAUUUAGCAAUUUAAGACGAAACUAGCAAUGCAGCCUGCCUCAGGCUGGAUGUUUUAGGGGUGAUAAUAUCUUCCUUUAAUGUAACCAGUCCCGAACCAUAGAAUCUCUGUUGACUAGUUAGGGUUCCUAGUGACCAUAAUACUAGGUGGCGACUCCUUAAACAAGACCAUUGCCCAUCAAAGAAAAGGAUGCCAGAAAUCCAUUCUUUUCCAAAGAAAAAUACUAUUUUUAAGGCCACCGCGAUGUCGGGUGCGACAACCGUCAGAAGGAUGCACCAUCACUCCAUUCACUGCAUCAUGUGAUUGGUGUCAUAUUAUGUGUUUUGUAAUCUUUGGUGACAUGAAUUACCUCUGCAAUCUAGGUGUGAUUGAGAAGUAUCGAAGUUUUUUAUAUGCCACAAGAGUCUUUCUCAUGCCAGUUAUGGGUUUGUAACGAGAAUGCUCAUAUAUCAUGCACUCGGUCAGCUCAAUUCAAGGUAGUACAACAUGCAAAAGUUUGGACACAUGUCAAUUUUCUGGUAUCGUAAACCAAGAGGUUUCAUCAUGGACUUAGUAGCAUAAAAGUUCUCUUUUAGCUUGUUUUCUUCGGGUAAAAUGCUUCUCGCCCAUUCUAUAAUUCUAUCAUAAUCGGUCUUACUCAACCCAUAAUCCGACUUGAUAAUAAACAACUAUGUAACAACCGAUAAUUUACUGUGAUUUAUACAACCAUUCCAUAAUGGUUGUCAUAAUCUUUCAACAUAUCAAAAAACCUGGUCGCGUCUGAAUUAGGUUCUUCUGGCUCGAUUGGACAUUGACUAACUGACACGACCAAAAGAUUGAUGUCUUCUCCCAAGUACAGGAGUGUCGAAGUAAUAAAUAACCCGGCAAGAUCGGGGUCAAACCACAAAGAGGUUAAUUGUACAAAUUAUAAAUAACAAUUAUAAAUAACAAUAAUACAACAACAACAGUAACAAUAAUAACAACAAUAAUAACAAUAAUUAUAAUAGUAAUAGUAAUAGUAAUAAUAAUAAUAAUACUCAGUACGUGGCGUUGUUAUACCUGAGAAUGAUCUAAAAGAUCGGGUCACAGGUUUCCAGCCUAUAUACUGAAUUUAUGAAAAGAUUAAAGAGAUAUAUUAUAUAAUAUAAACAGAAUGUAAAUAAUAGUAGUAGUAGUAGUAGUAGUAAUAGUAAUAAUAAUAAUAAUAAUAAUAAUAAUAAUAGUAGUAGUAGUAGUAGUAAUAGUAAUAAUAAUAUUAAUAAUAAUUGUCAUAACCCAAUUCUGGGUUAUUCCCCAAAAAUCAAUUUCUUUUUUCAAAAUAAAAAUCAAAAAAUAAAAUAAAGGCUGACAACGUGGAGAAGGUAGGUCGGGAAAUCAAGCUGCAAUUUUUAGAAGAAUACAAUGCAAAUUCAAGGUCAAAUUGAUUAUAUGCAAUUUGAGAAGAUUAGAAUUUUAAGAGACCAAAUUUAAUUUUUACCAAGUUGAUUGAUUGAAAUCAGGGAUCAAAUUGCAAGAAAAUUGAAGUUUUGGGGUCAAUUAGGGGUUAAAUUGACAAAAUCCAAAGACAAGGACCAACUUGCAAAAGGCGCCAAACUAUAGGGGUCUAAUUGACAAAAUCCGGGGGUAAAAUUGAAAGACAUUGAACGCUGGAGGGAUAAAUUGAAAAUCAGCAAAAAGCCCUAAUUUUUAUCCCAAACGGCGCCAUUUUUGUGUCGAGGGAAGGGACCGGUUACUGUUCAUCGUCUUCCUCACAAAGCUGCCCGAGUGGCUGUUUUCCAGGCGCGUUUUCUCACUCGUUUGGCCCCCAAAUCCGACAAGGCGUGCACCAACAUGUUCCCCGGAAACAUCGUUAUCUCGUAGAGGGGUCUGGUCGGGUGGAAAAACUUUGGGACAGCUCCGUUUAUAGGCCCAAAGUGGCACCCUCGGGCAGUCUGCAGCCUUGGAUUGCCAAAUUUGGCAGUUCGAGGGGCACACUUUGAACCAACGGCUUGGAUUCCUCGAGUCGAAUCAAAGGCUGAGACUUUUUCCCCGUUGAACACAAGAUUACCCCCUUUCCAUCCCUAUAAAUAGGAGCCAAUUUAAUGCUCUGGAGGAGGAGAAACCUGAGCUCAAAGUUGGACAAAAAUCAGUUUUUCCUGCCCGGUUUUCCUGCAACCAGCCCUCUCUUUCCUUUUCCUCUCCGCCGUGGCCUCUAGCCGCCACCACUGAUCUCGCCACCGUCCUUCCCACGAAACACCACAUCCCAUCCAUCACCCAGCAACCUCACCGAAGUCUGCAACACCUCUCUCUCUCUCCCGCUCUUCCCUGCAAAACUUCUUUUUUUCUUCACCACCGCAACCCAGCAGCAGCAGCAGCGAAACCACCCUUUCCAGCGGCUUCCACCUCGACCAGAAGCUUCUGCCUUUCCCAGAGACCGCCAGGACAGCAGCUCUCUCUCCAGCCGCUCCAACAUUUGCAACCGUGAGCUUUCCUUCUCCUCUGCAGGGUCUGUUUCCUUCUUCUUCCAGCCGGGACCAGUGCACGCCGCCGGCCUCGCCGCCUCCAGUCACACCGCGCACCACCAGCCAGGCUGCUGACUCUCUCCACGCCAGGUAACUCUCUCCUCCCUGCUCCAUUUUUUCUUCUUCAUUCUUCGUAGCCGCUGCAUGCAGAAUUCAUUUCUGCAUGCAGUGGCUAAUUAAUUAGUCACUUGGGCCGGGCCGGUUCUGGCCUAGCCCGGCCCAACAAAAUAAAAUAAAAUAAAAUAAAUAAAUAAAUUUCAAAAAUAUUCAAAAAAAAUCAUGUAAAAAUUUGUGGUUUUCUUAAAUAUUUUUCCACCAAGUUUUGCAUAAUAUCGAGUUGUAUAUUUACAUUGUAAAAUACAAAUUCGGUUUUAAAAUACCUGGUUUUCUCCAUUUUAUUUACAUUUUCGAAAAGAAAAAAAUAUUUCAUUGCAUACGGCCAGAUUCUAAAAUUUUUCCAAGCAUAUUUUUCAAAACAAAAAAAUACAAAAAAAUGAAAAAUUGCAUCUUUUUCAUGUCUUUAAAAAAAUAAAAUGGAUAUCGUAACCAGUUUAUGAUUUAUCCAUUAGGAUUUGGCCAACAUGUCAAAAAUAUUUUUCCAAUCCUUUUUAGGAUCCAAAUGUAGACUUUAAUAUUUGUGGGGUGUAAAUUACACGAUAAAGUACACCCUCAGGUAUUAAAGAUACAAGGUGAAGACAUGCGAUGUUAAAAUUCAGAUUUUAGAACGGUUAGGAUUUAACCCAAUAAGGUAGAGACUUUCUCAUGAAGAUAGAUCUACCUUGAACCUUAGAAAGACCAAUGAAUAGAGACUCGACCUAUAAAAGCAAUCAAACAAUAAUGCAGCUUGCCUUAGGUAGGGUGCACUGGGGGUGAUGCGUCUUCCCCUUGCACAACCAGUCCCUUACUCAGACUCCUGUAAACCUUAGGUUCCUAGUGACCAUAAUACUAGGUGGCGACUCCAACGAACCAAGCAAAACACAAAUAAUAAAAAAUCACCAAUCGAUGUCGUGCGGAAUUUUUCGACGUACGACAAUAAUAAUAAAAGAAGAUGAAGAAAUCAAUGAGAACUUUGAGAUGAAAGAUUAAUGUAAGGAUUAAACAAUGAUAAAAACAAAUGUCAAGGUUAGAGGAUCCACUAAUGGUAUUUCAAACAACUAUAGUAUAAACUCUUAUUACUCAAUUUGGAAACCACACACGGAGGAGAUUCCAAUCGGAUGAUUUGUCAUUAAUAGCUCAGUAUAAAUUAUUAACAUGAUCAUAUUAAUUAUCUUAAUUACAUAACACCAAACUUUUAAAUAUUGUCAGGAAUUCAUGAUGUUAACUAAUGUUAACAACAAAUCAAGUUCCUUUCAUAGCACAGGUGUAGGUAAUACCAUACGGUUGGGCUAUGAGAGUGCCAAGCAUUUGUUGUACCAAGUGUUAUACAACACAAAUCUAGAUUAACCAUUUAACAAGCAAGGUAUUAAGAAUUAGUAAGAUAAAAAGAUAAGACAUGUUAAUAUUAAACAUUAAGGUCCAUGUUGAGUUUACACUAUACUUAUUCUUACACCAUUAGUGUAACCUUUUCACCUUGACAUAAUAAACUUAGCUAAACAUAAUGAAGAAGAGAAACAUAAAUAAACAAAACAAGAACAUAAAGAAAAUACAAGUUAACUAAGUAAAGGAAAGGAAAUGAAAAGCAUAAACAAGAUAUUAAUGAAAGCAAAACUUAAAAUUACAAAAAAUAUAAAGAGAGAAAUAAAGAGCAUGACUUGAUCUGAACAACCAAGCCCCAAAUACAUGGCAAAUGCCUCCUUUUAUAGGCCAAAAUUCGGAAUUAUUGAUUUGAUGACUAAUUGUUGAGUGGGUGGCCAACUUUGACUUGGUGAAAAUCCUUAUCUUCUUGUCUGAAUAAAACAAAAUGCUAGCAUCAAACUGGGUCCACUGAAAACAUGAAAGUUGUAGGAAAUUGACUAGCUUUCCAGGAAAAAAAAUGGAGGUCAUUUGGACUUCUAGAACUCCAGAUAUGGGCCAAACACUGAACAUGUUCGGGCUGCAGGAUAGAUUCAGACUUCUCCAUUGUUGCUAUAAUUUGGACUUGAAAACGGCCUUCUUAGAUCUUGGUGUCCAAAUAAAAGUUGUAGACCUAUGUCUUACUGAAUCUGUGUAAAAAUUUGAGGUCAUUUGGAUAUCUAAAACUCGAUAUAUGACCCAAUUACUGAACAGUGUUCCAGUUUGGACUGCACCAACAUCUCUUUUCUAAGUUUCACCCUCUCUUUAUCUUCACAAAUUUCAGUUGAAUUCAUCAAUCAAUCCUUUGAUUUAUGUGAUAGGCCUGCAUUUAAGAUGAACAUUUACCAUAUAUUAGGCAUUUUAUAGUAUUAGACUUGUUAUUAUAAAACAUGCUUUAGUUAAGGAGUUAUUGAUACUUUAAGUGCAAAAUGAUGAUAUAAAACCUUGAUAAAUAUGCACUUUUAAGUACUAAUCACACCCCCAACCAGCUUAUUACUAGUCCCUAGUAAUCAAAGCGUUAAAAUAGAAAAACAAUUUGCAAAUUCCAUAAAGCAAGGCAUUCAUCAUUCAACUUACUUUAAUUUAUCCAGAUAAACAAACUCUCAUUAAAUUCAUAUAUCUGCUCAAUACCUCUUAAACAAGAUAUUACUAAACCUUUCUUUUGUGCUCAAAAUAUCAACAUAUAGUUAUGGGGCUUUACUUGGAAGAAAAACAAAUUUUUGUUCUAAUGUUUAAGGUUAACUUCCUUAGGUUGGGAUUAUUUUUUUUUUUUUUAUUUAUUUAUUUAUAUACAAUACAACUUGAAACACAAUGCAUCUUUAACCCAUGUAACGAGUUUUAGGCUAAUGACUCCCAGACCAGUUGGUCUUAGGGCAUUAGGUGUUGAGACACCCCUACGAGCUUAGCAACUCGGGUUGCAGAUACUGAUACGUAGAUAGUGCAAUGUUUGAUUCCCUUAAGCUUUUCUCCUCAACCCAUGUAACAAGCGUUGGGCCAAUAGCUCCCAAGUCAGUUGACUUUAGGGUAUUAAGUGUUAAAACACCCCUUCGGGCUUAAUUGCUUAGGUUAGGGAGGCUACGAAACCAAACUUAUCUACCUUUUUAUUAUCAUUUUUUUUUUUUUUUGCAAAUUAUAUACUAUCCCUUUCCCUUAGUUGUUACCUUUAACAAAAGAACAUAAAUAAUGUAAUGAUCCGAUGUGCAACCCACAAUCAUAUGUUAAAGUGUGUGUGUGAAAAUGAAGAUUUAAAAUACUUGUUAAAUGAGCAUAUGAGCAGAAUCAAGUGCUACAAUACGAGAGUUUGUAAACCUGAAUAUUUCAAGAAGUAUUCUGAUAGACCUUGUUAAGAAUGUUUACUAAGAUGCGUCUCAAGAGUCACUUUAACAAAAGAACUCCUUUUACUCUGCCAUCCUAGUAACAACAGUUUUGCAAAUAGUUUAUGAAAUAGAAAAACACAUUUUUUUUUUUAAAUAUCAACUACUACCCUUUCCCCCCAACCAAAAUGAGACAUUGUCCUCAAUGUCUUAAGGUAGAAAGAUAGAGUAUAGAAGACAUCACCUGAAAUAACGAACACUGACAAACCUGAAACACACUUAAACAAAUAUAAGAAACAACAAAACACAUAAUAAAACCAAAAGACACAAAGUUUUUACAAACGAAGGCUCAAAUCCAAUCUAAGCUUUUUACGGCUUUCCUUAGUUGACCAAUUUAUGCGACUCAUGGAGGGAUUAAUUACAGGGAUGAAAGAUUGUAGUUGGUCAAUCAAUUGUUCAGCAGUAGCAGCAGAGAUUAUGAUUUGUCGUGCUGAAGAUGUUAGAAAUUCUGUUCCACAGCAUGAUCAAGAAAAGACAACAACUUAUCAUAAAAACCAUUAACAUUUAAAAACCUAUGGGUUUAUGGUGAAUGUGCAGUUGGGCCCAAGAGGAAAUAUGAAAGAUCUCUUCCAAUGUGCCCAGACCACCUGGUAAGGCAAUGAAGGCAUCACAUGGUUAAACAUUGUAUUCAGUCGAUCAGACAUUGUGGGACCUGUAAUUCCUCUCCAAUUGUUUUUCCAAUGAUGUCCCCUUGUGCUAAAGCUUUGGGGACAACCCCCAAAACUUGACUACCUCCUAAAAAUGCAGCUUUGACACUCCCCCCAUUAACCCAAGGCUGCCUCCUCCAUACACUAAAUGAAUCUUUCGCUCAGCUAGUACCUGACCAAGAUGAUUUGCUGAUUCUAAAAACUCUUUUUCUUUCCCAGGACUGGAUCCCGAAAACACAAAUAUUUUUAUUGAUGACUUGAGGAACCUGCCAUUUCUACACACUUCUGUAUUUGAUGAAUGUAUGGGUUGAGUAGAAAUGAAGGGAAAGAGAAGAAUUUAUAGAUGAGAAAUUGAAAAUGCAAUCAUAUCACCUAUAUGUAGGCCAGUGUAGUCUCACUCUCUCUCUCUCUUUCUUUAUUUAUUUAUUUAUUUUGAAAAAGCAUGUGUAUGUACAGGUAGUUGUGAUUGUGGCUCACAUCUUUCCUUGGUUUUACGUCCAAGAACGGCUUAAACGCCCUCUAUGGGUCGGGGAUAGGCUUCCCAUCCAGUUUUCUUAAAAACUGGCAAACAAGUCUUUUUUUAGUCAGAUUCCCAAGACUAGUGAGCAUGUUCUUUAUGAAAAUGGGUCAUAAAUCAUGAAUUGCCGAUGCACAUCUCCACUAUGAUGAGACUUAAGAGUCAAUAGAAGAUUAUCUAAAGACUCUCUAUGUUUUGAAGUAAAUCCUACCUUUUGAUAAUUUUCACAGGUUUUGCAGAAUGCAUAUAAGUCCUUGAACAUAGUGGGCUAAUAAAAUCCACUUUGUAAGAUUUUUGUACUCGUCUGUUUUUGACGAGAAAUGAUCCCCACAUGCUUUAGAGUGAUAAAAUUUAAUGACACUACUUACCUCAUUGUCGGGAAUGCAUCUUUGAAAUAUUUGAUCAGGACAAUAUUUGAAUAAGUAAGGGUCAUCCCAAUAAAGGUUUUGCACGUCGCUCAAAAACUUUCUUUUAUCUUGGUUAUCCAAAUGAGCUGGCAAAAAUCCUGAAGCAAGAAAAUUGUUAUUUUUAGCAAACCAAGGCAUUGAACUAAGAGAAAGUAAAGAUUCAUCAGGAAAGUAAUCAUUGAUUGGUGUGAUGUCAGAUGUCGAAUCUAUUGUCAACUUUGACAAAUGAUCCGCGACAACAUUUUCGGUGCCUUUUUCAUCAUCGAUUGCUUCCUGUUUGGUCAUGGCAUGAGGAAAUGGAAGUGCUGGUGGGAAAUCAGUCUUUUCUUUGCAAUGUUCAGAUUCAACCCCUUCCUUACCCUCAGAGAUUGAUUCAUCAUCUUUCUCACAAGGUUCAAGAGUGGGUUUUUCAAUAACCUUACCACUGCGAAGAGUGAUGUCUGAUUUGACUUGAUCCAUGUGUUGACUUCUGGAACUACUUGCAUUUACAUUGUAUUUCUCCUUUGGAUUUUGCUGUGGUUGAGAUGGAAACUUACCGUUCUCUUGAAAACUGAGAGCAGAUGUUAACUUUGCAAGAGUAUCUUUAAAACCUGUCAUUUUGAGCAAGUUGAGUGUUGAUUAUCUCUUGCUUUUCAAUGAAUGAAUGCAAUGUUUCCUCAAGAUUUCUUCUAGGAGGUGGAGCAUAAGGAGGUGCAUAUCCAUGAGAAUUUUGGAAAUUAUGGUGUGCUUGAAACGAUGGCUGUGAAGUUUGUGCAUUAUUGUUAUCACUCUUCCAACUAAAAUUUGGGUGAUUUCUCCAACCAGGAUUGUAUGUUUGCGAGUAUGGGUUAUGAUUGGGCCUUUGGAAACUGUUUAAAGCAUGGCUUGUUCAUGGAGGCAUUCCUUGAAAGAAGGCAAAGUUGGACAAUCAUUGGUUGCAUGUUCAUUUGUUUCACAGAUUUGACACACAAUGUCUUGAACAGAUUUUAAUUGACCACUCCUUUUCAAUUCUAGUGCCUCGACUUUUCUAGCUAAAGAUGCAAACUUGGAUUGGAGGUCAUGAUCUUCCCUAAGGUUAUACAUACCUCCAUUAGAUGUAUGAGGUUGAGUUUUACUUGGUGCCUCAUAAGUGCCCGUAGUGUCCCAAUUUUGAGCAUUUUCAGCUAGCAAGUCUAGGUACUCCAUUGCUUCAUCAGGGUCUUUAUCUUCAAAAGUUCCAUUGCACAUCAAUUCCACCAUUUGCCUAUCUUUAGGUGUUAAUCCUUUAUAAAAAUGUGAAACCAAUCUCCAUGUUUCAAAACCAUGAUGAGGGCAAGUAUUAAUCAAGUCUCGAUACCUAUCCCAACAUUGGUAAAAUGUUUCUCCUGGUUUUUGAGUGAAAGUGGUGAUUUGUCUUUUGAAAGAGUUUGUUCUGUGAGAUGGAAAAAACUUCUUUAAAAAUUGUUGUUGCAUUUCAUCCCAAGCACGAAUGGAUCCUGACCUAAGAUUUUGUAGCCAUGUUUUAGCUUUAUCUUUUAAUGAAAAAGGAAAAAGCUUUAAUCUAAUGGUAUUCAUGCUACAAUUUAAGUCAUUAUAUGUGUAACAAACUUCUUCAAAUUCUCUCAAAUGCAAGUAUGGAUUUUCUAGAUCUAAGCCAUGAAAAAAAGGUAAAAGUUGAAUAAUGUCUGGCUUAAAAUUAAAAUGAGAUGCAUCAGGAGGAAAAAAUAUACAUGAUCGCGCAAUUGUUCUUAUUGGAUUCAUGUAGUCUCUAAGUGUUCUAACCCGAUUAUUCUCAUUAUAAAGCGAUUGAUUAUCCUCUUCGGCCAUGUUUUCUAAAAAUGAUGAGGAUACCCUACAACGUCUACCACUUAAUGUAAGUGACCAAACACUCAUGCACGUAUAGAAAAAGAAUAAAAGGAAGAAGAAAACAAAAGAAAAAGAAACAAAGUUAGAUACAAGAAAAGUGAAAAGAAAAAAAAUAAAAUAAAUAUUAUACUUUAUACAAGAAUUUACCUCCCCGGCAACGACGCCAAAAACUUGACACGACCAAAAGAUUGAUGUCUUCUCCCAAGUGCAGGAGUGUCGAAGUAAUAAAUAACCCGGCAAGACCGGGGUCGAACCACAGAGAGGUUAAUUGUACAAAUUAUAAAUAACAAUAAUACAACAACAACAGUAACAAUAAUAACAACAAUAAUAACAAUAAUUAUAAUAGUAAUAAUAAUAAUAAUAAUAAUACUCAGUACGUGGCGUUGUUAUACCUGAGAAUGAUGUAAAAGAUCGGGUCACAGGUUUCCAGCCUAUAUACUGAGUUUAUGAAAAGAUUAAAGAGAUAUAUUAUAUAAUAUAAACAGAAUGUAAAUAAUAAUAGUAAUAAUAAUAAUAAUAAUAAUAAUAAUAGUAGUAGUAGUAGUAGUAGUAGUAGUAGUAGUAGUAGUAGUAGUAAUAAUAAUAAUAUUAAUAAUAAUAAUAAAAGAAGAUGAAGAAAUCAAUGAGAACUUUGAGAUGAAAGAUUAAUGUAAGGAUUAAACAAUGAUAAAAACAAAUGUCAAGGUUAGAGGAUCCACUAAUGGUAUUUCAAACAACUAUAGUAUAAACUCUUAUUACUCAAUUUGGAAACCACACGCAGAGGAGGUUCCAAUCGGAUGAUUUGUCAUUAAUAGCUCAAAAUAAAUUGUUAACAUGAUCAUAUUAAUUAUCUUAAUUACAUAACACCAAACUUUUAAAUAUUAUCAGGAAUUCAUGAUGCUAACUUAUGUUGACAACAAAUCAAGUUCCUUUCAUAGCACAGGUGUAGGUAAUACCAUACGGUUGUGCUAUGAGAGUGCCAAGCAUUUGUUGUACCAAGUGUUAUACAACACAAAUCUAGAUUAAGCAUUUAACAAGCAAGGUAUUAAGAAUUAGUAAGAUAAAAAGAUAAGACAUGUUAAUAUUAAACAUUAAGGUCCAUGUUGAGUUUACACUAUACUUAUUCUUAUACCAUUAGUGUAACCUUUUCACAUUGACAUAAUAAACUUAGCUCAACAUAAUGAAGAAGAGAAACAUAAAUAAACAAAACAAGAACAUAAAGAAAAUACAAGUUAACUAAGGAAAGGAAAGUAAAUGAAAAACAUAAACAAGAUAUUAAUGAAAGCAAAACUUAAAAAUUACAAAAAAAAUAUAAAGAGAGAAAUAAAGAGCAUUAACUUGAUCUGAACAACCAAGCCCCUAAAUACAUGACAAAUGCCUCCUUUUAUAGGCCAAAAUUCGGAAUUAUUGAUUUGAUGACUAAUUGUUGAGUGGGUGGCCAACUUUUGACUUGGUGAAAAUCCUUAUCUUCUUGUUUGAAUAAAACAAAAAUGCUACCAUCUGAACUGGGUCCACUUGAAACAUGAAAGUUGUAUGAAAUUGUCUUAGCUUUUCAUAAAAAAAAAAAAUAGAGGUCAUUUGGACUUCUAGAACUCUAGAUAUCGGCCAAAUACUGAACAGUGUUCGGGCUGCAGGACAGAUUCAGACUUCUCCAUUGUUGUUAUAAUUUGGACUUCAAAACGACAUUCUUAGAUCUUGUUGAAAACAUGAAAGUUGUAGGUCUAUGUCUUACUGAAUGUGUGUAAAACUUUGAGGUCAUUUGGACAACUAGAACUCGAGAUAUGACCCAAUUACCGAAUAGUGUUCCAGUUUGGACUGCACCAACAUCUCUUUUAUAAGUUUCACACUCUCUUUAUCUUCACAAACUUCAGUAGUUGAAUUCAUCAAUCAAUCCUUUGAUUUAUGUGAUAAGGCUGCAUUUAAGAUGAACAUUCAUCAUAUAUUAGGGCAUUUUAUAGUAUUAGACUUGUUAUUAUAAAACAUGUUUUAGUUAAGGAGUUAAUGAUACUUUAAGUGUAAAAUAAUGAUAUAAAACCUUGAUAAAUAUAUAUUUUUAAGUAAUAAUCACUGGACAGCCUGUCAUUACUCCACUUGUAAAACUUCAAUAAAUAAUUUGGCUAUUUUGUGCUAUUUGCACAUAAAGUUAGUAGUGAAGGUAAUUAAGUCUAUUUAGCAGAUUAUAUUUAUAUAUAUAUAUAUUUCGUUGCAAAUCUAUUAUUAAAUUAGCAAAUAAAUUAUCUGUUACUACAAUCUAUGCUAAUAGCCCCAUUUUUUUCAGUAGUAGGUAAUUAAUUAAGAAUAGCAUGUGGAAAAAGAAAGUAUAUAUAUGACAGGCAAGAAGGGCAACCAUUAUCAUCUUAUUGAGUAUGUUUCCCAUCAUGGUGGGUCUUAGCAUGAUGUUUCCCAUCAUAUGGUUAUAUUUCACUUUUCUCUUCUUUUCUUUUUGAAAGUACAUUUCACUUUUUACUUUUUGUUUUGGAGAAUGCACGAGCUUAAUAAAAUUACUCUCAUGAUCUGCUUUUGACAAUAAAAUAAAAUAUCACAUCACAUAUGAUAUAGUAUUCUUAUGGCGUUGAGAAAAAGAAAUUUGAGACCUACAAUAUACAUUUUGUAUCUUAGAUAGACAUAUUAAAAAGCAAUUUUAUAGUAAUUGUUUUUUAAAUAAUUAAACAGUCACGCAUAUAAGAUUAAUUAUCAAGAUUAUGAUAUAUCGAGAUAAUAAUACUUAAUAAUUAAUAGUAAUGAUGAUAUUUAAACUCAUAACCACUUUAACUCAAAAGCUCAAAUUAACAAUUAAAUUAGAUAUACAAAAUUUUUUUUAAAUUGCUUAUUAAUUACACAGUACACACCACCUGAAAUUUAGAUAAUAACAAAUUAUCAUUUGAAUCUAAACUUUUUAUAUUAACUAAAUCUAUAGUACGCCCCAUUCAUACGUACAAGCCCUCAACGGAGUUUUUCAAUUAAAGAUUUGGACUAGCAAGAAGUCAAAAUGAUUUUACAUAGUAUUUCAGAGAUUCUAGAUAAUGAUUAUAUGUUAAAUGGAUUUAAUAAGAUUUUGGGAAAAUGAUGUAAAUAGUCUUUUAUAUAUAUAAAAAAACCCACCGAUCAACCCACUGAGCAUGUGAAAUUAAAAAUUUCAGAUGCAUGGAAGGAAGACCCCAUAAUGGAAACGAUGUUUGUUUAUCUUAUAAUUAUAUUUGGAUGCAGCCUUAGCUGGUUCACAGUCACCUGCUGACAGAUGCAUUCUUGAUAGUGCGAGGGAAAGAUUGUGCUUUCUUCGUUGUCGUUUAUUCCUUUACAAGACAGAUUCAUUAUUAAAACAUUUGACAUAUUUUUGCGUCAUUUGUUUUUAAAUGAAAUCACAUGUACUAUUUAUUAAAAAACAAAGAGAAAGAAACCCAAAACAGUACUGUUUUGAACAAUUCUAUAUAUUUUUUUCUUUUCCUGUCGCGCAAAGACAGGGGAAGAACGUUUUUCUUCCUCUUUUUCGCAGAGCCAAUUUCCCCUCUUUCUCUCUCUUCUAAAAACUCAAAACCAAGCAAGACCCACACCCAUUCAGCGUUAAAUACUAUAAUUGAAACACUAUGAUUGAUUCCUCACUUUCCAUGGCCAUGAGUUUCAGGCACAUGAAAGCCAGCAUUUGAUUAAGAGGAUCGAUGGCCCAGGUUGGACAGCCCAUCAUUACUCCACUUGUAAAAGUUCAAUAAAUAAUUUGGUUCGUGAACAUUGAAUUAUCAAACUAUUAAAGGAUCUAUACUUAUAAUAUAUUAUUUAUUGGAAUAAUUUUUAUAUUUAUUUUUUAUUUUAAUUUCACUGUUUAACAACACCAUCUUUUAAUUUUUUAAUAAAGUUUCUCAAAUUUAUGAAAUAGAUUACAGGUUUGUUAGAUUGAUGAAAGUUGACACAAUUUAAAUUUUAAACCAUGUUUAACAUUGAAUAUGUUUUUUAUAAUUAUUUUUUCUUCUCAAGUAGAUACUCACAUUGAUUUAAAAUAAUUAAAAAAAAACUUUGGCUGAGAACACAAAUUGGCUUUUAAAAAUUACGUGAGAAUAUUUUACAAAUAUUUCUUAUUUACGUGAGAUGUUUUCCACGCGAGUAAUUAUUUUGCCAGAAUUGUGUCGUCAAAUAUUUCUCAUUUACAUGAGAUUUUUUCCAAGCGAGUAAUAAUUUUUCUAAUUAUUUUGUCAGAAUUUAUUGUUGCUAUUAAAAUAUUAAUGGUGUUAUUUAUUUAUUGCUAUUAAUAUUGUUAUUAUGAUUAUAAUAACAAUAUUAUUAUUAUUGAUAAAUAUAAAUAUAGCACAGCAUGGCAUGCAGCAUACAUCCAUUUAUGCCCAUCAAGCCAGGGACUACAAAAGCAUGACUAAACAGCGAUGAGAGCAGGAGUGAGCAACAUAUAUAGCACAGCAUGGCAUGCAGCAUCAACCAGAACACAUGGCAUAAGUCAGCCAUCAGAAACCACUAAAUUCAGCAGAGGGACGACCAACCAGAGAUCAAUAUCAGCCAAAACUGGUAAGGAAAUGGUUCUGUUCAUGGAAAUGCAACACCACGUAAAACACAACUUGGAAUUUGCGAAAUAGAACAUCAGCUAAAGUGCAAUUGUCUUCAAAAAUUCUUUUGUUUCUCAAAAGAAUUAACAGCAAAGAAAUAAAAAAUAAACAAUAUAAUCAAAAAUUGCUUACUUGGACAACCGGAAAGUUUGCUAAAAAAACAAAGCAUAAACAGUCGGAUGGAAAUUCGUCAAUUUCCUUUCUACUCUUUUCUCUUUUUCCUUUUUCACUUCACUAUUUUUCUCUCCCUUCCUUUCUUCCCUGAUUUUCUUUCUUUUAUAUUUUUAAUAUAAUUUCAAUUUUUAAUUACAAAACAAAAUAAAAAGGUUGGUGGCAAUUUGUAAACAAACAAAAUAAAGUAGAUGAGUAAAGCUAGUUGCGGGUCGAGGAGCGGACCGGGUCAGGCUAGAGGCUAACACAUGGAUCAUAAUGUAAAACGGUGUCGUUUAAUCACAAUAAAUACGAUUUUAGACUCUUUCUUUAAUUUCUUGUCUUCUAUGAUUUCUCCCUUCUCUCUUUAAACCCAGAAAACGACGAUGGUGGCUUUGUCGUACAUAUGUCUUUGCCUCGAGCUAUAAUAACAAUGCACAAGACUAGUGAUUUUAUUAUUUUAAAAAUUAAUUGUUUAAGUUGCCCAAUGAGACAGUAAUAGUUCAAGGAUGCCAGUCGAAAUGCCCCCUCAAGCAAACUAAUGCUUCCAUUUCUUUGAGUGAAAUGAACAAAAACAAUGGGUGAGUUGAAACUUGGGGCAUUGAUAACAGGGUCAGGUUCUGUGUCAGCAAUAAAGCCAACAGAAUUGCAUUGUUACAGGACGCGUUUUAGGACAAAUUACAAUCCAAUAGUAGGUUUUAGCACAAAAGAAACAGUUAUAUGCAUGCUUUUCAAUAAUAUAUGGGCACUUUUGAGUAGUCAAUUCAAGAACACUGAAAGUCAAUUGUUAAUUCCACUCUCUUGUACAAACCAUGCAAAUCUCACAAUAAGCUACUCUGAUAGCUGAUUGGAUUCACCAAUCUGUCGAUUUCAUGAGGAAUCCAUCGUUAUAUGCACUCAGAUUAGGAGUACUCAGCAGCGUACCAAGAUAUUGUACAGAGAACAGUAUAGAAUAGAAUAGGGUCUUAAUGGGAUUUAGGUGCUCUUAUACAUUGCCUUUGGUGCUCUCUCUCUUAUUCUUCUCUUUUGGAUGUCUUCUCCAGAUUUUUGGAAUUUGCUCUUUUAUCCACAAGAAAAAGGAGGCCUCAAUUAGCAUAACUUUCAUGUUUUUCUUGAAAAUUUAGCAUGUUUUAAGCCUAAGCCAACCCUUAUUCAUCUGUACAUGUUUUUCUGUUUCCUAGCACGUUAUCCAUCAAUGCAAGUUUACAUGAAGUUACAAGGAUCACUACAAUAGCAUAAAUAUACCUUUGUUCCAUUCUUAGAUCAACAUGCUGCUCCAUAACCAUCAACUACCCUUAUCCCAAAGACAGCCCCGUGUUGUGGAACAGCAUGAAUGUUUUGCCAGCAAGAAGCAGCUAUUACGCAAUUUAUGACAUCCCUUGCAAGCCUAUUUUUUUGUAGAAUUUAGUAAGAUAAAAGUGAUGAUAAUAUAUUAGAUAGUCACCAAGCAUGCAAUGGUAAGGCCAACAAAAGAAAAGUCCAUGUGUUCUUUUUGGUCAUGAGAAACUCAAUUCCUUAACAAAGGACCAUAGCCCUGCACAACCAUGUAACUUGCAAGACACAUCCAUUUUCUUAUAAUAAGUGACGCAUUUAGCAAGAGUUUUAUGGAUGUUUGGUUGUUGGAAAAAGUUUGAACCUUUGAUCUUAUAAUUUGCAGAAAGAGUUUUCAAAUGCAUAUCAAAGAGUUUCAUCUUCAUUCCUCGAGAGAAACUUAAGCUUUGGCUUUUAUUUAAAACACAACAUCCUAGCUAUAGCACUAAGAUUACAACUAUAAUAUUGAACCAUAGCUGCAAAUGGAAUUGGAAAGUGAAUAUCUAUGUGACAGUGGUUGUUGAGUGUGAGUGGGCGAUGUUUGUGUCACUGACAAAUCUAGAAAUGAAUGACAAGUCUUGCAAAGCGGUUAGUUGGAAGAUAACUUCCAUACAGAAUAAUGAAGAAAGAAAUCUAGUUCAAGGACUGAAAUCCUAAAAGGUACUCCUUUCAGCAUGCUUCGCCAAGGCACUGCCUUUGAUCUCGAGCCAAUAAAUAAAAAACCUCAGAAUCAUGAACCACAAUAUAUUUAGAAAAUGAAGCUUGAAACAAUUCUACAAUUGGCAUGCAUAAACCUGCUCAAACAUAUAAUGAACUGAGAAGACAGCUGCUUCCUUGACAGUUUGACAAAAAGGAAAAAAAAAGGUAGGAAAUGUACCCACAAAGAAUGCUGAAAAUCAACCUUGGUUGCCACUACUUGAGGGGUCUAAAGGCAACAUGAAUAUUAAGUCCAGCAAGCAAGAAAUUGUUCCCUUUGUACAAAAUAAUUCUCUCACGGAUGACUAAAUUGGAACAAGAUCAAUAGAUUAACAUAUCAGAUAUUAAGAAAAAACAAGGUAGAUGAUUGCUCUCCCUAGAAUAGUCAUUGUUUGUAUUUUAAUAGAUAAGUAAAUUCUGCUAUGAGCUUUCUCUACUAUGACUUUCUAUUGAAUCCAAAAUUUGAACAGAUCAAUUCAAUGCAACCCAAUUUCUUAUCAUAGGGCCCAGAAAAAGCUAAAAACAAAUCUCUUGAGAUAGCUUACGGCAUGAAACAAUUCAUUAUGUACCAUGAUCUUACAUUCAGAUUAUAUGGAAAAAUGAAGGAUGAGAGAAGUGUCGAUCUUGGAAUAGGUAGGGCAUUAGAAACUGUUCAAUCAGUACCUGCAGUACCCAGUUGACUUUGAACACCUCCAUAAAAAUCCCUGCAGUAGAGACACCAAAAUAACCAAACUUUUAACUCUAAAAGCCAUUUUACAGGUAUGACUAUUUCAAAACAUGAUCCACAUGAUAAAUAUUAUGUCACAUCUGUAUCCCAAAGAUCUCCAUUAUAAAAUUAAACUUAAGUCCCACACAUGAAACAUAGGAAUCAAAAGGGUCAGGAAAACUCACAAACAGUAUGCUAGCCAGAGAAAGGUAUGGCUGGGCAGCCAGUUUUGAAACACAGAUUGCCAGGACACCAUUAGACACUUCCUUUUCUUCUGCAUAUAAUUUCCUAUAAAUCUUGACACCCGGUUUGCCCUGUUAUACAAUUCAGACCUUAUAAAUUCAAGAACACAAUCACCAGUAACAAUUUUUUCAACAAGUCUCUCAUUUCAAACAAUACAGAUUUAAAAUGAUUUCUGGGAGCAAGGAGUGUAAUGUAAAGAUUCUUGCACAAAUGCAAACCGAAAUAUUUAGAAGUUUACAACCCAGUAACGGUUACGCACAAAUAACAGAAACCCUACUCCUUAUCCCUAACUAGCCAGACUAAAAUCUUGGAUUUUCCCAGCAUUAUAGGCAGUUACGAGGUAUGACAGCUUAUUCUAGCAAGUCAUCCUCGCUAUGUCUCAACUGAGAACAUCAUUUCGACAGCAACGCAUAAACAUCAACACAGAACUAGGUUUACCUUCUUCAACAGUUUUAACUCCAGGAAGGACUUUCUCGAGACUCUCAGCUUGCAACAUCUUAAAAAAUGAAGCAUAUCUGUGAACAUUCAGGAAACAGAUGAAAGUAUAUAGACCAUACUGAAAAUAUAAAUGAAUGAUCUCGACAAUGCGGGCUCAACUCACCACAGUUUUGUUUAUGAGUAUCACAUCUCCCAGCCCAAUUCUAUAGCAAAACAAACUGAAUAUAAGCUACAAAAAUAUAUAAGAAAAUAAAGACAUUCAUCCACUUUCUUGCAGGGAGUUCUUCAAAGGUUGCACAAUCAUAAACUUGCAAAUAUUCAUGAUGAUGUACUUGAAGCAUAUGGCAAACCAUCUACAUUAUGUAAUCACCAGUAGCACACCUUCCUUCGACUGUUUUGCUCUCAUCUACACACACAACCCCAGGUUACGAAAGAAAAUGUCUUGAACCACAUAAACAGCAGAUAAUAUAUUAAAAAAAUGAAAACUAAAAAAUGGAAAAACCACAUAUCAAAGAAACAAAAACAACACCUUUCAAGAGUGAAAAGUAAGGUUCUUGAACAUGAAUUUCACAAAAUACACCCUCCAAAACCCGACAAAGAAAAACCCGUAAAUCACCAAUCAAUAUUAAUUAAAAACACUCAAUAACCAACAGAAAAUGCUUACAUUUAUCAAUUCAAGUCCCUUUUCUUUAAUCAACUGAUUCCAAUUCUCUUAUUUCUACUUCAAGUUACUAUCUUCAUCACAAAACAUCAUCUUCACAUGAGUUCUCCAUAAAGCACCACACUUUACAGAAUGAUACAAAACUAAACGCUUAUACAAAGGAUAUUGAGCGACCCCAUCAAAAGAAUCUGCAGUCCAUUCAAUUAUUUAUGCAUAAAAAUCAAAUCUUUAAUCAAAUAAUUGAAAAAAAAACACAGAAAACUUUUUUAUACGGUUUUUCAUUACCCGUUGCUGGACAGUUACAUGACAUGACAUGUCAUUUGGGUCUUCUUCUAGGAGGUCAAUGCAGAACUCUUUGGAGAGUCCCAGAUUGAAUUCUAGCGUUUGGUUAACGUGGGAUUCAAGAGUGAAUUUUAGCAGGUCUCCUAUGCUGUCUCGCAAUCUCUCUCCAUUUUAUCUGUCACAUAAACUGGCCUUUCUGUCACGUGUGAUGCACGUGACAUUUUUGCCUCGUUUUCAUUUCCAUUGAAAUUGCAAUCAAAUUAAUAUUUUGGGUUAUUAUUUUUUAAACUGUUUUUUUAUUUUAAGAUAUAUUAAAAUAAUAUAUUUUUAAUUUUUAAAAUUUAUUUUUGAUAUUAACAUAUAAAAAAAAUUUAAAAAUUUAAUUUAAAAUUAACAAAAUUAAAAUUUUCUAAAACAAUAAUGAACUGGUACUAAACACAUUCUUAAUUUGAUGAACUUAUUUUGGAAUUAGAAUGUGUUUGAUAUUGUAAUCAAAAUAUUGUUUGCUUAAAAUUUAAUUUUUUAAUUAAGUUUUUAGUAUAUUUAGAUUAUUUUGAUAUGCUGAUAUUAAAAAUAGAUUUUUUAAAAAAAUUAUUUUAAUAUAUUUUAAAAUAAAAAACAUUUUAAAAAGCAAUUAUUAUCACAAUCUCAAGCAAGCACUUAAUGAACUUAGUUUGAGUUUUAAGUUGAAUUAUAAAAAGAUAUUAACAUGAAUGGAUUGAUUUGGUCAUGUCUAAUAUAGACAUGACUGCAUUAAUAUCAAGAUUUUUUUAAAAAAAUAAAAUGAUAUUAUUUUAAUAAAAAUAACUUAAUAACCCAUGAGUUAACUUAGUAACCAAUGUCCAAUACCUUUUUUUCAGUAAGAUUCUAGGUUAGAUUUGAAAAUUAUAUCUGAAGUAUACUAUAAUAAUAUUUUUCGUUAUCAAAGUUUUUGUAUCUUAAAAUACUAAGUUUUAAAUUUUUAAUAUAUUUUUAUCUAAAAAUAUUUUGAAAACAUUGUAAAAAUCUCAAUAAAAUUAUUUUUAACUUCGAAACAUCUGCUAAUCUAUUUAAAAACUACAAGUCAAUUAGAAUAAAAAAACUCACAAAUCAUAAUUAUUUACAAGAUAAAACCACCAUCAAACUCCAUUUUCUAUAAGUUGGAAAACAGAGGCAGUGUUCUUGUGGCAACUGGACAAAGAGAGUUUCCUGUAAGGAAAAGGAGAAGAAGAGUCGAGAUUUAGGAGGCUUUAUAUGUGACAGAAAUAGCCUUGGAGACAACAACUCAACCUCGAAGAACUUGGUCUCUGACUUGAGGAGUUCUGAGUUCUAAAUUGAUUUGAUUAGUAUUAUUUUCAAGCAAGUAGAAUCCCUUUUGAGCUAGGAAAUAAUUUACAAAGAGAGCAAAAACUCCAAGAUAAGGGACGGGAAAGAGUAAACUGAAUGCAAAAACUCCGCCGAUGCUCAGUUUACAGCAAGAUCAUCAUUCUCUGAACACAUAUUAUGUACUUUACAGCAGAUGAGUACAGAGUCCGCCGAUGCUUAGCACGCCGUGAUUCAAUCUGUUCAGGAUAUUAUUCUUGGUGGAUGAGACAUUUUAAGAACAGAUGGGUGAAUUACAGAUCAUCUCCCUAUAUCACCCGUAAAAUCCACCGAACUAUAAUCAUCGUAAGAUGCCUUGGUGAUAAUAGCUAAUUACACUCCGGAGAUAAUCAAGGCAGCAAUUAACGAGAAAAUCACUCCCAGCAUCAAGAAUCAAUCAAUGAGAAUCAAGACGUUAUGUGGAGCUGAUUAGUUAUGUAUAUAAAAUCUUAAAUAGCUUUCCUUAUAGAGCUGAUACAAUUAUUAUUAUCAGAUUGUAUUCGAUACUGUCAUUAUUAUUAGGCUGUAAUAGUUUUUUAUAUAAUACAACAUUCGAUACCAUAAGUACAUGUGCUGUGGUUUUCAUUAUUUCUAAAACUCUACAUGGUAUCAGAGCCUCUAUAGAAUUAAUCUCCACCUGAUUUUAUGGUCUCAGAAAAUUCUUCCAUGCUCUCCUUCAAUACUAUAGUUCACAUGGUAACAAUGAAGCUAUCAUCAACAAAUUUUCUUCUUUGGCGCAAUUAGGUAGUUCCCCUGCUGCAAUGUCAAAAAUAUUAUGGAUAUAUUGAUGGCUCAACCCUUAUGCCUUCCGCUACCACUAAUUCCACAGCCUACAAUCUUUGGAAACAAAUUGAUCAGCUAGUCAUGAGUCUUCUUCUUUCUUCUCUCACAGAAGAAGCACUUUUUGUUACCAUUGGAUUUACAACAUCAAGAGACAUCUAGAAUGCUCUUGAGACUGCCUUCAGUCAUAAAUCUAAGGCUCAUGAACUUCAAAUAAAAGAUGAGUUGUAUCUCCAUGAAUCGUGGCUCUCACAGUAUCUCUAAGUACUCUAGAGUAUUCAAGGCUCAUUGUGAUCAAUCAUCAACCAUGGGAUGUCCAGUUGAAGACACUGAAAAAGUGCACUGGUAUUUGCGUGGUCUAGGCCACGAGUUCUCAAGUUUCUCCACCACUCAACUCUCUUUAACUCCCAUUCAAAGUUUCAAAGAUAUUGUUCCUAAAGCAGAAAGCUUUGAUCUUUUCUCCAAGUCUAUUGAUUAUACUGCAGGUGGCCCCUCUGCUUACAUGGUUCAUUCCUUUGCAUCUUCUUCCAACCGACAUGAAAGGCCAUAUAAUAAUCAGAACAGGUAUAAAGAAGGCUACUCAAACGGAGGAAAUUGUGGGAAGCAGCAUUAUAGGAGGCCUCCUCGAUGUCAGAUAUGUUGAGAAGAAGGUCAUUAUGCCACAAACUGCAAGAUCAGAUACACAAAAUCUGAUGCAAACCUUGCUGAAGCACUUGCAACCUGUACUAUCAGUAAUGACACAACAAAUUGGUAUACUGAUACAGGAGCAUCUGCACAUAUGACUCCUGACGUGUCUCAGCUUGAUAAAAUGGAACCUUACACUGGUAAGGAUAGAGUCAUUGCUGGUAAUGGAUCUUCCCUACCUGUUACACACAUGUAUUCCUACUCUCCCACUCCAACUCUUCAAUUAAAAGAUGUCUUUGCUAUGCCAAACUUAACUAAAAAUUUGCUUUCUGUUAGUAAAUUAACCAAUGAUUUUCCUUUUGCUGUUCUUUUUACUGACAAUAAAUUUAUCAUACAGAAUCUUCAAACUCAAAAGGUGGUGGCAAGCGGUGAUCGUGUAUAUGGACUUUAUGUAUUGAAGUGUGGACACCAUGUUUUCUCUACUAUCAUUAACAAGCAUAAUUUAUGCAAUUCCUUUGACAUUUAGCAUGCCCGUUUAGGCCAUGUAUCCUCUCAAACAAUUUCAAUGCUUAAUAAGAAAGGUUUUUUUUUUUUAUCUCUUACCUCUAUACUGCCAAAUCCAUCCUUAUGUGUUAGUUGCCAAAAAGCUAAAAGCCAUAAACUAUCUUUUUCCUUUAAGUGAUAGUCGUUCUCCAACAGUUUUAGAAUUAAUACAUUGUGACUUAUAGGGACCAGCACCAAUAAACUCAAUCUCUGGCUAUCGAUAUUAUGUUAUUUUUAUCGAUGAUAACUCUCGCUUCACUUGGUUCUAUCCAUUAAAGAACAAAACUGAUUUUUAUCACACCUUUAUCAAGUUUCAAACACUUGUUGAAAAUCAAUUCUCAGCAAAGAUAAAAACAUUCCAGAGUGAUAGGGGAGGAGAAUUCACAAGUAACAUUUUUCAAUCUCACUUAGACAAAUGUGGUAUCCAACAUCAACGUUCUUGUCCCUAUACACCCUCUCAAAAUGGUAGAGCUGAGAGAAAACAUCGACAUAUCACUAAAACAGGCAUUACAAUGCUCUUUCAUGCACAUGUUCCUCUUAAUUUUGGGUGGAAGCCUUCAGUACAGCAGUGUUUACAAUUAAUCGCUUGCCCACACCUGUCUUGAAUGGAGUUUCUCCAUUUGAAAUUCUGUAUGGUAAGUCCCCUACCUAUGAAUUAUUUCGUAUUUUUGGCUGCUUAUGUUUUCCAUACUUAAGAGAUUAUGCUAAACAUAAAUUUGAGCCCGAAGCCUUCCAUGUAUUUUUCUUGGUUACAAUUCAUCUUAUAAAGGAUUUCGAUGCUUAGAUCCCCAAUCACAUCGAGUCUUUAUCACUAGACAUGCUCGGUUUGAUGAAACAGUCUUUCCAUCAUCUUCAUCUCAUAUGCAGCCUUCCCCUGCACUGUCAGAUUUAUCUCUUUUCAUGAUCCCAGUUCCUCAACUUCUCCUUUGUCUAGCACUUAUUCUUCUGCAGGUUCUCGGUCCUUACCAUCAAUUACUCCAUCUAUACCAUGUAAAUCAUGUGCUUUGGAGCUGCCUCAGAGUCCAUCAAUUUUGCUACCACCUGCGUCUCCUACAAUAGCUGAGAGAGUUUCAGAAUUACCUGUUGUGCUUUCCAGAAUUGAGCCUACUUCAGAUAUACCUAUUGCACCGGCUCAACAUUCUUCUUCAAUCUGAACUCUCAUCCCAUGAUAACUCGUGGAAAAGCUGGUAUCUCCAAAUCCAAACAUUAUAAUUAUGUUUGUCAAAUUCCUGCUCUUUUAUUAUCAUCGCUAUUAGUUAUGAAGGAACCAAAAGGAUUCAAAAGUGCUGCUAAAUCACCCGAAUGGCUAGCUGCAUGGAUGAUGAAAUUCGUGCCUCACUCAUAACCAAACAUGGGAACUGGUUCCUAGACCACCUGAUACCAAUGUGGUUGGAUCCAAAUGGAUUUUUCGGAUUAAAUAUCAUUCUGAUGGCUCCAUUGACAGGUUCAAAGCACGCCUAGUUGCUCAAGGCUAUACUCAACUCUAUGGACUUGAUUUUCACGACAUUCAGUCCAGUUGUUCGAGCUUCUAUCCCAUUGUCCUCUCUAUUGCAGUAACUCGUGGCUGGAACAUACGUCAACUUGACGUUAAGAAUGCGUUCCUUCAUGGUCUUCUUCAGGAAGAGGUUUUAUGGAACACCACCCGGUUAUAUUGACACUUCUCUCCACACCAUGUUUGUCGCCUAAAAAAAGCCAUCUAUGGUUGAAACAGGCACCGAGAGCCUGGUUUCAUCGCUUUAGCAAUUUCUUACUCACAAUUGGUUUCCUUUGCAGCAAAGCCGAUUACAGCUUAUUUGUUCAUUCAUUAUAAUGGUAUUAUUUAUUUGCUGCUAUACGUAGAUGAUAUUGUUCUAACUGGAAGCAAUGUAUCUCUCAUUGACUUUCAUUCACAAGCUCCAGCAAGAGUUUUCUAUGAAGGACCUUGGAGAUCUACAUUAUUUUUUGGGUUUAGAAGUUACUCAAUCUCCACAGGGCAUGUUCCUAAGUCAGGUCAAGUAUGCAAGAGAUAUUCUUAUCAGGGCUGAACUUCAGGAUUCGAAGCCAAUAUCAACACCGAUGAUUGUUUCUCAUCACUUAACUUCUGAUGGUCCACUAUUUCAUUCACCAACAAUCUAUCGAUCUCUUAUUGGUUCGCUGCAAUAUCUCACCAUCACCAGACCGAACAUUACACAUGCAGUAAAUUUAGUGAGCCAAUUCAUGCAUGCACCACGAGAAUCACAUUUUCAGGCCGUUAAACGAAUUCUCAGAUAUGUUAAAGGCACUCUUCAUUUCGGUCUUAGCAUCAGUUCAUCAAGUCAUCUCAAUAUCUCGGCUUUUUUAGAUGCUGAUUGGGCUGGUUGUCCAGAAACCAGUCGCUCCACAUCAGGGUAUGCAAUUUUUAUGGGUGACAAUUUGAUUUCAUGGACCUCUAAAAAGCAGACCACAGUUUCUAGAUCUUUAGCAGAAUCAGAAUAUAGAGCAUUGACACUCACUCCAGCUGAGGUUAAAUGGUUGCUAAACAUUCUUCAUGAUUUACGUAUUCAACUACCAGCAUAUCUGACUUUACUCUGUGACAACACCACCACUAGUUUCAUGACUAGGAAUCUAGUAGCUUAACGAAGGUCUAGACGCAUUGAUAUUGAUGUUCAUUUUGUUAAAGAAUUAGUCUGCAAUGGUAUAUUGAUAGUUAAACACGUGCCAUCCACUUUGCAAAUAACAUACAUUUUUACCAAAAGUCCAUCUAAAUCUCUAUUUCUGCUGUUUCGAUCCAAGCUUCGUGUGUUGCCAACUACGCUUGACUUGAGGGGGGAUGUUGGUGAUAAUAGCACAUUACACUCUGGAGAUAAUCAAGGCAGCAAUCAACGAGAAAAUCACUCCCAACAUCAAGGAUCAAUCCAUGAAAAUCAAGACGUUAUGAGGAGUUGAUUAGUUGUGUAUAUAGAAUCUUAAAUAGCUUUCCUUAUAGAGCUGAUACUGUUAUUAUUAUUAGAUUGUAUUCAAUACUGUCAUUAUUAUUAGGUUGUAAUAGUUUUCUAUAUAAUGCAACAUUCCACACCAUAAGCAUGUAUGCUGUGGUUUUCAUUAUCUCUAAAACUCUACAAGAUGAGCCUCCAUCUUCAACAUCUUUCCUUGCCAUAUCCCCAAAACUAUUUGCUCUCCUCUGUGUUUCCUCUGCUUUCUCACCUAGCAUUAUCUCCUUCACUGCCAUAUCUACUACUUCACUAUUAACACAUACCCCCCACCAGCCUUAUGCUUUGUUAAACACCGACUGCACGACACAGGGUCACUCCUUUUGUCCACCACGCAGACUCAACUGAAAAGCAACGUAAAGAGAGCAGGGCUCAUAAUGUAAAGCCGAUAAAUUACGUCUAGCAGAACAUAGUAAAGUUAUUACUUAAUUUAAUAAUAUUAAAAAAGAAGAAGCUAAAUAUCAUUUAGUUUAUACAAUCUUUUACUUGACAUAACCAAUUCUUGCAUCCUGGAUUGGAACUGUGUAGACAUACCAACAUGGGGUGAUUUGUCAAGUAAACGUAUCAUAAUUUUAAAUUGUUCAAAUUAAAUGUUAGAUUUUUUUUGGAAGAACAUGUGUGGUAUAAGAUCAAAAUAGUAAUGGAAAGUCAAAAGAGAUGGAGAGGAAUGUAUAUUUUUAUUAAGUGUUUCUCUCUAAACUUUCUUAAUUAUUCUCACUUUUUUAUGUUGCUUCCUAAUGCUAAAUUACAAGACUUUUUAUAUGCAUAAAAUCAUAAACCAUCAAAGAAUUAAACUAAUAUAAAAAAAUGAUAAUCUGAAUAAAAAUUGUAUUUUGCUUAUUGAAAUAAUCGACUGUUUGAACUUAUUCUAACCGAUGGACUGGUUCCUCUGUUUUUUAGAACCAAAAUCUGAUUUAUUUUCAACACCCCUUAAACUUGAUUUCUUCAUAACUCCCAACACAUAUCUUAUCUUGAUAAAAACACCAUAUUUGAGUGACUUUGUGAAUAUAUCCACGACUUGGUUUUGUGUCUUCACAUUCUUGACUUUAACUUUCUUGUUUGCAAUGUAAUCUCAUAGAUAAUGAAAUCUUCUGUCAAUAUGCUUUCUUUUAUCAUGAAAUACUGGAGUUCUUGCUAAUGCAAUGACUAAUGAGUUGUCCAUAUAAAGUUUAAUAGGCUUCUCUUGUGGCAUUUAGAACUCUUCAAUAAUCUCUUUAGCUAUAUGAAAUGACAAACACACGAUGUAGUAAUUAUAUAUUCAGUUUCACAUGUUAACAAAGUGAUUAUAUAUUACUUCUUUGAGCUCCAUGUAAAUGUUGUGUCUCCUGUGUAGAAAACAAAACUCGUAGUGUUCUUUCUAUCAUCCAUAUUCUAGCCCAAUUACUAAUACUAUAAACUACAAGUUCAAAGCUAUUAGAAUAACUAUAGAAUAAGCCAAAAUCAACAGUAUCUUUGAUAUACCGAAGAAUUCACUUCAAAGCUUUGAAGUGUAUUAUACUAGGUGACUUCAUAAACCUACUCACAAGUUUUACUCCAAAAAGAAUAUUUUAACGAGUGCAUGUCAACUAUCUCAAACUCCUAACUAAGUUCUUAAAUAUUAUAGAGUUUAUUUUCUUUCUUUCAUCAUGUUUUGACAUCUUUACUCCACACUCAACUAAAAUAUUCAUUUUUUUUCACAAUCCUCCAUCUUGAACUUGAGAAUAUCCCUUGCAAAAUUCUCUUGAUUCAUAAAAAUUACAUCUUCUCAUUUGAUCUCAAUCCCUAAGUAAUAGGACAUGAGCCCGGUAUCUGUCAUCUCAAACUCCUUGAUCAUUGCUUGCUUGAAGUAUCCACACAUCUUUUGAUUAUUUCUUGUAAAGAUCAAGUCAUCUACAUACAAACAUACAAUAAGAGUAUCACUACUCUUUUUUAUCUUUACAUAGAUAGCAUAUUUAUAUGGGCAUUUAACAAGUCUAUUCUUUAAAAAAUAGCCAUCUCGAGGGGCUUGCUUCAAUCCAUACAAGGCUUUGUUCAACUUUAAUGUAAACUCUCGACUAAAUUCUUCAUGAAAUAUUAAAAAUUUUAACCUGAAAAUAAAAUGAGUUAAAUUAAAAUUAUGGGAAUUAAAACUUAAUGUCAAGGAAAAAAUUGAAAUGAAAUGAUAAGAGGAGAAAUUAAUUACAAAAUUAUGGGGAAAAAAUUAAGAAUUAAAUGAAAAGAUGGGGUCAAUGUCAUUAUGAAUCGAGACCUUGAGAAUGGUCGUAGAACUUAAAGAUGAGAAUCGUUGUGAUUGGUUGAUUUUGCAUAUAAGGGGUAAAUUAAUGGGAAAUAUGCAUUUUUAUCUAAUUAUACUACUAUUGUUAGUGUGAAUUAUGAUAAAUGUUUAUGAUGAAUUGGAAGUAUAUAUGACCAUGCUAACAUUGUGGAAUGUAAAAUUGGUAUGAAUUUCUACCAUAAGCAUGUUUUUUCUUGAAAUAGUUUUGAUUAUUUUAAAUAAAUGUGAGCUGGGUUGAUACGUUUUAUAAAGUUGUAUUUAAUGAUGUUAUAAUGUAAAUAACAUGGUAAGGAUUGUUUUGAAUGGUGAGAAAUUGAAUAAGAAUAUUCGGUUUAUUAUAAAGCCAUAAAAAGGAAAACUAGAUAGCCUUGUCUUUUAAAGUAUAAAGGAGAUUAGGGCAUGAAAAUGAUAAAAUUUGAGAUACUUUUCUUCAUAGGAGUUAUAACCCGAGGUGUUAGUUUUCCAGCGGGACUAACAUUGCUUAAUUUGGAACUCUAAAAAUCCAAAUGUAGAUCAAAAUCCGAGGGGAGGUCAAGCUAAAAUUGUAAUGGACAGCUUCAAAUCUUAGCUUUCAUAAGAAACAAGUCAUGCCCAAAACUGAAUUUUUAUAACUUCAGUUACAAUUAUAAUAAGAAAAUGUGUUUUAAAUGGUCAAGAUAGAUUGAUCAGGGGUUGGCUAACAUGUAUUUUUGUUUAAGAGUUGUCGUAAUAUUAGAACUAAAUUGUUAAGGUAGUAAGAGUGAAAUGAAAUAUAAUGAUGUAUACCUGUUGGUACAGAGGAGGUCUUAAGAGUUGUGCAGCAGCAGGGGGACAUGCCAAGAGCUUUAACAGUAGGUUGGGAUUAUCUCCUAGAUAUGGAGGAUGAAAAUAAAUACCCAAAUGAGUGAGCGAAGACCCAAAAAAUGGGUCGGUAAUGUCGCACGUUGGAAAAAUCCCGCGCGGCAAUCGGCUGGCGAUUUUUUUUAUUAUUUGUGUUUUGUUUGGUUCGUUGGAGUCGCCACCUAGUAUUAUAGUCACUAGGAACCUAUGGUCUGCGAGAGUCUGAGUAAGGGACUGGUUGUGCAGGGGGAAGACGCAUCACCCCAGUGCACCCUACCUAAGGUAAGUUGCAUUGUUGUUUGAUUGUUUUUCCAGGUCGAGUUUCUAUUCGUUGGUCUUUCUAAGGUUCAAGGUAGAUCUAUCUUCAUGAUAAAGUCUCUACCUUAUUGAAUUAAAUCCUAACCGUUCUGAAGUCUGAAUGACAUUUAUUUACACCUUGUGUUGUAACCCAUUUUCGGAUCCCCACAAAAAUAAAAAUAAAAUAAAUAGCCAAAGGAGGUUAGAAAAAUAACGGAAGGCAGAAGCACUCAGAAAAUUGUCAGAAAAUUGGUCAAGGAGUAUAAAAAUACAAAGAUUGGAUUUUUUACAGUAUAUUCUUGAAGGAUGAGAGCCCUGUUUAGGAGGAAAAUUUAAAUUUUGAGGAGAAAAGCCCAAAUUUCGAUGUUUAUGGACUUAAUUGGAUUUUUAAAUUGAAUUUAUAGAGGAUUUUGAGUGCAAGAAAAAUUGAUUUUUAAGUCAAUUUGGGCUUUAAUUAGAAGAAAUUUAAGUUCUGGGGCCAAAAUAUAUUUUUUAGGAAUUUAUUAGGUCAAAUCAGGGGAUUAAUUGCAUAAAUAUUGAAGUUUAAUGGCCAAUUAGGGACUUAAUUGAGAAAAUCCGAAACUAGGGACCAAUUUGGAAAAGGCACGUAAAUCGGGGGGGGGGGGCUGUUUUGGAUUGAUUCGGGGUCAAAUUGAAGAAAUUGAAAACUGGAGGAAUAAUUUAAACAUUGGCGCAGGGAAACCGAGCGACACGUCGCCUGUUACUGUUCACUUUCUUCCUCAAAAAGCUGCCUGAGUGGCUGUUUUCCAGGCGCAUUUUCCAGCUCGUGUGACUUCCAAAUCCGACAAAACGUGCACCAACAUGUCCAUAUAAAACCCCUUUAUCCCGGAGAAUGGUCCGGCCGGAUCGAAAAAGUUAGAAACGGCUCCGUUGAGCGGCUCAAAGUGGCCACCUCGGGCAGUUCACAGCCUGGAGCUGCCAAAUUUGGCAGCUCGAGGUGCAUACUUUGAACCAAUGGCUUGGAUGCCUCGGGUCGAAUCAAGGGCUAUAAAUUUUCCCAAAUGUACACAAUGUUGCCCUUUUGCACCGCCUAUAAAUAGAAUCUCAAUUGAAGACCUGAUGGGGGAGAAAAGAACACAUAAAGUCGGACGAAAACCAUCCAUUACUGCCCAGUUUUCCUGCAACCAACCUCUUUUUCUCUUUCCCUCUCCGCCGUUGGCCCUCAUCAACCACCACCAUCAUCACUCGUCUUCUCACUGUCAUAUCCACCUCCAGCAGCCAUCAAAGCGUCACACACGGUGGUCUCACCAUCUCUCUCUCUCCUCUACAAAUUUUUCUCCCCUGUCACCGAGGCAGCAGCAGCAGCAGUAGCCGCAGCAACCACCAUGACCAGCAGCUUCUGCCUUUGCCGAAGACCGCCAGGACAGCAGCUCUAUCUUCAGCUGCUCCAAUAGUUACAACCGUGAGCUUUCCUUCACCUCUACAGGACCUGUUUCGUUCUUCUUCCAGCCGGGACCAGUGCACGCCCCCAGCCACUGCCACCGUCAGCACCACCGGGAGACCUCGUCAACUGCCUCUCCACUGCCACCAGCAUCACUGGGAGUGUUCGCCAUCGUUUCUGCCACCAGGUUUGCACCCCCUUCGUCGCUGUACAUGCACCAUUUCCUUGCAUUUCACUGUUGAAGUGAAAUGCUAAUUCACUGUUCACAUCACAUAUCAUUCACGUGAACAGUGAAAUGCUAUUUCACUGUUCGCAUCAAAUAUAUUUCACUGUUCACAUGAGGCCUGCUAGGUUCAGCCCAGCCACAUGGGCCCAGCUGGGUCCAGCCCUAAAAAAAAUAUAAAAAAUAAAAAUUCUUCAAAAAUUAUUUUAAAGAGUUUGUGAUUUUUCUGUAAUUUUAUUAAUGUAUUUUGGUCAAUAUCGGUUUGUAUUUUUAUAUUGUAAAGAUACAAAUCCGGUAUUAAAAUACCCGGUUUUCGUCAACAAAAAGAAAAUGUUUAUAAAAAAAAUAUAUUUUGUUUUAAUGCAUAUAGCCAAUACUCUAACAUGUUUUGAAUGUUCUUUUUAUAUAUAAAAAAAUAUUGGAAGCUUUGAAAGUAUGUUUUCGCAUAGAUUUCUUAAACACAAAUUAUUUUCUUGCAUUUAUGGAUUUUACAACAUGUUUGUAAAACUCCAAAGGGUAUUAGCCAAUAUUCCAAAAACUAUAAAAAUCUUAUUUUGGGGGGGGGGAAUUCAUCUAUUAUUCACCGCUAAUGUUUGGAUAAAGAAAUCCUUAAAGGAUGAAUGUCCAAAAUAUUAUUGGGAGUAAUAAAUCCGCACACAUCCUUGAAAGAAGCCUUGAUUAUAAUCGAUGACAUUUCAAAAUUUCAAAUUUUGUGACUUCACGGUUUACGAGCAGUGAAAGUAUGAAAUACUAAGGCAAAAGGAGGCUUUUAAAGCACUUUGAAUUUCCUUAGAUUUCUAAAUUUUUUGUCCCUCCUCGCGAUUUACAAGUCGCAAACUCUUGAAAUACUAAGGGAAAAAUGAGCUUUCAAAGCACAUGGAAUCUCCUUGGAUUUCUAUCCAAAUAAAUUUUAUUUGAAUCAAACCUAGGAAAAUUGAUGGGAUUAGAAAGCACCAACACCAUAACAAUUAUAGAGCAAACCAAACACCAAGCAGCUUACCUUAGGUAGGGCGUACUAGGGGUGCUAAUACCUUCCCUUUACACAAUCAAUCCCUCGCCUUAGAAUAUCUGAAAGACCAGUUGGGGUUCCUAGUAACUAAAAUCCUAGGUGGCGACUCCCAAAGAAUAAAAUCAAGCAAAAACAACGAAAAAAAUCGCCAUCGAACGCCGCGCGGAUUUUUUAGAGGUGCGACACCUUGUAUCUUUAAUACUUGAGGGUGUACUUUAUCAUGUAAUUUUACACCUUUCAAAUAUUAAAGUCUACAUUUGGAUCCUAGAAAAAGAUUGAAAAAAGGUUUUUGAUAUUUUGGUCAAACCCUAAUGGAUAAUCAUAAACUAGUUAUGAUAUCCAUUUUUUUUGGAUUUUCAAAACAUGAGAAAGAUGUAAUUUGUUUUUUAAAAAAACAUGCAUGGAAAAUUUUUAGGACUUGGCCGUAUGCGAUAAAAUGUUUUUUUUUCUUUUUGAAUUUUUUUUUAUUUUUUUAAAAUAUUUUGAAAAAAUCGGGUAUUUUAAUACCGGGCUUGUAUCUUACAAUGUAAGUAUAUAACCCAAUAUUAAGCAAAAUUAGUUGAAAAAUAUUUGAGAAAAUUACAAAUUUUUUUGAAAGGAUUUUUUUUUAAUUUUUUUAGGAAAAAAUUUCGUUUAUUUUAUUUUUAUUUUUAACUAUGUACUAAGUAAUUAAAUACAUUAAAGCAUGUGGUUUGGACCCAAGACAGGCCCAGAAACAUAUGUAUUGAUCAUAGGCCCAAAAACAAUUGGGGCCGGACGUGGCCCAACAUAUUUUGCAUUUUUAGGGAUGGGCUGGACUCGGCCCAGCCAACUGGGCUAGGGCCAAGGCAGGUCCGGCCCAUAGCAGCUUAGUCAUUGGGCAGCCUAGUCAGGAACGGUGCAACGUGAAUUAAAAUUCACGUUCCACUGUUCACGUGCAUCUUCGAAGUAGAAAAGGAAGAAGAAGAGAGGAGGGCGACUCACCUGGCGCUGAAGGAACCGGCAGCCUGACUGGUGGCGAACGAUACGACUGGAGGUGGUGAGACUGGCGGUGAGCUGCGGUUGCAACUGGAAGAAGAAGACGACUGCAAAGGAGAAGGGAAGCUCACGGUUGCAACUGUUGGAGGGCAGAAGCUUCGGUUCGAGGUGGCUGCUGCGGCUGCUACUGCUGGGGUCGCGGUGGUGGAGAGAAAAAAGUUUUGCCGGGAAGAGAGGGAGAGAGAGAGAGUUGUUGCUGGCUUCAGUGAGGUGGCUGGGUGAUAUAUGGGAUGUGGUGUUUCAGGGGAAGGAUGGUGGCGAGAUCAAUGGUGGCAACUAGAGGCCACGGCGGAGAGGAAAAAAAAAGAGAGAGGACUGGUUGCAGGAAAACCGGGCAGGAAAAGCUGAUUUUCGACCAACUUUGAGUUCAGUUUUCUCCUCCCUCUGAGCAUGAAAUUGGCUCCUAUUUAUAGGAAUGGAAACAAGGUAAUCUUGUCUUCAACGGGGAAAAAGUCUCAGCCCUUGAUUCGACUCGAGGGAUCCAAACCGUUGGUUCACAGUGUGUACCUCGAACUGCCAAAUUUGGCAAUCCAAGGCUGCAGACUGCCCGAGGGUGCCACUUUGGGCCAAUAAACCAAGCCGUUUCCAAGUUUUUCGACCCGACCAAACCCCUCUAUGAGAUAAGGGGAUUUCAGGUGGACAUGUUGGUGCACGCCUUGUCGGAUUUGGGGGCCACACGAGUGAGAAAAUGCGCCUGGAAAGCAGCCACUCGGGCAGCUAUGCGAGGAAGAAGAUGAACAGUAACCGGGCGAUCCCCUCCCUUUUUUUUUUAACACGAAAACGACACCGUUUUGGAUAGAAAAUUAGGGAUUUUUGCCGGUUUUCAAUUCAGUCCUCCAGCGUUCAAUUGUUUUCAAUUUGACCCCUAGAUUUUGUCAAUUAGACCCCUAUAGUUUGGUGCCUUUUGCAAAUAGGUCCUUGGCUUUGGAUUUUGUCAAUUUUCUUUCAAUUUGGCCCUGAUUUCAAUCAAUUAACUUGGUAAAAAUUAAAUUUGGUCUCUUAAAAUUCCAAUAUUCUCAAUUAAGCCCAAAUUAAGCUCCAAACUUAAUGUUUCACCAAUUAAGGCCCAAAAAAAAUUAAUUUGACCCAUUUAAAGUAUAAUUAAGCCCUUGCACUUAAUUAAAUCCUUCAUUUGGACCUAAAUUAAUUCUUAAACAUAAUUAAAAAUUCAAUUUGGCCCAUGAUUAAAUCAAAUUGGCCUAUUAAAAUUUAAUUAUGUCCUUGGACUUAAUUUUUAUGCAAAUUCGUCCGAUAAUCAUUUAAUUUAACCUUGAAUUUGCAUUGUAAUCCUAUUUGUUUUUGGCAUAAUGGGGGACAAUUAGGCCUUGAAUUUCCUCCAAAAAUUACAGCUUGAUUUCUCGACCUACCUUCUCCACGUUGCCAGCCUUUAUUUUAUUUUUUGAUUUUUAUUUUAAAAAAGAAAUUGGUUUUUGUUUUUGGGAAUAACCCAGAAUUGGGUUAUGACAGGUAACUCAGGGUUGAGUGUGACUAUAAUUUGUAUUGAAUUAAUUAAGAUUAAUGGGUUUGUAAAAGAAAUAAUUGACAAUGAAAUAAUAUAGUUGCAAUGAAAGCAAAAUUUAAGGUUGUUUGUUUUGUUUAUUAAGUAACUUUGCUAUAUUUAUGUUGAAUUAAAUUAAAGGUACUUCCCCUCUGAGCAAAUUGAUAAAUAUAUAGGAUCUUAUUUUGUUAAAAUUAAUGAUUAUAUAAUCUAUAUUUCUUAUGUAAUAUCUACUUGGCAUGUAAGAAACGUGAAUCUUUUUUUUUUCCUACUAAACUAUUUAAAUUAGAAUAUGUUAAUCAACUUUUAUGAUUUAUAACUCUUUGAUAUGACAAAAUUAUAAAUGUAUGUAAUUAACUUCUGAUGUUUUUAUGAUAAUUUGUAUAUUUGUUUAUAAUUUAUAUGAUAAAUAAAUUACAAUGAUGGAAGUGUUGGAAUAUGGGAUUGAAUGUUAUUUUAGUUCCAUUGAUACAAGAAUGUCCAUGAUGAUUAGAUGAUGUUUAAGUUGCGUUUGAUGAUUGUUGAAUUGAGAACAAGUUCUAGUCGAUAACGUGGAAUCUCCCGGUAUAGAAGAGACUUUGCUGAAAUUUUAGUAUAGUUUGAAGGGACCACAAACAUCGAUACGUAUUUCUUGCAGGGGUUGACUUUCUCUUCAUGUAAACUCAUUUGAAAAACUCUCACGAAAUUACUUACCCACUAAACAUCCUUCACAUAACUGAUUUGGGUGUAUAAUGGAUUAUAGACCCUUCAACAUCUCUUUUUGUGCCAUCAUCUUCAAGCUAUCAAAAUUUAUAUGUCCAAAUCUCAUAUGUCAAAGCCAAUACAUCCGUUUCUAUGUUUAGUAAGAAUAUUUUAUUAAACCUAACACUUAUUAUAGAUAUUUUAAGGUUUAAUACAGUGCAUUAAAAAGAUUUUUUUAAAAAAAGCUCAUGUAUUAAACAGGAGGAAAAUUGAUUGUAUAAAACCUGACAGAUUUAAUAAAUUUGGACAUGUAAUUGUUCAUGAGCAGAAAAGAUGAAAAAUAGAAGAUAGCACAAGAAGGUAGUGGAUCGAAGACUUUGCUCAGUUUCCAUGUCUCUAAACGGUUCCUCUAUCCCCUAUUUAUAUUAGAGACAUGGAAAAGUACCGUACGUUGCUAUCCACUACCUUUUAAAAUAAAAAAUUCUUAGUUUUAAAAUAAAAAAUUCUUAGUUAAAUGAGAAAUAACUUAACUAGUUAGUAAUGAAUUUAAUAAAAAUUAAUUAUAUAUUAGCCAAAAUGAAAAAAAAUUAGUACACCGAAUUUUGAGAUGACAUUUAAAGAAUUAAAUUACAUCAUCAUAAUUAAUAAAAAAUUUUUUUUAAUAAAACCACACAAAUUGAAGGCCAAGUGGCCUUGGUAUAAAAGGAAAGCAAAACGUAAGGCCUAACUGUUUUCAACAUUUUUCUUAUUAAAAUAUCCUCUUCUUCAUUUCCUCUCUCUCUCUCUCUCUCUCAUUUGAAAUCUAAAUAAUAAGAAUUGGCUCCUCACAGAAGGCGAAUGAUACAACGGGGAAAGCCAAUCUUAGAAAAACCACCUAAAGCUAAGACUACUUUUUGGGUGUUGCUCUUGAGAGAGAGAUUAACAAAGCAUGGAAGACUGGAAGUUGUGUUGUUGCUACGGCUAAAGAGAAAGGGGAAAGGGGAGUGGGGACUCGGGAGGGACUCAGACUCAGACUUAGUAUAGUUUAUAAAUUGUAACUUUUGUUAAAUUCGUAAACUCAUCCGAGUUUACUGAGUUUCAUCGAGUUUGUUUAUUUUCAAGUUUUUAAUUCAAUUUAACAUAUCAGUUAACUCAUAAAAUUAUAUAAUUUUACAAGUAAACUCGCAAGUUUAAUAACAUUGAUGGGGAUAUUGAAACCGAGAUCAUGCAUUAAUUAUUCAGGUUCGUUUAAUCUGAAGAUGAUCUUAAAAGAGGAGAAUUUCUAGAGGGAACAAGUACAAACUCAAUUUUAGGACAAUACAACAAGAAUUUGAUACGAUGUUAUUAGUUCAGAACUACACAAACCCAAAAUGAAACGGCAAUCUAAACAAUAACAGUCCAGCCCAUCAUUACGUAGGAAUAAUGAAACUAAACAAGAUAAAAUCCUAGAAUACCGAUUUUACGGAAGUGAUAGUCUGUAUCAAAGUCAGGACCAGGAGGAUAGCUGCUGCAACAGUUCCCGUACCUCUCCAAACAGUGGGGAAAUAUACAUGUCUCCAAGUUUGCCUUCAUAUGGUUCCAUCGGUGCUCAUAGUGGCCAUUCAUCAGACGACAGAUAUCAUCAUAACAAGUACUGGAAUUGUCUCCAAUAUUUUCGUUAAGCUUGUUAAACAUAUUUGAAAGUUCGGCAUUGUCACCUGGCCAGUGGAGAAUGAUUCCCUUUCUGACUAGCAAAUCCACGUCUUCUGCACUGUUGAUAAGAUUGUCCAUAAACCUAAUGUAAUUGCAUAUGUAAGCUUCAUUCGGUUUGUAGCACUGCUCCAAGGCCAUGAUAUUUCGUACAAAACGUUCGAAGCUGUAAUCAACUUCCAAGCGUGGUAUUUCCAACACUCCUUUCUCAAAUCUUAUGUUAACCAUGCAUUUCUCUUUGGCGACCCGAAACCUCACUCCUGCCUUGCGAAGCAUGACGGCGCUAUAUUUCAGCCUGACAGUAUGACAAGUAAAACUUCUCUCAAUGACUCCAUCCAGCAUUAAAAUUCCUUAGUAAAUCAGUGAAGUGCCUGCUUCCCUUUACUUUCGGGUCGGUGUUUACCCGCAUUAAAUCUGAAAACGCAUACUUUCCAAAAUGAAAGGCAGCAAGACUAAGAAAAGGAAUGCUUGGUAACUCUUGGCGAGCGCGAUUGACCUCGUCAUAUAUUUCCUGAAUAAUGAAGAAAGGUAGUUGGUUUUCAAGUAGCUUCAAGUCUUCUUUUAUGUCGCACAUCAUCCAAGGCUCUAAAUUCUUAGGACCAUCAACAUCAUUUGACUCCCUUAUAAACUCAAUAAUGAAGACGGCAUCCAGCAGGAUCAUCUCUAUGAAAUCCAUGCUCCCAAUUUCAUCGAAGUUCUUUGAAUAAUAUUGUCGGAUAUUCUUUUCAUUAUUCCGAAUAAAAAAUGUGUUUUGCUAAUUGAAAUGGUCGAUCGUUUGAACUUAUUCUAACCGGUAGACUGAUUCCUUUUUUUUCUCAAAACCAAAAUCUAAUUUAUUUUCAACACCCUUUAAACUUGAUUUCUUCAUAACUCCCAACAUAUCUCGUAUCUUGAUAAAAACAUCAUAUUUGAGUGACUUUGUGAAUAUAUAUAUAUAUGUGAUUUGGUUUUGUGUCUUUACAUUCUUGACUUUAACUUUCUUGUUUGCAAUGUAAUCUUGUAGAUAAUGAAAUCUUGUAGAUAAUGAAAUCUUCUGUUAAUAUGCUUUCUUUUAUUAUGAAAUAUCGGAUUUCUCGCUUGAUUGAAGUCUCCAAAUAUCUUUGGAUUAUUUCUUGUAAAGAUCAAAUCAUCAACAUACAAGCAUAUAAUAAGAGUAUCAUUACUUUCUUUUUUUUAUCUUCACAUAGAUAGCAUAUUUAUAAGGGCAUUUAACAAGUCCAUUCUUUUAAAAAAAGCCAUCCCAAGGGGCUUGCUUCAAUCCAUACAAGGCGUUCAACUUUAAUGUAAACUCUCAAUUAAAUUCUUUAUGAAAUGUUAAAAAUUUUAACCUGAAAAUAAAAUGAGUUAAAUUAAAAUUGAGGGAAUUAAAACUUAAUGCCAAGGGAAAAAUUGAAAUGAAAUGAUAAGAGAAGAAAUCAAUUAGAAAAUCAUGGGGGGGGAAUUGAGAAUUAAAUGAAAAGAUGUGGUUAAUUUCAUUGUGGAUUGAGACCUUGAGAAUGGUUGUAGAACUUAGAGAUGAGAAUCGUUGUGAUUGAUUGAUUUUGCAUAUAAGGGGUAAAUUAAUGGAAAAUAUACAUUUUUAUCUCAUUACACUACUAUUGUUAGUGUGAAUUAUGAUAAAUGUUUGUGAUGAAUUGGAAGUAUAUACAACUAUGCUAAUAUUGUGGAAUGUAAAUUUGGUAUGGAUUCCUACCAUAAGCAUGUUGUUUUUCUUAAAAUAGUUUUGAUUAUUUUAAAUAAAUGUGAGCUGGGUUGAUAAGUUUUAUAAAGUUGUAUUUAAUGAUGUUAUAAUGUAAAUAACAUGGUAAGGAUUGUUUUGAAUGGUGAGAGAUUGAAUAAGAAUGUUUGGUUUAUUGUAAAGCCAUAGAAAGGAAAACUGGACAACCUUGUCUUUUAAAGUAUAAAGGAGAUUAUGGCAUGAAAAUGAUUUAAGAUAUUUUUCUUCAUAGGAGUUAUAACCCGAGGUGUUAGUUUUCUAGCGGGACUGACAUUGUUUAAUUUGGAACUCUAAAAAUCUAAAUAUAGAUCAAAAUUUGAGGGGAGGUCAAGCUAAAAAUUGUAAUGGACAAUUUCAAAUCUUAGCUUUCAUGAGAAACAAGUCAUGCCCAAAACUAAAUUUUUAUAACUUUAGUUACAAUAUAAUAAGAAAUGUGUUUAAUAAGAUAGAUUGAGGUUGGCUAACGUUUAUUUUUGUUUAAGAGUUGUCGUUAGAACUAAAUUGUUAAGAUAGUAAGAGUGAAAUGAAAUAUAAUGAUGUAUACAUGUUGGUACAGGAGAGGUCUUAAGAGUUGUGCAGCAGCAGGGGGACAUGCCAAGAGCUUCAACAGUAGGUUGGUGUUUAACACUUUAAUUUUUUUAUUUAUCAAGUUUUUAAAAGUAAAUCAAUUAUCGAUGUAGAAUUUUAAUUUAUGUUGAUAAAUUGAAGAUAAAGAGUUAGCUUUCUGAUAAUGGGACUAGUGCUCACUAAUAAGCAAAGGAACUAGCUUCUUGGUAAUGAAACUAGUGCUCGAUAAUGAGCGAAGGAACUAGCUUCCUGGUAAUAAACAUGGGAGAUAGUUUGAUGAUUGUUGAAUUGAGAACAAGUUCUAGUCCAUAAUGUGGAAUCUCCUAGUAUAGAGGAGACUUUGCUGAAAUUUCAAUAUAGUUUGAUGGGACCACAAACAUCAAUACGUAUUUCUUGUAGGAGUUGACUUGCUCUUGAUGUAACCUCAUUCAGAAAACUCUUACGAAAUUGCUUACCCAUUAAACAUCCUUCACAUAACUGAUUUGGGUGUAUAAUGGAUGAUAGACCCUUCAACAUCUUUUUUUGUGCCAUCAUCUUCAAGCUAUCAAAAUUUAUAUGCCCAAAUCUCACAUGUCAAAGUCAAGUCUCAUCCUUCACAUAUGCAUUUAGGUAUUUAGUUGUCUCUAUGUUUAGUAAGAACAUUCUAUUAAACAUAACACUUAUUAUAGACAUUUUAAGGUUUAAUACCUUACAUUAAAAAGAUUUUUAAAAAAAGUUCAGGUAUGAAAAUUGAUUGUAUAAAACCUGACAGAUUUAAUAAAUAUGGACAUGUAAUUGUUCAUGAGCAGAAAUGAUGAAAAAUAGAAGAUAGUACAAGAAGGUAGUGGAUCGAAGAUUUUGCUCAGUUUCUAUAUCUCUAAACGGUCACUCUAUCCCCUAUUUAUAUAAGAGACAUUGAAAAGUACCGUUGCUAUCCACUACCUUUUAAAAUAAAAAAUUCGUAGUUACGUGAGGAAUAACUUAGCUAGUUAAUUUUUGAGUUUAUUAUUUAAUAAUUACAAGUUUUGAGUUUUUUAAGGCUACUGGAGUUUAUAUGGUCGUUAACUUCAGGACUCGUAGGAUUAGUCGAGAUACACGCAAACUAGUUCGAACACACACGUUAAUAAUAAAAAAAAAGUAUUACAAGAGAAAAAGUGAUCAGCAAUGUAUAAAACCCGAUAAAUUCAUUGUUGGUGAGAUGGGGAUAUUGAAACCGAGAUCAUGCAUUAAUUAUUCAGGUUCGUUUAAUCUGAAGAUGAUCUUAAAGAAGAGAAUUUUGAGAGGAAACAAGUACAAACUCAAUUUUAGGACAAUACAACAAGAAUUUGAUACGAUGUUAUUAGUUCAGAACUACACAAACCCAAAAUGAAACGGCAAUCUAAACAACAACAAUCCAGCCCAUCAUUACGUAGGAAUAAUGAAACUAAACAAGAUAAAAUCCUAGAAUACCGAUUUUACGGAAGUGAUAGUCUGUAUCAAAGUGAGGACCAGGAGGAUAGCUGCUGCAACAGUUGCCGUACCUCUCCAAACAUUGGCGAAAUAUACAAGUUCCAAGGUUGCCUUCAAACGGUUCCAGUGGUUCUCAUAGUGGCCAUUCAUCUUUUUACACAUAUAACCAUAACUAGUGGAAGUUUCGCCAAUAUUAUCGUUAAGCUUGUUAAACAUAUUUGAAAGUGCGGCAUUGUCACCUAGCCAGUGGAGAAUGAUUCCCUUUUCGACUAGCAAAUCCACGUCUUCUGCACUGUUGAUAAGACUGUCCAUAAAUUUAAUGUAAUGGCAUAUGUAAGCUUCAAACGGUUUGUAGCACUGCUCCAAGGCCAUGAUAUUUCGUACAAAACGUUCGAAGCUGUAAUCAACUUCCAAGCGUGGUAUUUCCAACACUCCUUUCUCAAAUCUUAUGUUAAGCAAGCAUUUCUCUUCGGCGACCCGAAACCUCACUCCUGCCUUGCGAAGCAUGACGGCGCUAUAUUUCAGCUUUAUAGUAUAGAAAGUAAAACUUCUCUUAAUGACUCCAUCCAGCAUUAAAUUCCUUAGUAAAUCAGUGAAGUGCCUGCUUCCCUUUACUUUCGGGUCGAGUUUACCACUUCUGGAAACUCCUCCUUUCCCAAAUGAAAGGCAGCGAGAUGAAGAAAAGGAAUGCUUGGAAACUCUUGGCGAGCGCUAAUGACCUCGUCAUAUAUUUCCUGAAUAAUGAAGAAAGGUAGUUGGUUUUCAAGUAGCUUCAAGUCUUCUUUUAUGUCGGACAUCAUCCAAGGCUCUAAAUUCUUAGGACCAUCAACAUCAUUUGACUCCUUUAAAAACUCAAUAAUGAAGACGGCAUCCAGCAGGAUCAUCUCUAUGAAAUCCCAGCUCCCAAUUUCGUCGAAGUUCUUUGAAUAAUAUUGUCGGAUUUUCUUUUCGUUAUUCCGAAUGAUGUUCACAAGAUCCAUAAUUCUCUCGUCACUCAACCUAUUCCCUUUAAACUCUCUAAAACAUAUCAAUUUCUUCCUCUUCAUGAUCUCUAGUUUGGCAUCGCCGUGGUGAAGAGGACCUAUUGAAAUUAGUUGUGGAGUGUAGGCUUCCGGUUUUACGUUUCUAAGCAAAUUGGGCACCUCGUAGAUACAGCACUCAGACAGGUCCUGUUGAGGUGUGCACGAAUCCACCAUACUGUUAAGCUUUGUCACAAAAUUUCUAGUCAUGUCAUAAUCUUCCCCAUUUGAUGCUCUUGCUCCUUCAAAUUCGUCAUUCUUGAAGCACAUGCAGUACUGAGUUUAACUAUUUCCGGUCUGCAGGUUCAGUAACCAAGAAUGAAUGGAAGGGGGGUAUAUAUAGUUCAAUUUUGAAUUUUUUUUUAGAUAUAUGUACUAAUAUAGUAAUUUCUGUGUUAUUUCACAAAAUUAAGGCACUUUUUUAUUCAUGACAUUUUAUGUUCAUGAAUUUAGUCGCACCAAUCAUAAAUAUUUAAAAUUUUAAAAUUUCAAGUUACAUCUUUUUUAUUUAAAUUUACAUCAAAUUUUUUUUUUUUUUUGCGGAUAAACUUUUGGAUGCCAUCCACUAGUGAAUAACUAGUCCUAAUAACCAAACCAUAGAGAAGAACUCGUCAUCAAUUGCAUGUGAGUUAAAAAUACAAAAAAUAAAAUUUAAACCAGAGAUGUCUUAACAUUUUAAAGGACUCCUUAUGGCUCCAUUGUUGCCCAUACAUUUUUUUUUUCUCAUUUACAAUCUAUCAAUAAUCUUUAUAUUCUACAUAUAACUCAACUUUCAUGUCUUUUUUGACGACUCUAUAUCUUUCACCAAUAACUCUUUUUUUUCUUUUCUUUUUUCUACCUCUCUUCCUAACUCAUUUUCUUCUUCUCUAUAUAUCCCCCUCAAUGUAACUCAUUCUUUUCUCUCUUUUUAUCACUUAAACAUACAACUUUUCUUCAUAUCCACGCACCUCUUCUGCUCUAACUCAAUCUCUUUUAAUUCCAACUAAAAUUCUCUUUUCCUCUGUCUCCUACACUCUAUUUCACUCCUCCCUCCAUCCCUCUCAUCUUAACACAUUACCUCACCUUUUAAAAUCUACCAAGGGUUAGCAUCUAGGUAAUUUGAAUAGAAAAUUGUCAUUUUCUGAAUUUUUUUUAUUUCUUAUUCGUUUUUUUAACUCAGAAUCUUUAUAAUCAAUCAAACAAGUCGAGUAAUUCUGGUAAACUAAAUUAUCUAAAUUUUAUACCCUACUGGUUAGGAUAAUUUAGGAUUUAUUGAACGAUGCUCACUCCUAAUAUCUAUUAUAUAUAUUUUAUCUCUUGUAAAUUAAGUUUUUUUUUUUAUUAUUAAAAUGGAUUAACUAAAAGCUAACUUGAUAUUUGUGUUUCGUUAUUGAAUUGAAAAUGAUGUUGGCACUAUCUCAAAAAAAAAAAAAAAAUGAAGUCAGCUUGGAAUGCUUAUACAUAUAUUGAACCACGUAAUGUCUGCAGAGCUUAAAACAAUUCCAAAACGUAAAAUCUCAAAAAAACUAGACAUUUCAGAGAACAAAACAAGUUAGUGCUGACCUGAGGGAGAUCAGACGACUCUCUCUCUGUUGCUCUUACCAAGCCACAUGGUUGCGCCAAAUAUAUACGCAAGGACUGGUAAUUGAAAAUCACAAUAAUAAAGAGGCAUGUGUAUUAGAUUCUGUUUUGUAUGAAUUUCGCAAAUUGAUUUAAGUUUUUUUUUUUAACUUUUAAUUUAUAGAUUCUUCUUUUACUGCUUCUCUUCAAAAAAUUGAUUCAAAUCAUUUUCAUCAAGCAUAAUUUUAACUUAAGAUUAUUUUAACUUAUUAUUAUUAUUAUUAUUAUCCCAAGUUAUUUAUAAAAAAACAACUUUUGAAUUAUUGUUCAAAGUUAGAAUUAAUUUCUCAUAAGCAAUGUUUAACGGAUUUGUUUUUCAUUAAGUUUGUUUUUUUUUGUUUUUGUUAUAUUCAUGUAUUUUGCUUUGGAUAUUAGCUUUAUGACAUUUUCAAUAUACUCUUGAUUAUUAUCCAAAAAAUACUUUUAUUAUCAGUUGUUUAAUCCUUUAAUAAAUAGUUAAUAACUAUUUUUCAAUAAAAUUAUCUAAUCAUCAUAAAAAAAGAAAAAGAAAAAAAGGCAUGAUCACAAAGGGACAUGUUAAACGAAUCAUUAUGGAUGAUGCGGUUCAAUCUACCAAAUUUCAUCUAGUUGCAUCACACAAAGGCUAUUAAUUUAUUUAUCACAACAAAUUAGUGCCAACAGGUUGUGUGUCGUUUGAAGUUAAAAACAUCGAUUAAGUGGUAAGUAAUUAAAUGUUAAUAAUGAUUGGUAGAAUUUGGGUAAUGGGAGACGAUAAAUCUUAAAUUGAUAUAAUUGAAAAGGAAAUGGAUGAUCCAUGUUGGUGGGACUAAUAUUAGGUGUAAUAAAAAGAGAGAGGAAAUCAAUUAAUAAUGGUUUGAAAGGAAAGACAAACUUAUGUAGUAGUUGGCUCUUUUUAAAGUAUAAUGUUGGGAGGCCUGUUCUGGUGAUGGAAAAAACAGUAAGUUUUUCUUUUAGUUAGUUUGCUAAUUGACUAAAUCUUAUUAAUAUUUCCCUUUAAUUACUAUAAAAAAAAUAGUGUUGGAAAAGAAAUAACAGAGAAGAAAAUAAAUAAUCAUGUUCUAAAUAACUUGUAUCACUAUAAUUAUAUUAAAUAAUAAAAAACCAUGCUCUUUAUUCAUUGCCUCAGUAUACUUUAUUAACUUUUAUUUUUUUCUUAUUUAUUAAUAUACUUGAUAUUAAUAUAGAUUAGGUUGAUGACCCAAAUCCAUCGAUUGCUUCACGGAUCAGCUAGGGCUGGAUUUUUUUUAUUAUUGUAUAUUCUAGUAUUUGUGUUUUCUAGGGUCUCUUUUUGCUUGGUUCAUGUUGAUUUUGUCGAUGUAUUGUAUUUGUUUCGGCUAACUCCUGGUUUUUUGCCUUUUCGAGGCUUUAACUCGGAAUUUUAAAAAUAUUCAAGUUGCACCAUUUACAGUCUAGAGUUCAAGUUUUUCCUUUCAUUUACAGUCUACUAAUAAACUGUAACACUCAACUUUCAUCUCCCUCUUUCACUAUAGCACAUUUUCUCCUUCUCUACUUGUCUUCUUCUGACUCGUUAACAAUCUUCCUAUGUAUGCAAUUGCUUAAAUUGUAUUAAAAAACCAGACCAGACCUAGUUUAGUUCUUUAAAAAAAAAAGAGUAACAAAAAAGGAACUACACACACCAUGCCCCUUUAUAGGGAAAAGGUAAACUUUAUGGAUAGAAUGCUUUACAUAUAUUAAACCAUCUAAUGUCUGAAGAGCUCAAACCAAAUCCAAAACAUCGUCCGUAAAUUUUCAAAGAACAAAACUAGAUAGUGCUGACCUGAGGGAGAUCAGUGGGCACUCUCUUUCCUAUAGAUUGCAGCUCCCUUCGCUCUCUCUCUCUGUAAGUCUCCUGCCUUCUACCCUAAUGGUUGCGCGAUCUCCAGAUAUAUUGUGGUAGGAAAACGUGCAUGAGUUUUCUUCUGUGUCAUCAGUAAACGAGGAGGUCAUUUUCACUUUUAUAUAUUUACUGUCAUUACCAUAUGCAUUUAUGUUCACAUUUAUAUAUAUUAUAGUCAUUGCCAUAUGCAUUUACUAGAAAAACUGUAUUAACUUAUUUUUUUAGGAAUUGUUUUAAUAUUUUAGUCUUUUUUCUAAUUUGAAAUAAUGUUUUUUAUAUCUUAGUAUUGACAUAUCUGUUGGAAAAAAUCAACACCAGAGCAGUGUUGGGUCUUUUCUCUGUUCCUAUUGGGAUGAAAGAAUCUAAUGAAGCUCAUGAACUGUUAGCAGUAGUUAAUAGGGAUUAACUUUGCAAUCGCAAGGUUCAAAUUUUAUUGUCGGUGGGUCAGUAGGUUGAUAGGGAUUAAUUUUAAAAAUCAUCUUUGGACUUAGUUUUCUACUGGAAACGCGUUUUCCACAGGGCAAGUUUGGCACUCAAGUUUUUACCACCAGCCACUGCCCCUCUUCUACAAUAAUCUGAAAUGUUCACUGGCUCACUCGUAGAAAUCUUUGAUGCUGUACGAAGACUACAGGAUACUUUGUGCUAUACAAAUUAUUUAAUUUUACUGUAUUCUUCUACAUUGACGGUGGCGCGUGGGAAAGACGCGCCGCCACUAUUCACUUGUUCAGAGACCUUCGUCAGCACUGCAUGCAGUUUCAAAAAGCUUCCCCAGCACUAUUAUGGAUUUUUGGGGGGUUUAUUUUGUAAUUUUUGAAUUGUUUAAUAUUUUUGAAUUGUUUAAUGUAUUGUUUUGAUUUAUUUUUAAUUUUGGUGAUUUGUAAGAUGUUAAUAGUGUGUUUGAAAAGAAAAGAAAAGAAAUAUAAUGAAAGUGUAUGUGUGUGUUUUAUUUUAAUUUUUAUAUAUUUUUUAUGAUAAAAUUGCAAAGAUUAAAGAAGAAUUUAAUAUUUUGAUUAGAUCACGGUCAAGAAUUAUUAACUUAUACGUAAGUUAUAUUUUUGAUAUCCGAUGAAAAGACAAUUAUUAAAACUUCUUUAACACAUCAAAAGCCAUGAAGCAGCUUACGUCAGGUAGGGUGCGUUAGGGGUGCUAAUACCUUCUCUAACCACAAUCAGUCCCUUACCCGUGAAUCUCUGACAAGACCAGCACGUUCGGUUUCCUAGUAGCCUUCAAUAAAUUACUAGGUGGCGACUCCCAACGAACCAAUCAAAGCAACGCAUUAACGAGAAAAAUCACCAGCCGAUACCGCGCGGAUUUUGACGUGCGACAAUUAUUAUAUAAAAACCUUUGAUCAAUGAUGAAGCUAGCUUUCACUAGCUGUUUUUGGUGUGCCUAUAUAUCAACAUAAGUAAGCAAAUAAAAUGUCAAGGACCAUGUGAAGCAUGAUUCACAUGUUUAUAAAUAGUAAGAGAACCUAUAAAAAAUCAAAUACAAAUAAUUGGAAGUCCUUUCAAAUAGAAGUUAAAGUCUAUCAAGAAAGGAUAGAAUUAAAUUCCUUAUCAAAUGAAAUCAAAACAAAUAAAAUCUCACCUGUUAAAACUUUCAAGCUCGUAUAAAAAUAUUAUAUCCCUCCAGAAUAAGUUCAAGAUCAAGAAUAGAAGGUUAUAAUAUUCAGAUAUGACUCUUAAUUAGGGAAUUUAUACACCUAAAACAUAUACAAAGACUUUGAAUAUUAGUUAGAGUUCUUAAUAAUCACAAUACUAGGUGUUGAAGUUAAAUCUUUUAAAUUAUAAAAAAAAUAAAAAUACUUUGUUAUUUUCAGACACCUAAAAUCCCAAUCUAGAACGAAAAUAACGAUACAACAUACAUGCAACACGGCCUCUUAGUUUCUCUUUCUAUGGAAGUUUAUAUUUGGUAAAAUAGUGUAUAAUAUUUUUUAAUUGAAAAUGUAUUAAAAUAAUAUAAUUUUUUAGAUUUUUUUAACAGCAAUAUAUUAAAAUUAUUAAAGAAAAAUUAAAAAAUUAUUAAUUUAAUACUUUUUUGAUAAAAAAUAAUUUUGAAAGCAGGUUUUUUCUAAAAAAAACACUCCCGAAGUUUUUUUUGCCUUAUGUAUCGAAAAACAAAUCUACUGAGUGUGUGAGGGCUAAAAAGAAGAGAGGGUCAGAAGAUAACUUAGUCAAAAUAAUGUCGGCAAAACGUGCAUGUCAUGUAGUCAUUUUCGGUGAUAGGUCAUUUUCACCAUUAUAUUUUUGUAGUCAUUGAAUAUUUAUGUUGAUAUUUAUAUUUAUAUAUUUAUAGUCACUGUCAUAUAUAUGCAGUUAUGUUCAUGACAGCUAGAUAUAUAUAUUUUAAAAAAAUUAUAUAUAUAUCUUCGUAUUGACAUAUAUGUUAUAUUGCCAUAUAUAAAAAAAAAUUGAUUUUUUAUAAGAAAAUUAUUAUUAUUAUUAUUAUUAUUAUUAGAUAAAAAACAUGAAUAAUGUGUGGACACAUUUUUUUAUGAUAAAAAUAUCCUUAAGUUUUAUUAAUCAUUAAUGUAUUGAAAGGAUUUUAUCCAGCGUUUUCAAAAAAAUAAAUUUUUAUUAUUAAAAAAUAAAUUUUUUAUAUAUUUUUGAUCGUUUUGAUGCGUUGAUUUCAAAAAUAAUUUUUUAAAAAAUUAUUUUGAUGCAUUUCGACACGAAAAAACUUUAAAAAACGACUACAAUUACACUCUCAAACAUGUUAUUUAAUCCCCAAUGCUUAUUUAGAUGAGAAAUUAUCAUUUUGAUGUAUUUUAGCACGAAAAACAUUUUAAAAAGAAACGACAAUCACAAUCUCAAACAAGUUAUUUAGACCUCAAUGCUUAUUUAGAUGAGAAAUUAUUGUUCUUUAGUCUCUAAAUAAUCUUAUCUAGGGUUAAUUAUAAAAAGCAAAAUUAUCAACAUACGAAUUAGGAUAUAAAAAAUGAUAAGUAAUUAGAUUGAAUUUAAGUUAGAAAUAAACGUCAACCUUGUAAUAAUAAUUUUAGGUAUUUUCAGUGUUUUUUUCAUCUCCAGCUCGAGUUUUCUUUUGCGAUCUGUUGUUUUCACAUUAUUGUCAUAUGCUUCAAUAAUCUUCGCCAGCUCAGAGAUAUAUUGGAAAACGAAUUUAACCUAUUAUUAUUAUUAUUAUUAUAUAAGAAACCUUCGAGGGAUUUUUUUUUCAAUGAUGAAGCUAGUUUUCACUAGCUGUUUUUGGUGUGUUAUAUAUCAAGAUAAGUAAGCAAAUAAAAUGUCAAGGACCAUGUGAAGAUCAACUCAUUAUUUUGAUUUAUAGGUGUAUAUAUAUAUUGAAAGCAAAACCUUUAUGAUCUCAAGUAAGCAAAUAAAAUUAAUUGGAAAUCAAAAACUUUAUGUUUGUAUGUAAUAAAAUAAAAUAAGAAUUAUAUGUAUUAAUAAAUAUUAAAUAAAUUGUUAACACUAACUAAAAAUUGAGUUGAGAAGUUAAGUUAUAUAUAUAUAUUGUAAAACUGGGUAUGGUUUAAAGUGUUUUUCAUUUAAAAAUACAUCAAAAUAAUUUAUUUAUUUAUUUUAAAACAUUACUUUUAAUAUCAGCACAUUAAAAUAAUCUGAAAACACUAAAAAUUUAAAACUUAAAAAAACACGGUUUAAACCGCAUUCCAAACAGGUCCUAAGUAUCUUGUCUACCCAAAAACAUAUGAAAAUGGCUAUAAAUAUAUAAAUGUGAACUUAAAAAUGAUUUCUAAGAGGUCAAGUAUAUUUAUACAUAAUAAUCCCUGUAAACUUAUUAAAUCUUCAUUUUAGCCCUUUAAUGUUGAAUCAUGGAUCCAUCUUUUUUUCUAUCAGCAGAUAGUCUUUAUAUAUAUAAAAAAAAACCACCGAUCAACCCACUGAGCAUGUGAAGUUACAAAUUUCAAAUGCAUGAAGGAAGACCCCAUAAUGAAAACGAUGUUUGUUUAUCUUAUAAAUAUAUUUGGAUGCAGCCUUAGCUGGUUCACACUCACCUGCAGACAAAAUUUCCAAGCGUCCUUUGAAGUUGAUGGAAAAAUUGAAUCAAUUGAUAGUGAGAGGGAAAGAUUGUGCAUUUCUUCGUUGUCGUUUAUUCCUUUACAAGACAGAUGCAUUAUUAAAAAAUUGCUUUGAAUCAUUUCCAUCAAUUGUCAAGUAUUUCAUAACAGUAAUUCGAUUCACUUGAAAAACUGGUUUUUCCUAUUCAAUUGCUUAAGCUCUAUUAAAAAACCGGACCGGAUCAUAUAUAAUAAUAUAUAUAUAUAUACUUUUUUUAUUUAGUUCUCCGACUCCGGAUGAGUUUGGGCGUCCGGCGCCUCUUUUGAGGACGGGAGGAAAAAAAACAUAUAUAUCUACACCUUGCACCCUUUUAGGAAAAGAUAAAUCUUUAAGGAAAUAAAUUUUUUUUAUAACAUGUUUAUUAUUUUUUAUUAAAACAAUGUAUAUUGAAGAUCAAAACAUAAUAUUUUUUAUAUAAAAUAACUUAAUAAUUUCAAGUUUAAUCUCUAAUUUAAUAACAAGUUCAGUGAUAUUAACUUUAAAAUUUAAAAUAUUACAUUUAUAGAAAAAUGCAUGCUAAACAUUUGAAAUAUAACCUAUUUAUAUUUAGUUUGAUCCAUGUGGGACCAUUAAGCCAUAUGAAGAGAGGGGUUUAGCCUAAUUUCUUAGGAGUUUUUAAUAUUUAAUUUGUUUUACAUGGAGAACAAAUAUAGAAAAAAAAAUAUUAGCUUCCCAAAAAUAGUAUUUGAUGAUCUAUCUAGUUUUGAUCAAAUGCUACUACAUGUGCUGUAUAGAUAUAAUUAUGGAUUAAUUGAGCUGAGAAUUUAUAGAUACAAUUGUGACAUAACAAGGAUCUAUAAUCUAAAAUAGUAAAGAUUAAAUUUAGAACAACCUAACUAGUGUUCUGUGCGCUAUUAAAACAUCAGGUUUUUUGAGUAUUCUGAAUUAGUUUGUGAUUUCUCCUAACAAAAAUGGAACUCUUUUAGUAGAUAACUAGAACACGUUCCUAUAUGAUAAACUUGAAUAUUAUAUGCUUGGAAAACUGCACAUAAUUAUAAAAUGUUUUUAAUAAAGCAUUUGAUGACUUUGAGAUGCCAAGAUGAAACUUAAUCAACAAAUCACUUAAACACGUUACAACUAGUUUUUUUUUUAAAAAAAAAAAAAAAAAAUAGUUGUUCCUUGUUUGGGUACAAUCUGAUUUUUUUUUUAAAAAUUUCUUUUGUAAUACUGUUGGUCAUUUUUAUUAGAUAUGUAGCUAGUUCUCCUAAAUAAAUUAGUAUGGGUAAUUAAAGUGACUGCAAAGGGUAUUGAUACCGAUAAUCACUUGUUCACCACCGCUAAUCAAGUCUUGCUCUCUAGCUAUCUUAAUACCCAUAUAAAUCUAAAGUCGAAGCUCUGAUCAUUUCACAGCAGGUUCAAUGAAAUUAACAACAAAAUUUAUUACAAAUGUUUAUAUAUGCUGGAUAACUAAAACAUAAUUAAGCAAACCAACUUUUUAAAAAAUAAAAAUAAAUGGAACCACCUAUUGUCUGCAGAGCUUAAACCAAAUCCAAAACUAAACAUUUCAAAGAGCAGAACAAGUUAGUGCUGACCUGAGGACGGAGAUCAGAGGACCGUGUCUGUAAAUAGAGUCCCUAGCCGCGAGCCUCUUCCUAUAUAUAUAUUGCAGCACCUCUCUCUCUCUCCCUCCCCCCCCUCUCUCUAAGUCUCUUGCCUUGUCUCUCUCCCUCUCUCUCUAUCUCUCUAAGUCUCUUGCCUUGUCUCUCUCCCUCUCUCUCUAUCUCUCUAAGUCUCUUGCCUUGUCUCUCUCCCUCUCUCUCUAUCUCUCUAAGUCUCUUGCCUUGUCUACCCAGAUGCACAAGACAAUGGCUAUAAUUAAGGGACUUAAUUAUAUAUGCUCUCUAGAUUCAAGCCUGGCAAGGGCGGAUCUAGGAAAGUCCCUUAACUUUAAAAUUAUUUCUAAAAGAUGAAGUAUAUUUGUACAUAAUAAUCCCUGUAGAAUAUUAAAUCUUCAUUUUAGCCCUUUAAUGUUGAAUCCUG
rnacentral:lncRNA from 1 species